UCGGGGAUGACAUCAUCGACGACGCGGUAGCCGCCAUUCUUGACAAGGAAGCGGACAGAGAAGGGGCCCUUGAGCGGCGCCUCACUUUUGAUCGUCCAGGUGUUAGAUGAUGACUCCUUGAGCGCCACCCAGUCCUUGCCACCCUUCUCCUUGAUCUCCACCUCAGAGAUGGCGAUGUUGGUGACAAGCUCUAGACUACUGGCGCUAGAGCCCUCAGCGACCUUGAAGGUGAGCUCAGUGGCACAUGAGCCAACAACCAACAGUGCUGCCACCGCCACGGCAAGCCGGAAAGAGGACAACGAGGCCAUUGGCUAGCUAGUUUGUUUGUUGGUGUAAUCUUCCUUGUUUCUUGACUGGUACAGGGAUGGAUCGAUAUGUUUGGUGAUACAUGUUACAGUUGGGUGCGUAUUUAUGGUGGAGGGAGGGUAAGCAAACUAGGCAUAGAUGCGUGGAGAUCGUUGGUAGACUUUUUCAUUGAGGGGUUCUUAUACAAUUGCUAUAAACAGAUGCUAGUUGGGUGGUCCCGGUUGUUUCGCUAGCCUAGGGCAUGCAGGCCUCCCAAAAAUCAGCUAUGUGGUCCCAUUUCUUCUCUACUUAUGUUUUUUAAACUUAGAAUAAUGAUAAUUAAUCACCUCCUCAUGAUCUGUUCAUGGAGCAUGUGAACCGACACAUGCGGUUGAUGGAUCUAUUGACCGCAUACUUGUAUGGGGCAUUAGAUUUGGAACUUUAUCUGAGAGUCCCUGAAGGACUCAAGAUCCCAAAUCCGAAAGGAAAUUGCAACAUCUAUAUUGUUCGCCUGCAGCGAUCAAUGUACGGAUCAAAACAAUCCGGAAGGAUGUGAUUCAAUCAAUUAAAUAGAUAUCUCCUAAAGAGAGGUUUCCCAAAGAAUUAUGAUUGUCCCCCUGUGUUUAUAAAGAAAUCCCUGAAUGCAUUUUGUAUCAUCUCGGUCUAUGUCAAUUAUCUAAAUAUCCUUGGCACCACACAGGACAUUAAACAAGCAAUGGCUUAUCUUAAUAUUGAGCUUGAGAUGAAGGACUUGGGGAAAACCUAGUUCUGCUUGGGCCUAUUGCUCGAGCAUCUCCCUAAAGGAGUGUUUAUGGACCGGUAUGAAAACCUAGCAUGGAUGUGCGGUGCAGCAUGGAGAUCUUUGGUAGGCAUUUUCAUCGAGGGACUCAUACUAUUGCUUUAAGUAGAUGCAAGUUUGGCGGUCCUGGUUGUUUCGCUAGCGUACGACAUCUAUGCGGUCCCAUCUCUUCUCCACGUAAUUUUUUAACUUAUUAAUAAUUAUGAGAAUUAGUCACCUCCUCAUGUUCUGUUCAUUGAGGAUAUGGACCCAUACACAAACAAAUUAGGGGCCGGGGGGAUAUGCUAGUGGAAGAUAGAGGGGUGGUCGAGCGAAUGGUCGGGAGGAGUGAUGGCAAGGCACCUAGGGGCAUUGUGUGGCACACGUAAUAAACUCGGUUGGGGCAGCUGCCUUUGUUGGGGUGCAGUGGCAGUGGGCUGGAAAUAUAGUUGGCCAUAAGGCCCGAGGCCCGAAGGCCCGGCCCACGGCACGCCUUUUUGGCCCGGCCCAAGCACGGCACGGCCCGACUUGGAUCGGGCCCGUGCUGGCCCGGCCCGACCGUCGGGCCGUGCCUGGGCCUCCCCACCGGCACGCUGGGCUGGCCCGGCACGGUCGGGCCGGCCCGGCACGAUGGGCCGGCAGGCCAGGCCCGGUACAUAAAGUAUGGGGACUAAAAAUAGACAUAUAAAUGUAACUGUCUAAAGAAUAGGGACCUUAAAUAGACUUAUUUUAGCUAUUUAUAUACCCCAGCCCAAAGAAGAGGGAGGUAAAAUAGACUUUUUGUAGCUGUACAUAUGUCACAGCCCAAUAGGAGGGAGGAAAUUUAGACUUAUUCUGAGGAAAAGCCCGACGGCCCAUCGUGCCUUCGGGCCGGCCCGGCACGGCCCGAGGCGUGUUGGGCCGUGCCUGGGCCGUGAGUGCGGCACGUGGGCUGGCACGGCACGGCCCGGUGCGUCGGUCGGGCCGUGCCGGCCCGACAAGCCUCGGCCCAGGCACGGCCGGGCCUGGGCCGUGCCGUGCCGGGCGGCCCACAUGGCCAACUAUAGCUGGAAAGGUGCAGGACAGAGCUAGGGAGAUGGUGGAGGAAGUGACACAGAGGGUGACGGGUUGGAUUGUGGUUGAUUUUGGCCCAGGGAGAGAUAUAGUGGUCAUUCAAUUUUUAUGUGAUUUUGAAUAGAACUUCCAUAUGAGUUUAUAGACAUGAAUUGAUGGAAUGAUUUUCACAGAGAUCGUUUGGAGAAUUCUUGAAAUUUGGAAUUUUGGUUUCGAAGGGAAAAUGAAUCAGAUUAUGGGGGGGGGGUGAAACUCAAUGAAUAAAAUAAAUAAAUGGAUUGGGAGGCUCCAAUUCAAAAGAACGACGAACAACGACUUUAAAGAUUUUCACAAAAAAAUUACCUUGAAAACUCUUGUACGCUAUAGUUUUUUUUUCUUAUUAGUCUUUUUCUUUGUUUUGCAUGCUAUAGUGUAGUUCUAUCAUUUCGGAGGAUCACAAGUUUGUCGGAAGUGUUUCAGAAUACGAAUUGAAGGCAUUUGUUUGCAUGGCAAGUCGGACAUAUCCCAAACUUCCCUUUGAUCAGGUUGAUCCUAUAUUUAAAUUCUUUAUUUACUUCAAACAUGUAUUUAUUUGUGGUGUGCACCUAUUCCUUUGUUAUGACCAAUUUGCACUGGUAACCUUAUUCCUUGUUUCCCGGGGUUAUGAAUUCACUAGCUAUGACUUUAUGAUGGCUUUGUUAGAUCAUUCGUUAAUUUGUUGUGUGGCCUAUAGACUACGUUAUAUACCCACCUUGCAAUAAUCAUCAAUCUCAGUUGAAAAAGGAGUAUGCCCCAGUUGAGCUACCUGUCGGAGUGAAUUUAAAGCUUUGUUAGUUUUUCCUUUUUGUUACCGUUUUUGUCAUGGUGAGGACUAAGAAUUUAUUGUUUUAGUUUUUCUAUUGUAUGAUCAAAUAAUAAGUUUGUGUACCUUGACUGAUUUUUGACGAGGAUUUAAUACACAAAUUAAUUUUGAAAUUGCACGUGACACGGAUGCACAUGCUGUUACAUCCAUACGACAUGAGAGCUACAGGUCACAGGAAGUUCAUGGGCAAGCGCCUGGGAAAGGACAUCAUGCAGACAUCAUGUGUGCAGCUAGGAGUCGCUCGAGAGGGCGUGGGAGUGAGGUUGUGCUUACACGAUGGACUAUAGAAUGUAAACCACCACUACAUUUUUUUGACGUAAAGAUUUACUAGUUCUUUGCGUUCAAAUGUUUGGAACUAACGGUAUACUAGUAGUGCAAAAAUAUUUCUAUUUAAAGUUUGGAACUAAUGGUUUAUUUAUUUUAUAUCCUUGCAAUACAUUGGUAUUCUAAUAGUAUUAUAUUACCUUUGUUUUUUAAUAGAUGACGCCGUUGACUUUUUCUCACAUGUUUGACCAUUCAUCUUAUUCAAAAAAUUUACGUAAUUAUAAUUUAUUUUGUUAUGAGUUGUUUUAUCACUCAUAGUACUUUAAGUAUGAUUUAUAUCUUAUACAUUUGCAUAAAAUUUUUGAAUAAGACGAAUGAUCAAACAUGUGAGAAAAAGUUAACGGCAUCAUCUAUUAAAAAACGAAGGGGGUAUAAACUUUCUUGUUGACUGUAGCUUGGGGCAUUGACCAACUAUAUGAUAUGAAGCUUAAUUUUGCUCCUCUCAAAGCUGGCUUCAUUUCCAUCCUACCUAUUACCACUCAGUCGUGCUGCAGUUUGUUUUGACAUCUCAAUAAACUAUACAAUGUACUGAUGUUUUAUCUAUACCUAUAUAUUAAUUAGACACUUUUUUAAACCUCUCAUGUGAUCUAACCGUUGAUUAAACAGAUUGUAAUAUGUCAACCGUUGAAAUUUGAAUCCACAUUCUAUGUGGUGUGGGUCUCUUUAAAAUCCAUCUAACCUAUUGCCAAGCCCAUUGACCCGAUCCGUUUAAGUACAAUAUUUUUUUUCCUUUUUAUGAAAGUGCGUAAUCUUUUUUUUUUUCUAAACCGAUCGAUCAAGCAGUCUAAAAUCGGUGGUGGUAUACAGGGCCAUCCAUAUUUACUGGGAUGCUACUGAUAUCUCUUUUUUUUUUCCAAAACAUCUCGUAUUAAGCAUGCACUACAACGAACAUACAUUACAGAAACAUCUACGUUAAUUAAUAGCUCUACAACAGUCCUUUUAUGAUUUUCCACAGCUUGCACGUACUACUCUCUCCGUUCCAUUUUAAUUUUAGAGUAAAGUGUACGGAUAGUCCUUAUACUUAUUGGGGUGUGUCAUUUAGGUCCCUAAACUCUUAAAAUGCAUAUCCAAAUCUCAGAACUUGUCAUAGUGUGUCAUCUAGGUCCCAAAUCACUACAACCCCUUUAGGAUCCUACGUGGCGUUGAUGUGACAUGCCACACGGAUAUGACGUGGCAUUAUUUUACUGACAAAUGGGACCCAUUUAAUUUUUUUUCUUUUUUUCUUCUCUUUUUCCCCUUUAUUCUCCUUUCUUUGUGACCCGAGCAGAAGAAAGGAAAAAAAAAGAAUGAGAAGAAAACGGAAAAGAAAAAGAAAAAUAAAAGAAGAAAAAAAAAAGAAAAGGACACGUCACGUCCUCAGCACCACCUAGGAUCUUAGAGGGGAUGCGUCGAUUUGGGACCUAAAUGAUACACUUUGACAAGUUCUGGGAUCUGGAUAUGCAUUUUGAGAGUUUAGGGAUCUAUAUGACACAACCCUACAAGAUUAAGGACCGCCAAUGCACUUUAAUUUUAAGUGCAGUUGUGAGUUCCGUGUCAAAUGUUUGAUUAUCCGUCUUAUUUAAAAUUUUUAUUGUUAGUAUCUUUGUUGUUAUUAGAUGAUAAGACAUAAAUAAUACUUUAUGCAUGAUUUAUUCUUUUAAUUUUUUCAUGAAAUUUUUAAAUAUGACGAAUGGUCAAACGUUGCGCACGAAAAAUCAUGACUACACUUAAAAUGGGACUUAAAAUGGGACGAAUGUAGUACUGCAUAUCGAUCUGAUCAGAUAGACGCAAUGGCAAACAUGGGAGGGCACGGCAUGGCCAUGCACACAGCGACAGGUGAACGCUAUUGCUAUUUUCUAUCAAUUAUUAAGGUUUGAUUCUAACUUCUAAUUUCCAGUUCAGUUCUCUUUACAUGCAUGUUUCUCAUCUGUCACAACACGUCUAAUAUAUAUAUAGGAGUGUUAACCUACGUCAUCACCUUACGAUAUAUAUUUUUGAUGUUCAGAUGUUUGAUUUAAAAUUGAUCGACAAGUUUGCUUGCACCUAAGAAGCCAAUCCGUUGUCAUCGUACCCAUAAUUCAUAAAAGUGUUCCAUCUAUUUGCUUUUACAAAUUUUUCUGGCAUUUAGAAAGGUCCAUAGUGUGGUAGCCUCGUACAAUUCAAGUAGUAUUCCAUCAAUUUGCAUAGUCUAACUUUUUUAUCUAUAUUUGAUCUACUUUUAUUAUUCUUCUUAUAUUUAUAUUCACCUGUACAUCCUUAAAUAUAUGGGAUGUCAAGUUUCUUUAGAGAUUAGGAAGGAACGCAAAAAUAAGACAAAUUUAAAUAAGAGAGUGUUAUGGUUACGGAUAAUACAUAUAUACCUCCUAUCUUACGACUUAUGGAAUAUACGUGUAUGGUAUACCUUCACGUACACAGGUUGUAUCUAUACACGUAGUAGGAAUCCAUUACAAAAUAUGUAAAAUAUCUAUACGAGUCAAGUGAUUUCCAAAGUCCUACUUGAAGGGGAUAAAGUUUAUAUUGUAUCGUACGGGAUCUGAUGUUCCCGAGUCUAUACUCCAAAAUAGUUAUACCACUGGUCUGACCUCUGCUGUACCGCCGGUCUGACCGGUGUAUCUAUACACGUAGUAGGAAUCCGUUACAAAUUAUGGAAAAUAUCUCUACGAGUUAAGUGAUUUCCAAAGUCCUACUUGGAGGGGAUAAAAUUUAUAUUGUAUCGUACGGGAUCCGAUGUUUCCGAGUCUUACAUGGAGAUCAAGAUGAUUCACGGUAUAAAAGAGACCCCUAGGAAGGGGUGUAAGGCAUCGAAUCUCAUCGCUAACACACCCACCAUAGUUUACGAAGCCGGAAUACACGGAGCCAAGUCACCGGGAGAUCUCGUCGAAUAUAUCAACUACGAUCUUGCCGGUAUCGUCGAAUUUUUCUACUCCCAUUGAAAUAUGCGGUUUUCAAUCAUCAAUCCCAUAUAAACUGGACUAGUACUAUUACCUGAUAAGGGGCCUGAACCAGUAUAAUUCUUGUCUUCUGUUUGCUUGAUGUCGUAUUACGUAGAUCAUCAUUCUAACAUACCCCAAUACCCUAAUCAUCCGGUCUACGAGUAUCAUUCAUCGACAGUGCAGGAACAUGAACAAUUAUUAUUAGCAAUAAGGUUUAUCGAAAAAUAUUAAGUGAGAGGUGGUUGGGUGAUGGAUGUUGUACACUUAAAUGCUCAUCUCUCUAAGUGAAAGUUAAAACCAAAACUUAACUUUACUGAAAUCCUCCACAUGAUCAGGAUAAUAUGAACCAUUUGAUUCAGAAAAGGACAAAGUAGAAGAAAAGAUCAUAGCCAUCCAAUCAAAUUGAUGCUUAAAAAAAGUUAGAGAAAUAAAAAAAAAUCAUGGCCCAGAGAAACAACUGGAUAGUCUAGAUAGAUACGUUGAUUUUUCUUUUAAUUAAAAAAAAACUGCAUCCAAACCUUCUGUCUCUGGCUUUGCUGCCAGCUGACCGGCCUUCCAUCCCGCCAGCCACACUACUAAAACUUAUGAAAUAUGUUCUAGAUAGUUCAUUUGUAAUCAUUUAUUGUAACAAUAACAUUGUUUAUUUUAGAACAAUAAUACUAAACUAUGUACCAUAUGUUUCUCUAAUUACCUGUUUACAAUAUUACUAUAAAUACAAAGGUGAUAUGGUCGCAUGAAAGCAUGUUAAAUUAUUGGUUGUCAUGAUAAUAUUGUCACUUCAGUGUCCGACAGUUUUGGUCCACACACCUACAUCUAGAGUGUUAAUUAUUAUUGUAAAAUUAAAUUGAUUACUGUAAAUAACAAAUAACACAUUUAAUAUACAGGGAUGUUACGGCCGCGCAAACGCGCAACUCUCUACAUACUAGUAUUUGUGGAUAAAAUUUGAAGUCUAUGACUGAUUAUAUUUUUGGACGAAGGGAGUAUAUAAUAUAUUACAAUGUAUUUUUUCUAUGUUUUAUGAAUUUUCUAUCCUUAUUUUUAUUUUGUAAAAAUUUUCAAAUUUAUGUUCGAAAAAAUGUUCAGACCUUCUGAAACUAUCUGUAUAUAUAGUAUUUAGUUUAUGCACUGGAAAAUUUGCAUUAUAAAGGCGGUCAUGCAUGGUCUGGGGCAAGGAAAAAAAUCAAUAAAUAUGCAUGCAUCUAGCAGGUUUUUCCACUAUGAUGCAUGCGUGGCUUUAGUGAAGUAGGAGUAAUAUACAUACAUAUAUGCAUGCAAGAGAGAAUGAUUAUAAAUAUUUUGUUUAUAAUAAUAGAUUUUUCCAAACUAAUAGAUGAUUUUCCAAAUGGUAUGUGGCGAGACAUGGCUUAUUUUUGUUCCUAUUUCCCUAGAUCAUGGAAGAGAGAAUGAUUAUAUAUUUUUUGUUUAUAAUAAUAGAUUUUCCAAAUUAAUAGAUGAUUAUUGCAAUUCCCCAAUGGUGAUCAAAGGAAAAACUAAUGUAUCCUACAGUUUUUUAUAUUAUUUUAAAAUUUAUAAGCGAUAUUUUUAUUAUGGGCCAAAACAAGUAAUGUUAAGAAUCAUAAUAACUGAUUUCAUAUGCAUUAGGAUAGGACAGUAUAGAAGAGUUCUUGAUUUGGCUCCUAGAAGAAUCCAUUCAUACCUACUAGUGCAUGGUGUCCUAUCACUAUAUGUUAUAAUGUUUAUAUGUUAUUUGAUUUUGAUCCUUUAUGUCAGGUUUUCACGAUAAGUAUAGGUGAGUUAUCCUAUUACUAUAAUAUAUUAUCUGUUGCAUAUGCUUCACCCAGUUCAACAACUUAUGUUUCUAUUAAUAGUCGUUGCUUCAGAAAAUACAUGAUUCCUCCAACAAAUUCAGUGAAAUUACUUUUCUUUUACCAAUGUUGAGGGAUAAAAAUGACUAAAAUUGUUUUAUUUAUAAUACAAACAAUAAUAUAUUGAGACAUUGUAUUAAGAAAACAUGCCAUUGGAAGUCAUAGUCAAAACGAAUUAAAAAUCAUGAAUUUUAUCCACUAAGUAUUCUAUUAAUUAGGAAUCACUAAUUAACAAGGUAUAUAUAAUUCAUAUAAAAUCUUAUUUUAAUUUAACAUAAGAGCUAUUGUAAUUACAAAAGACAAAUAUUCAUUUGCAACUAAAGUAUUAAUAUUUAUGAUGAUAUAAUUAGAUAGUAUGGGUUGAUGGCUAGUGCUUAUAGUUUCAGUUCAUAGUAUGGCUGAGAAUCAACAAUUUGUUUUCAGAAAGGAAAAAAAAACAAGUAUAGAUGUCACUCUACAAUAUUUUUGACACGCUAAAAUGGUGAAAGGAACACAUUGGUUUGGACAUACCUAUGUACUAAAACUUUGGAAAAUCAAAUAAUGCACCCAAUCAUCUUAAUGAAAGUUGACCAAAUAUACUUUUUCCCAUAUAUCUUAUAUAAAUAACAUAUAUUCAAAACCAUGCUUUGCAUAUGGCUCCACAGCAAUAUUUUGGAGUACACAUGUAUGCCUUAUUUUGCCACUAGCCCAUUACAAAAAAAUAACCACAGAAAAUUAAUUAAUAGAAAAUUAAUUAAUGGUUCGCUCGAACAUGGAGUGAUCUCUUUUAAGACAUAAUUAUUUAGAGGUUCAUAAUUCCAAUAUGACCCAACACAAGAGUAUGCAUGCCUGUUACUUAGAGUUGGAUGCCACUCUUAUAUUCAGAGCCGGCAGUAAAGCUUUCAGGGAUGACAUCAUCGACGACACGGUAGCCACCGUUCUUGACAAGGAAGCGAACGGAGAAGGGGCCCUUGAGUGGUGCUUCACUUUUGAGUGUCCAGGUGUUAGAGCCUGACUCCUUGAGCCCCACCCAGUCCUUGCCGCCCUUCUCCUUGACCUCCACCUCAGAGAUGGCGACGUUGGUGACGAGCUCCAGACUAGUGGCGCUAGAGCCCUCAGCAACCUUGAAGGUGAGCUCUGUGGCACAUGAGCCAAUGACCAAUAGUGCAGCCGCCGCCACGGCAAGUCGGAAGGAGGACAUGGAGGCCAUUGGCUAGCUAGCUAGUUUUUUGGUGUAAUGUUUCUUGUUUCUUGGUUGGUAGAGGGAUGGAUCGAUGUGUUCGGUGAUCCAUGUUGCAGCUGGGUGCAUAUUUAUGGCGGAGGGGGGAGGGGGUGGUAAGAAAAUGUGCGGUGCAGCAUGGAGAUCGUUGGCAGCCAUUUUCGUUGAAGGACUCUUAUACAAUUGCUUUAAAUAGAUGCAAGGUUGGUAGUCCCGGUUGUUUCGCUAGCGUAGGGCAUGCAGGCCUCCCAAAAAGCAGCCAUUUUAACUUAUAGAUAAUGAGAAUUAGUCACCUCCUCAUGAUCCGUUCAUUGAGCAUGUGGACCCAUGCAUGAUCAAAUUGGGAGGGGGGUGGAUAUGCCAGUGGAAGAUAGAUGGGUGGCUGAGAAAAUGGUUAGGAAUGAUGAGCAAGGCACCGAGGGGCACCGUGUGGCAUGCAUAUAUAGUAUUCUUGGCAGAGGUGCAAUCAACAGUUCAAUGUUGAUGGCACCAUGGUGGUGAUGGAGGGUCCCAGGUGCUGCCCCGUUGUGGCUCUAUAUCUGAGACAUGGGUUUGCAUACAUGGCUAGAUGGUGCUGAUGCUAAUUAAUAUGGUAGUGCGCCCCUAGCUGGAUAUCGAACGGCGGUGGCAGUCGAUGAAAUAAAUUUGAAAGGAAUAAGAGAUGGCGAAUUGAUGAGGCAUAGGUGGAAAGGAGCACAUGGCCUUGGGGGAAAUAAUCCUACAAGUCGGUGUAGAUCGUGCUUCAAACAAGAGUGCACUUUAAAUUCAAUUUAAUUUUAAUUGGCAGGUGCACAUGUUGUUACAGUCAUGCAACAUGAGAGCUACAGGUGAGAGGAUGUCCUUGGGCAAGCGCUGAUGGAGAUUUGGAGGGUGUGCUUGACACUGGUGGAGAAACCAUCUUUGGUCGGUCGACCAGAUUUCACAAUAGUCCCGGUUGUAUUAAAAAUCGGGACUAUAAACAUCUUUAGUCCCGGUUUAAAAACUCCAGGGGUACUUUCCAAUCUUUAAGUACCGGUUGGUGUUACCAACCGGGACUAAAGAUUUAUUUGUAGUCCCGGUUGAUAACACCAACCGGGAAAAAAGAUCGCCAUACGCUUUACUCCCGGUUGGUAACCGGGACUAAAAAUCUAUUUGUAGUCCCGGUUGGUGUUACCAACCGGGAAAAAAGAUCAACGCAGAGAUCGGAGAGGCGUGCCGAUCGGAUCGAGGUAUCUCCUCCUCUCCUUUAACUCCUCUCUCCUCCUCUCCUCAACCUUAUCUGUUCCUCUCCUUAUCUAUUCCUCUCCUUCUCCUCUCCUUCUCCUCUCUACUGCAGUGGUGGGGCGAGGAUGCCAGGCCAGAGUGAAGCGGCGGGGCGAGGAUGCCAGGCCGGCGCGAGGGCAGCGGGGCGCGGAGGGCCGGCCGGCGCGGCGGCGGCGCGGCGCGCAGCGAGGCGGCGCCUACUUUGGCGGUUUUUUUUUUGGGAGAAUCUGAUAUUGUUGUGUGAUGUAUUUGAUUGGAUCUGAGAUUGUUGUGUGAUGUAUUUGAUUUGUAUGCGAUGUGGAUUUGUGAUGAAUUUUGUAGAAGUUGUGAUGUAAUUUUUUUAAGAUUUUGUGAUGUAUUUGAUAUGAUCGAUUUGUGUAUUUGGAGGCAAUUUGGGGAUGAUUGAUUAAUGAAAUCAUUGUCAUGAUUAAUAUUUGUGAUGAACAAUUGGUUGUGCAGAUGAUUUAAUCAAUGAAUUGGUUUGAGAGUUUAUGUGAAUGUUGGUGUGAGUGCGUGUGACUAAUGUGGGUCAGGUUGUGAUAUCUGUGCUCAGGAACGAUUGUUUUGUCUGAUUGUGUGCAGGUGACUUGAGGUCAGCCUUGGUCAAUAGUGAGAACCGGGACUAUGCUCAGGGAGGAGCAGAGGUCUAGUGCUGUCGAGGAAUGAUCCUCUCUAGCGGGUGACAGUGAGAUCCCCCUUUUGUGAGUUUGGCCGGGGGAAAAGGCACGCUUGACGAAAUCGUUUAUCCGCCCUGAGUGCUUCGAGAUCGUGCACGGGUGUCAAGAUUAUACAGGUUCGGGCCGCUAUGGAGCGUAAUACCCUACUCCUAUGGAUGGGAUUUAUGGUUGAGUGUUACAAAGGUUCCUAAACUCUGGAGAGCACUCUCGCUCUUCUUCUCCUAGGGUUUAGGCCUACUAGGAGUCGUCCCUUUUUCUCGAUGGGCAAGGUCCUCCUUUUAUAGUUCAAGGGGAUACUACAUGCACCGCUUCUACCUACUCUAUCACGAGAGGGGGACCCACUCUACUCAGACCGGACCACGAUCCAUGCCUUCGCCCAGAAGCUAAGCGGCCGUCCGUCCUCGAGUGGGACCCAGCACCACCUCCCGCCUGACACGGGGGACAGCCCUGUCAUUCCCUCUUAAAUGAACGAAGACUUGUGGCGGUCCUUCUCAUGUGGAGGGAGCUCCGGAUGAUGCCUUGAUGGGACGGGGCAUACCUGCCUCCACUCCGCCGGGUACAGGGGCGUACGUGGGGGCACGGCUGCCCGUCCGACCGGACGUGACCGGCGACGGGCUGGUCACAGUCUGGUCAUGCCUGAUUGACGUAGGUCAAUCAGGCCGCACCGCACGUCCGCCCUUACCGCAUUAAAUGCGGUGACAAACGGUUGGGGCGCCGCGCAUUGAUGGGGGUUCAGCCUGAGUCUCCUCCCCGCGCGCUCCCCUCGCCACAUGGCAGCUGGGCGAGGGCCUCGGGGCGAGGCAGCGCGAGGGCCCGAGGGACGUGACGUGGCACCCCGAGGCCCCCUGGCUGCCUUUGCGUCUUCCGAGGUGUGGGGGGAGGGCCAAGUUGUAGGGCCACGUGGCUAGAUUUGAAGGUAACUCCCCCGUACUUUGCAUACCCCCGGGCCCAUAUCACCGACAGUAGCCCCCGGCACCGCGUCGGACAUUGGCCCCCUGAGGGCGGUCUGGCGUGGUGCCUCAUGAGUUCCCGUGCUGUGGUUGUGGGUCCGGCGGGGAAUCUAGGCAGCCGCCGUCGGGUGGCCAGGCUGGCGCAUCAGCCAUAACGGCGAUUUGACCGCCACUAAGUGCGCCGUUCACUGGGGCACUUAGGGCGUGAAAGUCGGGGGGUCUGCCAGAUCACACCCAGAAUCGUCACCCAACGCCGCCUCAACUCCCCCGCCUGCUAGGCACGCGAAGGGACCGACGGCGGGCCCACCUAGCCACGCUCGUGAACACCACAUGUCCCGCGCCGAGUGCGCCACUAACAAACGCACUAACCGCGGGGCGCGGUUCAGUGGGGCGACGUGAUGAGUGGACGCAAGAAUCAAGGAGGCAACCGUAGGCGCAGGAAUCGAUGGGGCAACCGCAGGGGCGUGAAACGAGGAGGCGAGCGCGGACGAGGCGGGGAUAAAAGGGAAGGGAGGCGGAGAGUUCGUCUCCUUCCUCUCGCCGAUUGCACACCCGCAUACUCGCCCCUCAAGCCCUAGCGCUUCUCUCCCUCCAUCCUAUUCCGUACGCCAAACUCCUCGCCGUUUCCCGCCGGCCAUCAUGGCCCAAGAUGCUGGCGACGCCGUCCUCCCGGCAUCGCGCAUUACGGCGGAGAGGCACCUUAGCCUCAUCCGCAAGAUCAUCUGGAGGAUGCCGCCGUGAGGGUAGGGGAGACGCGGCCGUGGCCACGGUACCCAGAGCGAUCCGUGCACCUCCUGUCCUUCGCCAUGGUGGGGUUGAUCCUGCCAUUCUCCAAGUUCUUCCACGAGGUCUUGGAUUUCUACGAAAUUCAUGCCUUGCAUCUCGCCCCCAAUGCUAUGAUGACGCUGGCCAUCUUCGCGCACUUGUGCGAGAUGUUCGUCGGGGUGCGGCCGACGAUGCGGCUGUUCCAGUCCUUCCUCGUCCCACAGCUGCUGCAAGGCGCGGUGGGGGGAGGAUGCUACUUCCAGCCCCGGCAAGGCGUGGCGGGGCAGUACAUCGAUAGUCACCUCCGCAAGAAGUGGGAGGAUUGGAAGAAGGAUUGGUUCUACACCGCGCUGCCGGAUCGUCCACGACUUCGGCUCCCUACCGGCCCUCCCGAACGAUCAGCCGCGUGGUUGGCGGUUUCAGAGCUGGGCGAGGAGUACGACGCGGUGCGGGACCGCCUCAAGGGCCUGCAAAGCUAGGGCUUAACGGUGGCGAUGGUGUUCGGCGACUACUUCCGCCGUCGCAUCACGCCUCUCCAGGAGUAGUCCCGCGGCACGUGGGAGUACACCAGGUAUAACGAUCCCAUGUGCACCCACGUAGGUGAGCGCUGGGAUUGGGGCGAGGAGGACGCAAAGACGGUGGUUCGGCGGUGCUGGGUCUAGACACCGUCGAGCAAACGCUGAUUCCGGAUGGGAUCCUCCCCCUCUGCAGCGACCGCGACUGGGAGAAUAUCCUGGCUGUGAUGUCGGCCGUCGGUGCUGUAGGGGUCGGUCCCGUCGAGGCGCCGCCGAUGGUGGUGGUGGCGACGGUGUGGGUAGCAGCGGCGCCACCACGGGCGGCAGUCGGACCGGCGGCUCCGGCAGGGGUGGCGGCUCCAGGGCGCCCGGUCCGAGCCGUGGGCCCGGGGGAGAAUCGGCCGGCGACCCGAAGAAAACAAAUCUAACCAUCAAUUUUCAAUUAAAUUGGCAGACUUAUAAUUUCAUCAAUUUUCAUUUAAAUCAGUCGAGUUAUAAUUUAACAAUUGGAUUUAAAGACAUAAAUAUUUCAAACUGAUGAAGGCAUUAAAUAUACCUCAAUAAAAAUAAAAUCUCCUUACCAAAUAACAACGAAACAUUGAAAAACAUGAAAACGUAUAUUAUAUAUUCUUGAAUCGUUUUACAUAGUAAAGAUCGAUUAAGCGUGCUCUGUAGCACUCUCAAGUCACCACGUAUGAUAUUUUAAAACUUUGAAAAAAUUGAAAUUCAAAGAGAAAAUAAAGUAUAUAUCUAUCCAUCGGUUUCCACUUAAUUUGAUGACCCAUUAUUUUUAACUAUUAGAUUGCCUUUCUCUUUAUAAAAAAACUUAAGCCACCACAUGUCAUGUCUUAAAGAUCCUUAGAAUGAGAAAACAACAAAUCAUAGGUUCUCACUUAGAUUGUUUACGAAGAUUUUUUAUUAAAAAAAAAACAAUGUACCGUCCACCUCCCUCUCCAAUCAUAUUCACAUAACACCAUUGCACUGCGAACCCUUUCUCAUAUCUGAUUUGAGUUCUACGCUAUUCGUUUCUCUCCAGUCUCCUCCCUAUUUUCAGCUACAAAACUAUAGAGAGAAACAAAUAUUAAAAAGAGCAUAAUUUUAAGCUACACUGAUAAUUUUAUUUUAUAUAUCAUCUAAUCAAUUUUAGAUAAUGGUUUCUUUUUUAUAUAAAGUCACCACCUAUUACCCCAUAAAUCCUCCUAGGCCUUUUAAACCGAUAAGCCCAUUAUUUCCAACCAUUAGUUCUAUCUCAUCUUAAAAGACAAGCGUGUAUUCAUAAUACAUCAUCUAUCAAAAUAAUAUAUUGCACAACCAUAUUUCUUCAUCCAAUAUUAUUUGCGCUAGGUUGCAUGGAGUCUCACACACUCUCUACAUGGAACGUUCACAUAUGGGUUCUUUCUCAAAUUAAACAAUAAUAUAAACCCAUGCAUUUAGUAGAGCCUCAUAUCCCACCCAAUUCAUCCGUCAAUAAACAAUGACAACCUAUAUUCAAUUAAAAAACAUCUUACUUUUCAUUUUACACAUAAUUUUCUAUACAUGUUUUCUAACACAAAAUAUGUCUACCUACUUAGUAGAUGAUGAAGAAUAUUAUAAAUAAUUACUUGUAGGAAUUAAUUAAAUAUGAUAUGCUAUAAAGAUAACUAAUAGCUAGGUUAGACAAUUAUAAAAGCAAUGCUAAUGAAAACAAUUUAUGGAGAAAUCAUAUAUUGUAGAUGUUCAAACAUAGUGUACGACACAUGCCCGCGUGAAUACACGGGCUAUUUUCCUAGUUGAAUUAAAAAUGGCUACUCCUAUGUAAGAAUGUGCCCCUAUUUUGUAUGAAGUAUAUUAGCAAGAAUAUGAGCCUAGUGUAUGAAGUUUAGUUGACUUCAGAUUCAGUGGUGACUGCAACUUAAGAAUUGCACAUUUUUUUUGGUAUAUAUCCAUUUUGGUGGCGUUUUGGAUUUCUAGCUACAGUAACAACAUGAACAAAAAAAAGAACUGACCAAUGGCCAGUUAGAACUGUUUGCUCAAAAACCAGAAUGUACUACUACCCUACUUCCAACUGUCGGAGUAACUGCUAAUCGGCCACUCUUGCAUAUUGACUAUGAUGAUUUGCUUCUAGAACUGUGAAUGCAGCUCUGUGCCACAAUUUGUGCAGCUAUAUGAAAAUUCCAGAGAUUUCCCAAUCCUGUAAGCUAGUAAGCUGUAAAUUGUCAAAGGAAAAAAAAAGAUGGAAGUAUAUGAUGAUUCACCUAGCUAGCAAGGCCAUCGAGAUUUGUUAGAAGUUUUCUAUUCGUUUGCACAGUUUAUAUAUAUAUAUAAAAGCAGAUAUGAACCGAGGUUCAUCUGCACCCAGAAUCACUAAUGAAGAUGCGUGCUUUCUAAAUCGUUCCAAGAUGCGUGCUUUCUAAAUGGACCUUUCACUAAUGAAGAUUGUCUACACGAGAAAAUGUCAGGGAGGUACGUAAUGCAUGUGUUGCUCUGACAUGGGACAUGUACUUCCUGAGCAAAGAGAGAGAAAGGACAGAUGAGAGGUAGUUGACCACACAUCAUGUAGUAUUUACUCAUCAUUUGAAUAUUGUUUUUUUUCUCUUGUUAUCCAUGGAAAUUUAGUAUACAUGACCAUUUUGGAAAUAACACACGUGAUUUUUUUUUAAUUUCAAUACAUGUCAAGUUAUAUGUUAUCAUUUUGCGACAUCUUUUUUUUAGACAUGACUUUUCAAAAUGAUAUUUUCGUUGUAUUUCAUUUUCGGUGUCAACAAAUUGCAGUGUAUAUUAUUUUCUUUGUCAAUUAAUGAAAUUAUACUUUGUUAUGUAGCAUAUAUCUGUAAAAAUAAAAAUCAUGUAUUUUUUAUUUUAAUUUAUGCCAAAUGAUAUAUUAUUUUCACAAUGUCAUUCUUGGACAUCGGAUAUAUUGUAUUUGCGUGGUGAUUGGACAUUCAUCUUGAUAUAUCAUGUCCGAAUAAAACCAGAUAUAGAUUAAUUUCCGGACAUACAAAACAAGGUGGUCAGAUUAAUUAAAAAAAUCAACGUAUAUUUGAUGGCUAAUCACAUGGAGUAAUGUGAUUGUAGCCAAGAGAUCUAUUAAAACUACAUGUUCAUCUCUCUCUCUCUCUCUCUCAUUCUCUCUCACGGUCACAUUAGUGAAAAGACAUGAAUACAGUUGCAGACUAGUACUAGUACAUGGGUGGGUGAGAAAUGCAUGACUACAGCAUCAUUGUGUACCUGCCUAAAAUUUUCCCUAUAAGAGUUUGGGCUGGGUAGGUACAAGUUGUAGGAGCUUUGGUGAAAAUGAUGAUCAGCUACAACGAAAAGUAGACACGUGUCACAUGUGGGAUUGAGGUGCAGAUGCACCUAGGUUCAUAUUAUCCAACUCCUAUAUAUAUAUAUACAUAUACAUAUACAUAUAUAUAUAUAUAUGUAUAUAUAUUGAUAUCUUAUAGUCAUUACGGGUCUGUUCACUUUGAUGCUAAAAAAACCUUACUAAAUUUUGGCAUUGCCAAAAUUUUGGCAACUUGCCAAAAUUUUGGUAGGAUUUCUUAUAUAGUUACCAAAUUUUGGCAACAAACUAAAUGUAGCCACUUUUUUUGGCAACUUUACCAAAAUUUGGUAAGGUUGAAAAUGGCAUCAAAGUGAACAUGUCCUACGUACUAUAUGUAAUAUAGGUCAUUUUACAUUUGUUUUAAUGUCUAAGAAAAUUGUGGAUUAAGUAAUUGGGAUCCUCAGGCUAGCUAAUUUGUAUGACUCCGUCAAACGAAAAUGAAAAGGACUGUUUCGUAUGGUCGCUCCAUAAGAAUGGACAAUUUUCAGUCAAAUCUAUGUGAUUAUGAACUCUAAUGUUUGGAUAAAAAGAAUUAUAUGAGACUUAAAGGUUCCACUAAAGAUAAAGGUGUGUAUGUGGUUACUUCAUAAGAAAGUAAUUCUAAUGAAAUAAAACCUGGCCAAAAGAAAAGGGUGGGGGGAGGAAGAAACAUUGUUCUUUCUGUUAUCCACAAGAGAUAAUCCAACAUCUUUUCUUUGAGUAUUUUCAGGGUUACGGAUAAGGCAUACCUCCUAUCCUACGAUUUACCAAAUAUGCCGGAUUGGCAUAUCUCAUAUCCUACGAUAUGUUUCCGUAUGCGAUAAAGAAAUAUGCAAGGUAUUAUGGAAAAUAUCCUCACAGCAUGUAGAUUAUCAAAGUCCUACUAGGAGAGGAUAGAAAUUAUUCUAUAUCGUGCAGGGUUCGUUGUCUCCGAGUUCUACUUGAAGACUAAGGCAACUCAUGGUAUAAAAGGCACACUCCCGGAAGGGCUCGGGAUCAUCGAAUCAUAACGCCAACACACCCACCAUAGUUUACGAAGCCAAAGAACUCAAGCCGAAGUCGCCGGGAGAUCACGUUGAUCAAUCUCAACAAGGAUCUCGUCGGUAUCAUUGGAUUCAUCUAUACCCUUUGUACUAUGUGGUUUUCUAUAUUAAUCUCGUAUAAACUGGAUUAGGGCUAUUACAUCACGAGGGGCCUGAACCAGUAUAAUCCUUAUUUCUUGUCUGCUUUAAUAUCGUAUCGUUUAGAUCAUCGUACCAACGUACUCCACUACUCAAUUUAUCCAGUCUACGGGUAUCCACCGUUGACAAGUAUCAAGUUGCUCAGUUUGUUACAGAUGUGUAUUUUUUGUUUUUAAUAUCCCUCCACCCUGUAACGUCAAAAAUAUUUUUUGGUAAUUGGCUUAGAGGGGUACCUAGGUCCAUUAAAAAAUUGAUUCUAAUCGGAGCUAGUGUUGUAAGUUGGCCAAUUAUGAGUUGUCGUAAUGAUAAAGUUUUUAAUGCUAAAUAAUUGUCUAACCCUAUGCAGGUUAUCUUCAUGUCUUCCAAUUGGAUCCAUUUUUGGUCUACGAUGCUACCACAAGAGGAACAAGAUACCACGCGUAAUGGUGCUAUAUUUUUGCAAUCAGUAGCCAAGGGUCUCUUAUUUCACUAUGGGUGGCGUAGUUCCAUUAGAAUUGCUAGCUAAAAAUCUGUGUGGUUUAACGCUAGUUAAUAAUAAAGGGGGUUGGGGAAUUGUCCCAUCAUCUUAUUUCUCAUUUUGAUUUAUUUUUAUCUUUACCUUUUGUAUUAAACUUAUGACUUUGUGUGUUAUGACCGAAGCUGGAGAUGUAAUCCAUUUCCAUUAUCUAAAAAAUAAUUGGGAUGCCUCAUUCAUAAAACAUUGGUUAAAUAUUUGAAGUUAGCUAUUUGUCAAAAAUAUAUUUGAAGGUAUAAAAGUUUAUACGUACCAAACAUUCCAUCACCAAUCAUCUAAUGGACAAUGGUACGAAACAAUAAUUAAUCUGUAAACGUUGAACAAACCGGCAUACCAACACAAGCAGCAGUCGGAAUAUAUACAUAGUCUACAGAUAAUUAUCUAGUGCAAGCCGUUUUUUCCUGAGAUAAGUGGGUCCGUUUUGGUUCAGCAUCAAUCCCUUCGGCCUCACAUCAUCUUCAUCGUUGAUCUUCCCCGGCCACGUUUGGUCAUCCAUAUUUACACAGAUAUGGUCAGUUUUUUUUUCUAAUAGAUAUGAUGAUCCAAUUUCUUGUUUGAUUGGGUGGAUAAGAAUGGAUUGAACAUAUUAAUUAAUAAUAAAAUAUAUUAAUUAUCAUUAAUAUAGUCAUAGUUUAUACUAAUUAACAACAAAAUAGACUAAUUAUAUCUUAUCAAUACUAUUUUUGACAAGUUAAUUACCAAUUAACAACAAAAUAUAUUAAUUAUUGUAAAUAAUUACUAAUGAUAGAGAUUAGCAAAGGUGGAUAUCCUCAUUCAGAAAUUUAACCGGAGCAUUCAUCUAGCAUCUUCGUGGAAUGCUUCCUCUCCGGAGCACCCUAUCGAUCCUUACCCACCAAGUAGACACGUAAAAAAAACCGAAUCGGCAUAACCAUACAGUGAAGGCUGUUGACUUCUUUCCAUGGUGCAAGUGAACGUCCUGGUGCUUCCCAGGCCUAAUUAACAUGAUGCUAGCCAUGCCAAAGAGAAGCAUUAUAUUAGCAUACUAUAUAGAUGUAGGUUCACAGUGCCAUUUUUCAGAUCGGUUAGCCUGGUGUGGUAUUUAUGCUUGCCCCAAACCUCAAGCUGUCUGCUUUAAUAAAAUAAAUUGACUGGAAGGAUUGAUUUUAGAAUGGAAGUUCUGGUAUGAAACCCUCAGCAUCACUAAUAUAAAAAAGCACAUACAUAUUGGCACUAUAGGCACCGGAACAGCUAAAACUAGCACCUAUAGUGUUUUGCCCACCUCCACAGGCUGAAAAUACAAAAAAAAAAUCCAUCACCUUUAAGUGAAUAUAGGUGCCGGUUUAAUAUAAAAACCAAUACCUAUACUAUAAGUGCUAUUUUUUUAAAAAAAACCGACAAUUAUAAUAUAUUAAAAACCGCCAGCUAUAAUAUAUUAUCGGUGCCGGUAUUUAAAAAAAACGCACCUAUCAAACGAGCCGAGCCAAGAGAGAGCCGCGUGCGAGUGGAUAAAGGCACGCGUGGGAGGUGACGGGGGGCGACCUUAUCAUUCGCUGCCCUACUCUCACCCGUCUCUCUCCCCCUCUCACUCAGUCACCCCUUUCCUCCCCUCGUGGUGGUAAUGGUGUCAGCAGCUCCUGCGGGCCGGAUUCGGCGUUCCUCAGCCCCCUCCCGCAGAUCCAUCGGUGGCGGUGGCAUUUCCGAUGGGUGGAUCCAGUGAAGGCAGUAGCAGUGGUGUCGGCGGCUCCCGCUAGCGGAUCUUGCGGAGUUGGUGGCGGUGGCGUUUUCGGCAGGUUGAUCCGGCGGAGGCGACAGUGGUGGCGUUUUCGACGAGUGAAUCUGGCGGUCGUCUACCCCCUCCUCCUCAUCCACCGCGCCCAAGCUUCUCCUUCGGCAGCGUUCCCGUGGGCCGGAUCCGGUGUUGCUCAACCCCCUCCCGCAGAUCCGUCCGUGGUGGUGGCAUUUCCGGUGGGUGGUGGAUCUGGUGAAGGCAAUGGCAGUGGCGUCGGUAGCUCCCGCUAGCGGAUCUUGCGGAGUUGGCGGCGGUGGCGUUUCCGACGGGCAGAUCCGGCGGAGGCGAUAGUGGUGGCGUUUUCGGCGACUGAAUCUGGCGGUUCUCUACCCCCUCCUCCUCAUCCUCCGCGCCCAAGCUUCUACCGCAGCAGCGGCGGUUGCAUCGGCGCUCCCAUGGGCAUAUCCUGCGGAGGAGGCGGCGACGGCGUUUCCGGCGAGCAGAUCUAGUGAUCUCCCCCUUCGCCCCAACCUUCUCCCGCAGAUCUGGCGAUGGCGACGACUUCUCCGUUGGAUCUAACGGCGGCGGCGGCGACCCGCGGACGGAUCCGGUAGAUUUCUUGUUUGUGUUGUUUGUAUUGUUCUGUUUAUGCGAUGAUGAUGUCGUGAUUGAUUUUGGGGGCGAAGCGGGGGAACUCGCGCUUGAUGAAUCGGCUAGAUUCCAAACAGUCCAUCACCAAUCAUCUAAUGGACAAUGGUCCAAAACGUUGAACAAACCUGAAUAAUAGCACAAGAGCCAGAAUAUAUACAUAUACUGCUGAUAAUUAUAAAGUGCAAGCCGUUUUUUUCCAGAAAUAAGUGGUAUUAAUUCGUUUUGGUUCAGUAUCAAUCCCUUCGGCCUCGCUUCAUCUUCAUGGUUGAUCUUCCCCCCGGCCACGUAUCGAUCUAGUGAAAUGCUCCUAGUGUUUCCCUGGCCUAAUUAGCAUGAUGCUAGCCAAGCCAAAUUAAAUGAAAAAAGCAUUAUAUUUGCAUACUAGAUGUCGGCUCGCAGUGCCAUUUUUCUGACAGAUUAGCCUGUUGUGGUAUUUAUCCUUCGACCAAAUCUCAAGCUAUCUGCUUUAAUAAAAUAAAUUGACUACAAGGUUUGAUUUAAGAAUGGAAAUUCUGGUAUAUACGAAAUCCCCCAGCACGCUUGGAAUUCUAGUUUUUUGGAAAUCACCAAAGAGUCUGAUGGAUAUGAGAACUUUGCCUAGGAGUUGCAAAAUUUCAGUGUAAACAAUACUUUGUAGAUGCAUGCCAAACCACUUACUCUGGCAACUCUGAUAUACACAUCAAUAUGAAUGAAUGUUUGUUGUUUUUAAUAGGAAUGGUCCAGCGUGAAUCCUGAAACAACACCAAACUCACUGCGAACAAGUGAAGAAUGCAACUUCCGUAAUGCACUAUGUGGGAGUAGCUACACCCGGAUUCCCAAUGCCUCUUAAGCCUAAACUAGUUAAGUUAAGCAUGUGUACGUAUCUGAAGAUGUUUAUACACAAGGCAGCACAUGCAUGUUGGAAGGGUUUUCAAUAUGAUAAAUAUUAGAAUACGAGUUAAAGUAUCUUCAGCUUUUGGCUGAGCACUAGCCUUGGCCUAUUUAUAUAGUCCAUGAAUGGCUUGUACUUCUAUGGUCCAACACUAGUUUAAUAUCUGUAUUUCUUAAUUGCAAGCUCUCGUGACAUCAGCAUACCAGAUUUUUAAGUUAAUCCGGUAAUCUUAAUCUAGUUAUAGUAUCUAGAGAACUAAACAUAUUGGUAAAUGAGAGAGACGAUGUCCUUGGUGUAUAGCUUAUUUGAAAUGCAGAGAAACUCAUGUAUAUAUAUAGUGAAAGGCCCUCGAACUUUUGGAGAAGUUGGUUGUUUGUUUACACCACUUAUUAUCAUAUAUGCUGCAAUAAAUAAUAGAGAAGGGUCUUUACAAGCCCAUGGAUUGCAUUGCAUGACACAUAUCAUAGGAAGAACAGAGUAUUUUUCAUAGAAUCUUGAGAUGUUUGAGAACAUAGCUAUGAUGUGAUGAUUUGCUGCCCUGUUUAAUAUGCUUAAAUCCUGAGGUGAUAAUACAUUAUUUGCUCUGCUUAAUAGUUACAAUAGGUUGUCAUAUCUGAAUUAGCGCAUAUCUUUUUGACUCGAUUUCAGAGGUAGGUGGUGGACAUAUGGAGUCCUUCACUCCAUCUGCUCUAGUUCAAAUCGAUCGUGGUGUCUAUAGUUGUUGACACGUAACCACUUUUUUUUUUUGCGUGUGUGCAUAAAAAAGUUAAAAAGGUACACGUAUGAUUACGGAAGUUGGUUGAAUUUAUUGGAUAACAUUCACUUAUAAUCCCUCCAUCCUAUAUUAUAAGGGAUAUGACACAUUCUAGGACAUCUAGAUUCGUUGUCUUAAAAUGUAUCAUAUCCCUCUAAAAUUUCUUAUAUUAUAGGACGGAGAGAGUACAACAUUGGAGAUGUUGUAGCGAUGAAAUCGUCACCAACUAUCAAUCAUCAAUUUUGAAACGGUGUGCUGCACAUUCCCCUCUUCCAUCACAUUAUUUAUCUUUGUUGUUACUGUUGGCAACUUUUUGUGAGAAGUCGACAAGCACGAUCGCAGCACCUAAACACCUUACGGGGAUAUGGAGUCGGCAACUACCCCGAUCUAGCCAAACAACCAAAUCAAGAUGGGUUUUGUAAAAAGAAAGCUAAACCGGCUAGCGAAGCCGAUUUAGAGAUCAAAAUCAGCCUCUAGGCCGAUUUAAAUCAAUAUGAGGAUAACUAUCCAUCUUGUGGGCAAACGGAAGGUUUUUAGGACAAACCUAAUUUUUUGAGUGCGGCACCUCUUUGUGGGCAAACGGUGCAAAUCGAUAAAGAUGAACCAAAAUUAGGGUAAAGUAGAAAACAUGGCUAAAAGUAAAGUAAAAGAACGAUUCUAUUGAUUGUGUGUUUGUCAGGUAACAAUUGAACCGGCCUUGUUCCUUAUAUAGGGGUUGGUCUUGCCCUCUAUAAGCCCUUCUCCAUGUCCAACUCGGGAUAGAAACCAAUGGAAAUCCGAAACAUACCUUCCCAAGUAAGGAAACCAGAGACCCGAUGAAAAUGGAGUCUGACUCGGACUCUGCCAAUUAGACCGGCAAUGCCAUUGAGUUUAUUGCAUGUCUAAGAUUUGCCACUGACUUUGUCACAUUAUAUAAUAUACCAUCGACUUUUGCUUAACUUUUAUGAUUUACCAUUACUGUCCGGUUAGCCUCCAUUAGUACUGUACAAUUUUGUUCUAAUGACCAAAAUACCUCCAGGACAAAAACUUGCAAAAUGUAGACAAAAAUUCUAAAAUAUCAGAUUUUAAGUUUUUGGCCAAAUUUUGGAUGUUUACAAUAUGAUAUUUCAAAAUUUUUUUCCAAAUUUUGGAAGUAUUUGUUAUAGGGGUAUUUUGGUCAUUGGAUAAAAUUAUACAUUUCUCACGAAGGAUAACCGGACGGUGAUGGUAAGUCGUAGAAGUUAAGGAAAAGUCGAUGGCAUAUUGUAGAACGUGACAAAGUCAAUAGCAAACUGUAGACCUGUGACAAACACAGUGGUAUAUAAUGUAUUCUCUCGUAAGGUAAACGAUGUACCAAUAUGCUUAAUGCUUAUAGUUUUAGGUCAUAGUAUAGUCAAUUCAACUAUUUGUUUUUAGAAAAUGAAAAAAAAGUGUAGAUGUGACUUUACAAAUUUUUUGACAAGCUAAAAUAAGUGAAAUGGAUUACAUUGGUUUGGACAUAAGUAUGUACUAAAACUUUGGAAAAUCAAACAGAUGCAAUCAUCUUAAUGAAAGUUGACCAAAUAUACUUUUUUCCAUAUAUCUUAUAUAAAUGACAUAUAUUCCAAACAAUGCUCACAUACAGCUCCGCAGCAAUAUUUUGGAAGGACACAUGUAUGCCUUAUGUUGCCAUCGGCCUAUUACAACAAAAUAACCAAAAAUAAUAAUUAUUUGCUCACUCAAACAUGACACGAUCUCUUUUAAGAGAGGAUUAUUUAGAUGUUCAUAUUUCGCAUGUGACCCAACAAGAGUACACAUGUCUGUUACUUAGAGUUGGAUUCCACUCUUGUACUCAGAGCCAGCUGUAAAGCUUCCAGGGAUGACAUCGUCGACGACACGGUAGCCGCCAUUCUUGACAAGGAAGCGGACAGAGAAGGGGCCCUUGAGCGGCGACUCACUUUUGAGCGUCCAGGUGUUAGACGACGACUCCUUGAGCGCCACCCAGUCCUUGCCGCCCUUCUCCUUGACCUCCACCUCAGAGAUGGCAACAUUAGUGACAAGCUCUAGACUUUUGGCGCUAGAGCCCUCAGCGACCUUGAAGGUGAGCUCAGUGGCACAGGAGCCAACAACCAACAGUGCCGCCACCGCCACGGCGAGCCGGAAAGAGGACAAAGAGGCCAUUGGCUAGCUAGUUUGUUUGUUGGUGUAAUCUUCCUUUUUUCUUGACUGGAAGAGGGAUUGGUCGAUAUGUUUGGUGAUCUAUGUUGCAGAUGGGUGCGUAUUUAUGGUGGAGGGAGGGUAAGAAAACUAGGCAUAGAUGCACGGUGCAGCAUGGAGAUCGUUGGUAGACUUUUUCGUCGAGGGGCUCUUAUACAGUUGCUAUAAAUAGAUGCUAGUUGGGUGGUCCUGGUUGUUUCGCUAGCCUACGGCAUGCAGGCCUCCCAAAAAUUAGCUAUGUGAUCCCAUCUCUUCUCUACUUUUUUUUAGCUUAGAACAAUGAGAAUUAAUCACCUCCAGAUGUUCUGUUCAUGAAGGAUGUGGACCCAUGCAUGAAGUUGAUGGAUGUAUUGACGGCAUACUUUUAUGGGUCAUUAGAUUUGGAAUUUUAUACGAGAGUCCCUAAAGGACACAAGAUCACAAAUUCAAAAGGAAACUGCAACAUGUAUAGUGUGCACAUGCAGCGAUCAUGGUAUGGAUUGAAACAAUCCGGAAGGUUGUGGUUCAAAGAGUUAAGUAGAUAUCUCUAGAAGAGAGGUUAUUCAAACAAUUAUGAUUGUCCACAUGUGUUUUCAAAGAAAUCCCUGAAUGGAUUUUGUAUAUCAUCUCGGUCUAUGUCUAUGAUCUAAAUAUCAUUGCCACCAUAGAGGACAUUAAAUAAAAGACAAUGUCGAUGGCAAAUCGCUGAACUCAAACAAAAUCAGCAGUAUAGAAUAGAUUCUCUCCUAAAUAAGCAAUGGCUUGUCUUAAUAUCGAGCUUGAUUGAAGGACUUGGGGAAAACCAAGUUUUGCUUGGGCCAGCAGCUCGAGCACCUCCAUGGAGGAGUAUUUAUGCACCGAUCUCCCUACACAAAGACAGUCCUUGGUAACUUCAAUAUGAACAAAUGCCAUUCUUUUAAAACCCCCAUGGUAGUUCGAUCCAUAGAAGCUUAUAAGGACACAUUAAAACCCAAGGAAGAUAAUGAGGAAAUAAUGGGACCCAAAAUUCCCUACUUAAACGCCAUUGGAGCACUAAUGUAUUUAGCCAAUUGCAAAAGACUUGAUAUUGUUUUUGUGGUUCAUCAGUUGGCUAGCUGAUGAGGACACAACUCGCUCGGAUAUAACCAUGACUACCUUAUGUAUUAUUCCACCGAAGGUGCAUAUGUUCUAUAUUAGAUUUACUUGUUAUAUAUUCGAAUAAACGUUGCUACACAAUGAGUUUUGUGUGUAUUCGUUUGCAGAGAUACUAGCUUGGGCGAAAGAAAAGAAACCAAGUCGACUUCGAGUGUAACUCGGAGUCCAGGACCAGUCUCGAUUACAGUCACCACUUAUACAAAGAAUUUCUAAUAAUCUUACAGUAAUAAGUGAUUCGGACUCUUGUAUUUUUCAUAUGAAUGUAUUAUAAUUAAAUAUCCUCCUUAAUGCGAAAUGGUACGACAUCCAUACAGUGCAUACAACUACUAAAAGUUCUAGGGUGGAGAACAGACCCAAACAAGGGAGAAGCUGCUAGUACAUACAUAUUAGCCGGUAAGACUUCACUCACUUAAUGUAUUCCAAUUAUUUCACUAAUUGCAAAAUUUAACUAUUUUCUUCUAUGAUAUGUCGUGAAGUAUCACAAGCAACCUAGAGGCAUUGUCCUCUGCAGGUAUUAUGCGUGCGAAUUCCUCAGGGUUAAUGGGAGGUACAGGGUUAACGCAGAGGAUGUAAAUCUCUAGACUAUGGACUAGACAGCUUCACAUAUUUAUAAUACUAAUAUAUUAUUUUUCUUCAAUGCAUGUGACGGAGCGUGGGGCUCCUCACCGGGAGACCGCGCAGGUCCCCCUUUGCCGGUUCGGCCGGGGGCGCUAAGUGAGGUUCUUCGCCCUCGAUCUGAGGAACGUCAGAGAGAGAGGAAAUGCGCAAGACACGGGCGAUGUAGACAGGUUCGGGCCGCUGAGAAGCGUAACAUCCUACUCCUGUGUUCUGGUGGAUCUGUGUGUGAAGGAAUACAGAGAGGCGGAGAGCGAGAGAGAGUUCAGGCUCUAGAAACCAUUCGCCAGAGUCCCAACUUCCCUCCUCUCCUUUUUUUUUUCUUCUCCUUCCUUUCUCUCUAGGCCUGGGCCUCCUUUUAUCUGGUCAGGGGUCACCACAUGGGCCUCUAGAUGCCUAAGAAGGGAAACAUGCUUUUUACAAUGAGGGCUAAUCUACAGCCGGAAGUGACCUCUGACAAGCAGAGCGCACGCCUCCUGCCCCGCUCGCCCGCUUUUCCGGUGGACGCCCAUUUCAACCUUCAUUUAAUGGUCAGCGACUUCCCUGCCAUACUUGCGCUGAAGCCUGGAAUGGAUCUGACCGGGACUGACAUACCAACUCCUGGAGUUGGCACGCCGGCUCCGGCUAGGGACGAGAGCCAGGAAGCUCUCAUCAUUCCGACGGGACGGGGCGAGGCGUGUGACAGGCCGCCUGUUGCCACCUAACCCGCGAUCUGACCGGUCUGUGACCGGUCACUCACCGCGACCGGUCACGGACCGGAUAAGCGUGCGCUGCGCCGCAUUAAAUGCGGCGUGGCGCGCUCGUCCAACCUGCUAUAAAUGCGGUUAGGUGAGCCCGCUGUGCUCACCUAACCCACACACGUGGCGCCAAAACCACAGGGGGUCGGGGCGCCCCAGCCCUCAGGGCCGAAACGGGAGCGGCCCGACCCCUCGGGGAGACAGAGGGAGGGAUGGCCACGUCGCCCUCGGGCCCGACCCCCCCGAGGGGGUCCGGCCACGUGGGUGACCGCGGCUACCCAAGCCUCUAGUCACGAUACCCCCGGCCCCAUGUCACCGACAGCAUGCAGUUGCCAAGAAUAGAACUUCGAACAAGCUUUGACGAUACAGGCAUCACAAAUGUCCAGCGCGAUCUGUGCAACUUCAUCCACCGUGAGUGCUGUCAUGUGCGAGGAGAAUUCUUCAACCCAGAGGGUGCCCGAGCUACAAGUGACGAAUUCAAGCAACUUCAGGAGUGGAACACUGCUAUGCCAUAAUGUAGCUAGAUGGCGUAUUUUAAGUGACAAUGCAAAAAAAUAUUGUAAUAUAUAUAUUUUGACAACACUUUUCACUUAUGCAAUAUAUGUAGAUUUCUAAGUACCAUAUGUUUGAUAAUUACUAAUAAUCUUCCUGCAUCAAUUUCUAUUAAAUAAUUAAAAAGUAAUUUAUGGACAAAUUAUUAUUGUAUCAAAAUUUAAAAUUUUCUACCUAUCUUCGCAGGCGGAAGUUUUUUUUUUUGCAGGCGGCCACUUCCUAUUUUCGCAGACGGACCUGACUAGCUAACAUCCGCCUGCAAAAAUUGUCUUCGCAAGCGGACAGCCGUCCUGCCUACGAAGAUCGGCGAUCUUCAUAGUCGUUUGCUUACAGGCAGAUGGCCGGCCCUCCUGCGAAGACCGGUUUCCACCGCUGGCGAUAAUGCUUUUUCUAGUAGUGACUCAUUUUGAGUGAUUUCGUGUAAUAAUUGGCUGUAGCUCGUUUGAGCAAAAGCCGGGAUGGAUUGCUAUUCCAUUAUCUAAAAAAGAAUGCAUGUAUUGCACUGAAUGACACAUUUCUUGGAAAGAACAGAGUUUGUGUGCUACAACCUCGAGAUGUUGGAGAACUUGACCCUUGCCUGCUAAUUAGCCUUUAUGCUCAAGAGCAGCGAAUCUCUGCCCUCUAAUUUAGAUCUAACAGUGACUUAUAAACUGUUAGUCAAACUAGUUCCACUUUUGGUUGACCUAUAGAAAUCGACACUUUGAUCACCGUCGGUUCUAAUUCAGGCGACACUCAUAAAUUCUUCUAGGGUCAAAUAGUUAAACGGGAGCGUGCUUAUGGUCAUGGUUUUGUGUUCUUGGGAUAUGUUUUUUUUAACAACAUGCAUGAGGUAGUGUGAUGUUUUGUAUUGAUAGAGUAGAAAAAAAAUUACAAGACUAGGGAGGUUAUAGCCUAAAAAAGAAAAAAAAUAACCACAUCACACAUCUAUAACCAAAUCCUACAUGCUUCAUAUAUUCUCGAAAAUACUUCAUGCUUGAGCAAUAUUAUUAACAAUGGAGAAGAUCUACCGAUCAAAUAAUCACCAAUUAUAUCAAACAUCCAUUUGAAAUAAAAAUGAUUUAUCUGGCCGCAUGGCCACAUUCCUCACUUCCAUCACAUGGUUUAUCUUUGGAGAGCUUUUGCCAUGUUUGCCUUUAAAAGGAGUAAAAAUCCAACGCUCCAUAAUAAAAAGGUACCACUUAAAAGGUAGGUACGACCUAGCUAGUAAGGGUAAAAAGAGAAUUUUCCUAGGAGAAAGAGUAUGGUAAAAUUGUCUUUAGUUCUAGAGAAAAUUUCCUAUAUACCCCUGAAAAUUUACUCAAUCCCUUCGAUACCCCUAAAUUUGACAUCAUCCCUUAUAUACCCCUGAGUUUUCAUUUUGAUCUCCUCUAUACCUAUCUCCGUUAGUUGACCAUUAGUUGACCGUUAAAUAUUUUAAAAUGACUAUAUUACCCAUCCGAUACAUAUGUGGUACCUACCCAAUAAAUUUUCAUAUGAAAAAAAUUAACUUAUACAAAAUACAAGCAAUAUAAUCAUUUAAUGCUCAACUUAAAAAAUAAAACUUAUUAUUUUUUAUUUUUUAAAAAUUAUGAUUAAAUCCAUACAUUAGUUUCACUAGAAAAUUAAGAGCAAAAACUAAAUGUUAUUUAGGUUUAAAUUUUUGGGAAGAUAUACGAAAUUCAUCAAAUUUGAUCUGAAAUUUAUUUAAAAAUUUUUAAAUUUGUUUUCUAAUUUGUGAUAAACUAAUUACAUCCCCUUUGUUUUUUCACAACGAAUCUUUUUUCACUAAAUAUUUGUUGAAAAGUAAUUUUCAAAUUUUAUGCAGAACUUUUUUUACAAUAAAUCUUUUUUAUUUUAAUGAAAUAAUGUUUUAUUUUUAAAUAUUCAUAACAAAUAUUUAGUAAUUUAUUCCUUAUUGGUUUUCACAACUCAAAUAAUUUACACAUAAAACCUAGCUUUUAACAAUAUACCAAGGACAAUAAAGUAACUUCUACAAUAACUAAUAGUCAACUAACGAAAUGGGUAUGUAAGGGAUCCAAAUAAAAACUCAGCGAUAUAUAAGAGAUCAAACAAAUUUUAGGGGCGUAGAAGGAAUUGGGUGAAAUCACAUGGGCAUGUAGGGAAUUGGCCCGCCGAUAAGCACGUAGGUACCACAUCGGUACCUUAUUUUCUACUUGUCAUUUUUUAUCAUUUACAUUUUUCUUCUUAAGUACAUGUUCGCUCAGUGAACCUCCAUUAAGUGAUUUACAUGCUUUGUAGAAUUCAUUAAUUAACAAAAAAAUUACAUGUUUUAGGAAUUAAAUAACUUAUUCUAUAAUACCAUGCACCUAGAUUUAAAUAUUGAUCCAAAAUUAAUAAUCUUCCUGAUUUACCUCAUGUUUGGCCGAUGCGCUUCCCCUUGCCAUUGUCGAGCUGAUCUCAUCUCCUGUUCAAUUCUCAACCAUUCCAACGCUUCUCCCUCUUUUUUUUUCCUGGUGAACCGCAAUUCAUACCCUAGAACGAGAAUGAAGCGAUGUGGAAGAAGAGAAAGAAGACACAACCUGAUCUUUUUUCCCGUGUAGUUCUAAUCGAUGCCUAAAUCAAUACCUCAGAAUAUUUACAUUUUAAGUAUUUGAGUCAACGAUAAUCCGAAUAUUUCACUAGCUAGUUAAUUACUCUACUGCCAUUUGUUACAAUAUCUUUUAUUCCAUAGCUUACCCCUCUCUUGAUUAAUGGUCCAUUGCUCCAUCUCUCUAAAUACCUCGCAAACACUGUAAAACCUCUCUUAUAUUUGGUACAAAAUGAUCUGUACGCGAUCAACAAUGGGACACAAAGAUACAAGAGGCACGAAUAAAGAAGAAAUAUAGAUUUCUGCAAUGAAAUCAAUAAGCUUAAUUUUGAUACCCAGGCUCCUGACAUUUUCGCUAAAUGGUGUAUUCUUAUUUACAAAUUUUCAGCUCUGUGACGCAGUCACACACUCAUGCCAUUUGUCCCAUCACCAUCACAGAAACAUUCAGCACCUUGCAAUAGACUGCAAUCUGCCACCUAAGAUGGUGGUAAAACAACUUAGAUCAGUCUGUCUUCUACAUGAUACAUGGAUAGCAAGGUCAGCAAAAGAACAAAACACAAAUCGUAAGGGUAAAAACAUGGUGAAAUUCCGAACACCUCCCACUCUUAGACCGGGUUGUCAGAUUCUCAGAGACUGGUAAGAUCAGUGUCAUUCCCCAGGCUACAAGCCUACAACUGUGAAUGGCCUUUCUCACGAUUACCAUUUGGCAGCUGCUGCUAUGUACAAAGCAAUCCCAGCAGCAAAUAUGACUGACUAUUUAUGCAUCCUUUAGUUCCUUUUCAAGUACUUCUCGCAUUGUCUUUGCGGCAAUUUUCAGGUAGCAAUAUGGAUGUGCAGAUACUGUCCUGGGUUUUGCACAGGAUAUCAGUUAUUAUUAUUUCUCAUUGUGAAAACAUCUUGUAACCAUUGUGUGAAUUGUCGGUACACACACACCAGUCCAAUAGCUAACAAGAUGCCAAAGAGCCAAGUAACAUCUCAACAAUGUGUACUAUUGAAUCACAACAACUAAGCCAACCAGAGGGGGUGAAUGGUUGUUAUACCCAAAAACCGAAAACUUUUAGCGGAAAUAAAAGUUACCCUCAAAUUCGACGGAUCGUGGUCUGACCGAAGUAAUUGCGCCAGUCUGACCGCCUGGUUGCCGUCGGUCUGACCGAGAUUGAAUCUACGGUCUGAGCGCCGAGAUCAGCUCCUGUUGCCGAUACCGGUCUGACCGCCGCGAUGCCGCCGGUCUGACCGCCGAUGUGUCGCCGGUUAGACCGUCGAAACCCGGUGAAACACAAAUCGAAGAACUCUUAAAGUGGAUGACAACUUUAUUGAUUCUCUCUGUGUUUACAAAGUGCACCAACAGCACUCCUUACAAAAAUUUCGACUAAACUCGAAACCCUAACUCAACUCUCAACUCAAUUGCUCUCAAAAAACGAUACCGGGAACCCUCACGCUCCCCCUCUAUUUAUAUCCGAGGUAGGCAGCCUAAAGCCAGGAACCAAACUCAUAUUAGAAGUCCUAAACACCUUAGGAAACCCUCUAGUACAAGAAACAAACUUUACAUAACCACUCAUACCAAAUUUGGACUCAUUCCAAAUUCGACUCCGCAUCCCAUACGCACACAAUACCUCCAUCGUAUGCCAUAUGGAAUCUUCACCAACCACGUGCAUCAACUCUAGCAUAGGUAUCCCACAUGAUCUCUAACCACCACGGACGUCGUCUUAUCCCCAAGCCCACUCCCGGUCCAUCACCGCAAUUACUCUCCCGAGGCAUCAAGUCACCUACACAUGAAAUAAACAAAGAAACCAUAUUCCGAGACCAAGCUAUCUCCAACUUGACUCAUUAGUAGCAAACAACAGUAUUACAUACGUAUAGUAUCCAUCUAGAAACCAUAAUCACGAAACAAUCACGGAUAUCCAAACAAACAACGCGAAACCGAAACCGACACAGCGUCAGCCGGUCAGACCGUGGGCUGCGCCGGUCUGACCGCGCGAUACACGCCGGUCUAACCGGCAACCCAUGUCCGGUCUGACCGGUCCCAAAACAGCAGCACCUGUAUAUCACCUGUGAAAUCCAAUCUUCUCCAAAACCACUUCGUAAAUAAAUUCCAAAUAUCAAAACCAAUAAUCUCCAAUGCCAAUUGUUCAUCACAGAAUAAUAAUCAAAAACACCUUUAAUUUUACAAACAAAUGUGUCAUGGUCUCAUGGAUCACAGUAAAAUAAUGUAAAUUGUCAUAGAAAGUAAAACCACCUUGUCCUACUGAGUCCAACUGAGAGAUCAUUGCUCAAGCAUGAUAGCUCCACGUGGCGGUUUUUUAGCUAGAAAACGAGUCAUAGGGCCACCAUUUUCUAUUGCCAUUACUUUCAAAUUAUUGACCUGUAAAAACUUUUAGCGAUUAACUUUGCCAAUAUUUUCAAUUUCCAGAACUCUCCGUUUCGAAUGAUAAUAUGCGGCACUCAAAGGAGAAAUAUAGCUGUAAUUGAAUGGUGACAAAUGUCUAUGUUUGGCAGCUAGUUAGAACCACCAAGAAUAUAUUUAAAUUUGGCGGCUGUUUUUUUGACCGUCAAAGAAAUCAUUUGGCCGCUAAGAAAAUUUACUGAUUCUUCAUUCUUGUAGUGAACUGGUACUCACAACAACUUUAAUCUAUCCACAGUUGUAUGAAAAUAACUUGCUUGACAGAUGGCAUAAUGCGCGAACAAGAAUUAAACAACAAUAAUUAUGCGACGGCUUAAAGCAACUGUAAUAGAAGUGGCCAGUAUACUUCUACUUUUAUCCGUAUCAUCAUACUUUAUUUUAUUGGUUUACUCAGAAUUUAUCUUACCUUUUUCUCUGUACUUUUAUUAGAAAUUACAGAGAGCCUACUGCACGAGGGAAAGUUCAUCCAGUUAUCACAUCUCCUCCAACUUUUCACCUCUAUCUCAAUGGAGUUCCAAGCAGCCACCCCAAGUUUUACUGCAUAUGUUCAUAGCAGGCUGUUGACAUCUUGCAUGGAGCUAUGCUAGGAUUUCAGAUUCCAUGGAUGGAUAUACUACUAUGUAAGAAUAUGUGUAUGAAAUUUAUUAGCGAGGAGCAAAGUUUCGAAUUCAGAUCAGGUGCAACUAGCGAGGAGCAAAUUUUGAUUCAACGUAAUGCCAAUAUUUCAGUAGUUAAUUACUCUACUGCCAUUGGUUACAAUAUUUUUUCUUGCAUACCUUUUUUCUCUCUUGAUCAAUGGUCCACAUUGCCCCACCUCUCGAUAACUCUAAAUAGCUCGUAAACACUGUAAAACCUCGCAUAUCUUACGUACAAAAAGAUACACGAGGCAAGAAUAAAGAAGGAAUAUAAUCAAAGAGGUAAAUUUUGAUACCCGGGCUCCUAACAUUUUCGCUAAAUGGUGCAUUCUUAUUUACCAAUUUUCACACAGUCACACACUAACACGCAGGACCUUGCAAUAGACUGCAAUCUGCCAGCUAAGAUGUUGGUCAAAUGUCACGCCCGGAAAUUUCCCCCUUUUCCUUGCUUUAAAAAAAUGGUUAAAUAAAUUACGCGAAGAAAUGGUUUGAAUUAACCUAGAGCUAAUUUCCUAUCUAAUGAAUGCAAUUAAUAAUUGGAAAUGGCAUUGUGGAAUUUUUCUUAGGUUCCCCAUGCUCCAAUACAUUAACAAGAUUUUUAAUGGAAUUUUCAGAGCCUUAAAAUUAAUUUUAACCAAUUAAAAAUGAGCAAGUGCAAUUUUAAAUCUCAGGAAAAAUCCUUUCUUCUUUUUCUUUUUCUUUUUCCUCCUUUUUCCUCUUCUUGGGCCAUCGGCCCACCUUCCUCCUCCCGCGCGCCCCUUGAUGGGCCGGCCCGCUCCUCUCUUCCCCUCCCCGAAGUCCUCCCUCACUCCCUGGGUGACGUCAGCCGUUGCAAGAGCCGUCGCCUCGCCGCGCAAUCACCGCCGCUAGCUUCGCCGCUAUGAGAGCUACCUCGGCCGCCGCUUGCUUUCCGUUCGCCACCGUCGUACCGCUCUCCCCACGCGCCGCUGCCUACUACCGCCUCCGGCCGCGCGCCACCACCGCUAAAGCCGCCGCCGCACCGUGAAACCGUCGCUGUCGCGCUCGCCAGUGUCACCCGCACCUCGGUCGCCACUCGGUUGCCAUCCGCCGCCGCCGGAACCCGAUUCCCUCGCAUCGCCGGUGAGGACCCCUUCCCUCCACCUCCUUUCCUUCCCCUUCCCGCGAGCGCCGAGCCACGCCGCCGUUCCGGCCGUGCGCCGUCGCCUUCGCGCCGGCCACCGCUGCCUCGCCGUCCGUCGGUCGUAGUCGGAGGCCGCGUGCCGCCGCCGCCGCCCUGCCAUGGUCGGCCGGCUUGAGCGGUGCCGAACCACCAUAUACUCCCCCUCCCGCCUUGUGCCGCUGCCCGGUGGGCCCCACCAGCUGGUGAACCACCCCUCCCCUUGAGCCACCAGCCGGUGCCCCCUCCCUCUCCCCUUGUGCCACUGACAAGCGGGGCCCGCCUGUCGGCGCCGCCCCUCCCCCCUUGGGUGACGUUAGCCCUGGGGAUUUAUUGCGCAAUAAAUAAUUAAGGACUUUUUCUUUGUCAGUAAAAACAUAGUUUAUCUUCUAAAAUUCAUAAGUAAUUCAUCCGAGCUCUGUUUAAGUCCAUUCAAGUCUCAGUAAUUUCAUAAAAAUGCAAAGAAUCCAUUAAAAAUGGUUUUGUCCCUGUUUCAGUAGUCUUAUAGCAUGUUUUGCUUGUGUGCAUUGUUUGUCGCGUAGAUUUCGACCGUUUCGUCGAUCCGCGGUUUGUCGAAGACGUUGUUGAGGUCUCAUCAGUACGAGAGCGAGGCAAGUCAUGCAUUAUAUUUGAUCAUAUUGUACCCUAUUUACAAAUAUCCCGCAUUUCUAUUAAAUGUUGCAUUCUUUUUCAAUGUCAUGUGGGAUGGGUCCUAUUACUCAGCCAUAUAUUGUUUACCACAUGCCAUUGAUAACUUGGGUAUCAAAAUGAUUAGAUGUUGGUUUAGGAAAUGCUUAGCCAUGCUUAGUUCAACUAGUACACAAAUGGGGAUCCCAUUAUUACAUAGACUUUGGCUAUUAGCAUAGCUUUGGAUUGGUGCCACCGUAAUGGUGUUAGUUAAUUAAAAUACACUGAAUGGUGGGCUGUGGGUGCAUGGUUUUGCUGGUCGCACCCAUGGCAAUUAAGGACCGAUUCACGGGAAUCCCUGGGAGACUUACCGUGCUUACCACAAGCGGGAGUGGGUAACUGCUUGAUCUAAAGUAUAGCUCGACCCUUUCCUAGGCACCGGUGGUGAGGGUGGGCGUGAUGGAGUUGGGUCGGCUAUGGUGUCCGGUUGUCCAGCUGCCGGAUUCACCGCGGCGCAAGAGGGGACCGCCCACUGCCUUUUGAGGGGUGGGGGUGAAACCUUAGUGUGGUGUGGAUGGUUAGGGGAGGGUUAUGCGGAGGGUCUUGUCACGAUUUCCCCCUUUGAAGUAUCAUGAUGAUGCUUCCGGGCAUGGCGACAUGUGUGGAAUUGUGUCUUGUGGGUACAGUUGUACACCUCUGGCUAGAGUAAAACUAUUCGAAUAGCCGUGCCCGCGGUUAUGGGCAAUCAACCAGAUUCACCGUGAUUAGUCUCACCCUAGUUUACCUUAAUGAACUGGUGUAGUUCAGGUGGUUGGUUGGGCCUCUUGCAACAUGGUGUAGCGUUGGACAGUGAUUGGUUAAUAUUGAUUAAUUACUACAACUGUUUUACUGCUUUCAACUUCUGCUUUUAAAUGCUAGCUUUAUGCAAAAGAACCUUUAGCCUCCUUUGGUUAUAUCCUGCAUCAUACAUCCUUUUCCGGUAUGACUUGCUGAGUACAGUGGGUAGUACUCAGUCUUGCUCUCUUUUUCUCCACACCAGAGCUGAAGAUCUUCCUAGUGGGAGCUGUUUUGUCGAAGUUGGUUUCGUCGCUGCCGUCAAGGAUUGCCUGUGGAGUGGAGUCACCCCGCUGCUGAAGUCAAGCUAUCCCGGUUUAGCUCGCUUUUAUCUUUUCCGCUGCAUUUGUAAUCUUUUAUAUUUUUAUAAGUCGUGGAUCUGUAUGUCAACAAUUGUUGUUUGUAUACCCUGGCUGGUCCUGGACAGGGAUUUAAUGCAUAUUCAGCUUAGAAAUUCUGGUUCGUGAAUUUCUGGGCGUGACAUCAAACAUCCAAGACAAAUCAGUCUUCUACAUGGUACAUGGACAGCAAGGCCAGCAAAAGAACAAAACACAGAUCGUAAGGGUAAAAACAUGGUGAAAUUCGGAACACCUCCCACUCUUAGACCGGGUUGUCAGAUUCUCAGAGACUGGUAAGAUCAGUGUCAUUCCCAGGCUACAACUGUGGAUGGCCUUGCUCACGAUUGCCAUUUGGCAGCAGCAGCUAUAUACUCUAACACGCCCAACAGCAAAUAUGACUGACUAUUUAUCCAUCCUUCUGUUCCUUUUUAAGUACUCCGAGUGCCUCCAAAGUAUAAUUGUUGUGACUACUGCAGUAAUGUGCGUAACACAUAAAAAUGCUAAUGUUUUCUCGCAUUGUCUUUGCAGCAAUUUUCAGCUAGCAAUAUAGACACGCAGAUACCGUCGUGGUUUUGCACAGGCUAUCAGUUAUUAUUAUUGUUCAUUGUGGAAGCAUCUUGUAACCUUUGUGUGAAUUAUCGGCCUGUACACACUCCUAGUCCAAUAGCUUAAAAGAUGCCAAAGAGCCAAGUAACAUCUCUACAAAAGUGUCAUGGAUCACUGUAAAAAAAAAGUAAAUUGCCAUAGAAAGUAAAGUCACCUUGUCCUACUGAUAGGGCUGUCAACGAGCCGAGCUCGAGCGAGCUUACCUACCUAAGCUCGAGCUCGGUACAGGCUCGAGCCGAGCUCGAGCCGAGCCCAACAUUACCUUCGAGCUUGAAGGUAGGCUCGGUUCGAGCUCGAUCAAGGCUCGGCUCGACUCGAGCUCGAUUCGUAGAAGCUCGUUAAGACUGUUUCCUUCAGCAAUCUGAACUUAUCUCCCAAUAAAAGUUUCUUAACAAGCCAAAGUAGGAUUACAAAUUCAUAAUAGAAUAUAAUAGCUUCUCGACAGGUAUAUACUAGAAAGAUUACAAAUUCAUAGUAGUGCAUAAGUCAUAAUAGGAUUACUGUAUAACACCAUAAGAAACAUUACAAUAUCAUGUGUCAAUGACUUGACAGAACAUAGAGCAUCAAUUAACAUCAAAAGUAGCCCACCGGAAGUUCCCAACAUAUGUUCCAUCUAAAAGCUCUAAUAUCUAAAUAUUACUUAUACUACUAACACAGCGUACUUCAAAUUUCAACUGUCACAAAAUAUUUACUCCACUAUUGGCAAUGGCAGUACGCCAAUGUGAAUCCUCCAAGCACUUUCAUCAAACUAAUUGUUGAUGCUAUGCUAAUGCCUGCAUUAAUGUUUCGUAAAGUUAAAUCUGAAACCAUGUGCAAAGAUUAUGUCACGCCCCGAACUAGUACCGACCGGAACUAGCCCGUGACGCUCCAAAUUAACCUGUUAAUCGAUACCAGUCCCAGGAAACAGUGCUGGUAUCACAGGGAGACAGAAUAUCACAGCAACAGAGGUCUCUUUAUUAUAGAGUAGAAGUACAGUCAUGUUGGGCUGCAGACAGAUCCCGAGCUCACAACUGCAUUACAAAAGGGAAACGGAAGCCAGGGCUUGGACCAAACAUCACAGGCGCGACUUGGGAACUAGGCCGAAACCCUAAAACUCAUCGAAGCCGGCUUGCUCCUGGAAGAACUCCUCAUCAGCGGGAUCCGCUUCAUCUUCUUCAGCAACUGGAGGGGGGAAUUAUUUAUAUAGAGCAAAGGUGAGUACAGGAGUACUCAGCAAGCCAGGGGAAAUAAGUGUUUAAUGCAGGCUUCAAAGAAAGGCUGGUGUUUUUGCAAUUAAAUUUUAUUUGAACUCUUUUCUGAAAACAACUAGGUGAGUGCUUCUUAAACGACACGGAUGAGACAGUGCGUUUCGUCCGGUCGGAGUAUGUGCAAUGUAUUAAUCUUUAGAAUUUGAAACAAGGUUGGCACCCGGCCAACAGCUUUUCAACGGCCACCCGGGCCAACAACUUUUCAAACGGCCACCCGGGCCUAGCUGAUCCCAUCAGCUACAGAUUUUUCAAACAUUGAACCCCUUUUCUCAACAGCAAUUUCACAAGCAGUAGUCAAACAAAACUACGCUAGGAAUCACCACACAUCCGCCCAUGACCGUGGGCACGGCUGUUCGAACAGUUAGUUAACCUCUGCAGAGGGGGUACACUUUACCCACACGACAUUACUAACCCGGAUCACCCAGCCCGUGGGAAUCAGCCACGUCGGGGGACCUCCAAGCUUUCAUGACAAGGCAUUUCGAAAGCCGACACAGGUUUACCAUAUGCCAACGAGAGGGGUCCCAGACCAACAACAGGUUAGGUCCCAGACCAUACUGUGCCAGGAAGCCCAGGGGUCCUCCCCGACACCACCCCGGCGAAUCCACAUGUCUCUCGGCAUCAAGGCUCCCCUGAUAAGCUAGUUACUCAGCCAGGGGUGUCCCAUUCCACCCAUGUGGUCGUACUUGUCUUAUGUUUGGAUGAAAUUCCAAGGAAAUGGUCCUUAAGUGCAAGAGCGGGAAACCGUACACCCGGUACGUUCCCCGGUCCGCGGUUUUGGAAAUUCAUUUAGUUCACAAGCACCGACCCAGGUGUCGGGUUUUCCAAGUCUUUUGUAAAACCCAAGUUUUACCCAAGAUGUUUAUCAUAUUUUAAGUUUGAGGGCGACCGUCGAUACUCGCACAGAGUGCACGAGUAUCGAGGCGCAACUGGAUGGUUACAAGGGGACAUGGUACAACAAUUAGCAAUGGAGGGAUCAGAUGCAACAAUUUAGGUAGAUCCGCCAAUCUGCCUUGCAAACGGGACAACAGAUUAAGUGCGAUCCUAUCAAUGCAUAAUAUUUUUCAAGCAACAUAAUUAAAUUUCAAAUAUAGGCUCAAGAUGUUCAAAGGUGGCUUGCCUUGCUCGAGAUCUGGAGCUUGAUCCUCGAAAUCCUCGCACUGCGGGUCUUCGGGCUCCGAAACUACACGCGAAACGGGACAACUCAACAAACAGCGAAAAUAAAGCCCUAUUAAUGACCUCUCAGUGUUCCAUUAGAUAGAUCUCGAGAUUUGAGGAAUUUUGGAAGUUGAACGGAGUCAAACGGAUUUACGGUUGGGAAGAUAUUGAAUUUCUAAAAUUAUUGGAUUUUUGGUCUAAAGGAAAAAGGAUUUAAUUAAAUCCUUUUGAAAAAGAAAAAGGAAGAGAGGGGGGAAAUUAGACUUUUUCUCGGGCGGCUAGGGCGCGGCCCGAGUGGAAUGGAACGGUCCGGCCGGACUAAAUGGGCCGGCCGGCCCAAAAGGCGGCCCAGAACGCGCGCGGGAGGGGAAGAGAGAGGGAGCCGGUGGACCGGGCUCACCACGCGUGGUCCCGGGUGGGACCCGCUUGUCGAUGGCACGGUUCACCGUGCGGAGCGAGCACGAGGCGCACGCGCACGGGCGGGGAGGGAUGCGGUGCAUAGGCGCAGUUCGCGGUGAACGCGGAUGCGGCGGACCCACGCGCAGCCUCACGGCUCGCGGUGGACCGCGCCCGCGAGUGGUGCUGGAGGGAGCGGCUGACCGGGGUCGACUCGACCCGGUCUCGGUCGAGCUGGCACCGACGUGGCGCCUACGUGGCUGCCACGCGGGCCGGCGGGAGGUAGACGACGACGUCGGCCGGAACGGACGGCGGACGACAGCGGCGAGCGGCGGAGCGAACCACGGCGAUACAGGCGAAAGCGAGCACACCGGGUGGUUGCACGAGACGAGGGGAGACGAGCCAAUGGCUCGGAUUCGCCGGAGGAUGCCCGACGGCGGCGGAUUGCGGCGGCGGCAUCCGGCGGCGGAGGAAGGGGAAAACAGCGACGAGGUCUCGGGGGGCCAAUUCCCGGCGGCGAGAGCAACUACGCGGCUACGGGAAUCCGAUGCUAGCGUCGGAUUGGGCGGAGGUACGCCGAGCGAGGCCGGCGACGAGCGGCGCUUCCGAGCUCGGGCGGCGACGGCGGCGAGCACACGGCGAGCGACGGCAACGGUCGGGGCGGCGCCGGCUAACUACGGGGAGGCUACUCGAGCUACUACCGAAAGCUAAGGGGGAGAGAUGGAGCAAGGAGGAAGAACGGAGGGAGGCACUACCGUGCGGGACGGGGCGCAGUGACGAGAGACCGACGGCGCGGGAGUGAUCUCUCCGGCCUCGGGCCAAGGAAGAGGAAGAAGAGGGCGCGCCCAGAGUCCCCUUCCGCGUCCUAGUGUGCACCGGCUCCUUCGGCACACACGCGACGACGAAUGGCGAUGGCGAACAGGGCACCGGGGGCGGCGGCAAUGGCGAGGAGGCGAGUGGGAGAGGAAAGGAAAGGGGGAAACUCGGGUUUAUAGGAUGGCAAUGUCAGUUUGGGAACCGACUUUGGGCGGUCAAGGCGCGAGCUGGCGCUCGGCGCUCGCGUCCAAAUCGGCGACAGGGCGGAGGGGGGGAAUGACGCCGGCGGGAGGAAAAGGGGAAAAGGAGGGAGAGAAAGGGGGCUCGCCCCUUUCUUCUUUGGGAAAAGGAGGAAGGGAGCGCGGGCGUCGCGGCAGGGGGAGGAGGGCUCGGCAUCCGUCCCUUGGCGGCUUGCGCACGGAGUGGCGGGGCCGGGCGAUGACGACGGCGAUGACGGCGGGACGGUGUGGAGCGGAGCGGCGACACGGGCGACAGACGCGUGCAGAGGCUGACGGCGGCGGCGACCGGGCGGUCGGCCACUCAGCACGCGCGCGCGGCUUGCAACGGGAGGCGCGGCGGGGCAGCGGGGCCGGACGGCGCAGACGGCGCAGACGGCGCAGACGGCGCGACGCGGGCGACGACCACGCGGGCGCGCGCGCGCGAACGACGGCGUCGGGAAGCGGCAGCGAGGGAAGCGGAGAGGAGGGCUCGGCUCGGCGCGGGCGGCUUACGCGCACGCGCGUGGGCAGAGCGGAGGGGCGCUCGGCGCGGCGACGCGCGCUCGCGCACGACGCGCGAGGGAGGGGCGCUCGGCGUGGCGACGUGCGCUCGCGCACGCGGCGGAGCGGAGGGAGAGAGGGAGAGAUAGCUGGGGAGGGAGGGGGAGAUGGGCUGAGAGAAAUUCGGCCCAUCGACCCCGGGGAGGCAAACUAGACUUUUGCGGAGGAAUUUGAUUUGGAAGGAUUUGGAUUCGGGAUUGAACUCGACGAUAUAUCGGGGAUUGAGAUCUUGAGAUGGCACGGACACUAGACAACAAGCAAAGAAACAAAUUUCGCAAUUAGGGUUUUUAAGAGAUAAUUUUCCCGCUAGGCGCCACGACGGAACGGGCGCUACAGAUUAUAGGUAAUGUUUCAUCAGUGAUGAGGAAUUGAUAUGGUAGCAAUAGAUAAUUUAUAUAACCUCAAACAUAUACCUGACAAACGAGUCUAAUUGCUGCCCACAACCGAAUUUGCAGUUGAAGCUUGAGUUGGGACAAGGAUAAUAGAAUUAGUAUCAUCCUCCUAGUAUGCAACAAACAAGUAAACACAGAUUAUUAGAUUGUGUAUCUCUAUUAAUUGGUUAGAAACAUGAAAAUAUAAGAACUUACUAAAUCUGUGCUUUUGUGGUGGCCUCCUCUAAUCCAACUAGAUGUACACACCAAAGCUUGUACUGUUGAUGGGAGUAAAGAGCUGCGAUAAUCACUAAUCACUCGACCCCCUGUGCUGAAAGCUGAUUCAGAUGAGACUGAGGUGAUGGGAAUAGUAAGAAUAUCCUUGGCCAACUUUGCCACAAUUGGAUACUUUAAUUCAUUCAUCCUCCACCACUGAAGUAGAUUGAAACUUUUUGCAGGAAUAUCCUCAACAGGAUCAUCUAAGUACCUCUUUAAAUCUGACUUAGGAAGACUAGCAGCAUUCUUUGAUUUCAUAUACUCAUGAAAUUGGCUAGCAGCAGAGAAAUGACUACUAGUAGUGCCCAGAGAUGUACUAGUAGAUUGAAUGGUGGCAUCAUUUUCCUUUGAUGUGCUCUGGAGUUCACUUUCAUAUGAUGCAUGCAAAGAUUUCAAUGUGGAUUCCACAUUUGUAAGUUUCUUAGGAAGUACAGUUUCUUCAUACAAAGCAGGGAAUGUGUAGUUAAUCAUACCCAUCUUAAACCUUGGGUCUACAACCAAAGCAACUGCAAACAAAGUAUUGCAUUCUGGGCCCCAGUACUUCUCAAAUUUUUCAAGCAUUGCAUUUGCCAUUUCUUUAAGAAUUGGGUCUUUGGACUUCAACAACUGACCUAGUACUCUCUUAAUAUCGACAAUGUGAGAAUAAAAAAGGUUAGAUGUUGGGUAGGUUGAACCUGAGAACUCCUCAGUGGCUGCAUGAAUGACAGAAAGGGCAUCAUUGACUUCACAAUAUAGAUUCCAUUCCUCUGGUGUUGGCAGCCACCUAUAGUUUGCAUCUCCUGCAGCAUAUACAUCCAAGGCAGACCUAUAAAAAAAUGCAGAUUGCAGCAUUUUGAAGGUUGAGCCCCACCUUUUUGUAAGAAGGGUUUAGCCUCUUUAGCAAAACAUUAAACCAUGUAUACUCCACAAGGCAAAAUGGCAACUCAUGGACAAUGAUCAUUUUGCAAAUAAGCUCACUUAUCUUUGUAGGAUCAUAAUAACCAGGGACAGAAACACAAGGAGCAUCAAGAUCAACAUCACCUUCAUCAAGGCUAGGGAAAUUGAUAUUCUGUUGUUUUAUGGAUUUUUGUUGAAGCUUGUGAUAAUCACACUGCUCUAAAUGCCUCCGCCAAUGUGUUGUAGUGCCACUACUAUUCUUGGUGAGCAGAGUUUCACAUGCCUUACAUUUGACCUUAUUUUCCAUUUCUCCUUUCUUCUUCUUUGAUGGCACAGUGCAUUCUUCAAAGAAAUCCCACAAUGGAGAUUUCUUUUUCCUGGUGGCUUUAGUUGGGUUUCCCUCUUGGCCCUCUUCUCCCCUUACUUCACCUAGUACUAGCUGCUGAUUCGGUUGUGCUUCUGUUGCUGCUAUGCCAUCCCUAUUGCUCGGUGACUCGAUCUAUAUAGAUAGCUGUCUUUGCAGGUUUACAGACAUCUACAAAAAUUAAAAAUACCAACUGCUAUCAAUAUAUAUUCUGCACAAGGGAAGGAAUCAAACAAGUACAACAAGAAAAGCAUUGCCAUCAAUUUACCUUGGCAAAUGGCAAACACACGGUGUUCUGCAACCUUCAGUCUUUCUUCAGAAGAGGAGCACAGCAAGAUAAGUACUACUCCAUGUCUCCACCUAGUCCAUAAAAUUCAAUGUAAAUCAAUAACAUCCAUCAAGCAACUAAACACUACACAGUUAAUACAUGUAGGGCCCUAGAUACAUGUGGGUGCAAAAGAAAUAAAAAUGUAAAACAAAGAAAGAAGAGGAAACUUACUCAGAUCCGAGUCGUCAGUUCGUCACUCAUGGCGGAGGCGGUGGGCUGCUGCUGUCCUCCAUGGGGUUCUUCCUGGAUAGGAGAGGCGAAGGAUGGACAGUGCUUGGCUAGAUCCACAGCAGUGGUCAGUGGAGCACUAGAGCAGCCUAGGAUUGUAGAUCUAGAAGAGAAAUGUUUCGAGGAAGAGAGCAAAUGAGCUAGGGUUUGGAUACGGGAUGGGGAUAUAAGGGAAAUAAAUGGUUAGGUGAUGGACUGCUGUUGGUGGUAGGAUUUUGGAAUUGGAGUGCGGGAGAAAUUGGGAUGGGUAGCGGGAGUGAAAAUUUCAAGCUUCUGCCGAAUAGCUCGAGCUCAGCUCGGUAGAGCUCGCAAGCUUCGAGACAAGCUUGAGCUCGGCUCGAAUCCUUGCCGAGUCGAACUCGAGCCAAGCUUGCGACGAGCCGAGCUCGAGCUGCUCGCGAGCUCCGAGUUUUUUUGACAGCCCUACCUACUGAGACCAACCGAGAGCAUGAUAGCUCCACAAGUUAAUUUUUUUUUGCCGGACAACGAGUUCUGGGGCCACCAUUUUCUAUUGCCAUCAUUUUCAAAUUACUUGCCUGUACAAACUUUUAGUGAUUAACUUUGCCAUUAUUUUCGAUUUUCAUAAUUCUCCGUUUCGAAUGAUAAUAUAUGACACUCGAAGGAGAAAUAUAGCUGAUAUUGAAUGUUAACAAAUGUACAACUGGUACUCACAGCUUAAUUUAUCUACAGUUGUAUGAAAAUAUCUUGCUUGACAAUUUAGAAACCCAGAAACUUGGGCAUAUCCACUCUGCAGAUGGCACAAUGCCCGAACAAGAGUUAAACAAUAAUUAUGUGAUGGCUUAGAGAACUGUAAUAGAGGUGUAAUAUAGGUGGCCAGUGUACUUUUACUUUAUCCAUAUCAUCAUACUUUAUUUUAUUGGUUUACUCGCAAUUUAUGUAACCUUUUUCUCUGUACUUUUAUUAGAACUUAUAUAGAGAGCCUACUGCACGAGGGAAGGCUCAUCUAGUUGUCACAUCUCUUUGAACUUUUCACCUCUAUCUCAAUGGCAUUCCUAGCUGCUACCCCAAGUUUUACUGCAUAUGUUCAUAGCUGGCUAUUAACAUUUUGUGUGGAGCUAUGUUAGGAUUCCAGAUUUCAAGGAUGGAUAUACUAGUAUGUAUGAAUAUGCCCCUAUUGUAUGAAAUAUAUUACCGAGUAGCGGAGUUUCAAACUCAGAUCAAGUGCAGUAUUUGGAGAGAAAAAAAUUACAAAAUGGCACGCCCGGAACCCACUGGGCAUGCCAUUUUGUUUGGAGAGAAAAAAAAAAUAAAUUUUUAUCCCUCAGCCCAGGGAAAUAAAAUAAAAAUAUGCGGGCGUGCCAGUGUACUAAGUAAAAAAAAUAAAGUGGACGAAGGAAAAAUGCAUUUUAUUAUAAUUCUCGAAGAAUUACAAAAAUACAGAAUCCUUAGUCAAAUACGCUCCAUGGCACAUAAGCAAGGUGGAUCUGACAUGGCGAUUGUGAUCUCCUGGUUCCCGGGGUCUCGGAAGACACCCGGUUAAUUACUCUCGCGGGUUAAACCCGUGAGAUACCUCCGAUUAAGCUACGCUGGUCGUUGUCGUCUGUCUUCGCUUCACGUUCUCCCAUGCAUGAUGGUGAUAGUGGUGCAGAUGUGUGUGAGUGGGCGCCGGCGGUGUUCGCGGCCUCAUCGGUCCACACGCCGGUGUUGGUGACGUCGUCUUGAUGUCGACUCGGUUCGCCUUGCCGUUUUUGCCUCAUCGGUCUUGGACGGCAUGUUGGUUUAUAUUGUUAUUGAAGACAUGCAUGGAAUAGUGUAGCCCGGAUGACCCGAUGACGUAGGAAUUACAUCAGAAUUAGAUUAUAAAAGUAAAAUGAUCAACGUGAAUGAUAGCCGAAUUGGUCAUGGCUGGGAAGUUUAAUACGCAGCAGCCCCAAAUGAGUAUGAAUCUGCAAACUCAUUUUUGCUUGUCACCAUGUACAGUAGCAUGUAUGCAUGUCUUGUUUUGUUGGCUCGUCACCGUAUACAAUAACAUGCACAAGUCAGUCAGCAUCCGCGACAUGGGACGGCUCCGCAGCGUAGCGCCCUGGCGGCUGCCUCGACUCCCUUUGGCGUGCUCCAGUGAGGCAAAAUGACAAAAAAAAAAAACCUUCUCCGGCGAGCAGCGGAUGAUGACGAGCAUCGCUUGGCAGCGUUGCGUCAUCUACGGACUCAGGCGGCUCGGCGAUGUCCCCGGCAACUCCGACGAGAUGGCUUACGACGUAGCUGGAGCUGGUGACGCCUUGCGGGCACCGAGUAGUGGCACUCCGGCCGGCGUUCUCCUCGAGCAACCAGCCGAUGAGUUCGAAGAAGAUGGUAACGUCGACGAGAGCGAGCGAACGUCAGUGAUGUCGCGAAGAGGAGGCUGCGACCGGGAAGGUGACAACGUCCAGCGUCUCGGCGACAUCACAAGGCGUCGUGGGAUAGAGGUUGCGGCCGGCGAGGCAAGGACGUCGUGGCAGCAGGUAGAUGUGUCACCGGCAACCGACGUCUCCGAUGAGAGGGAGUGACGCGAUCUCCGGCCGGCGGUGCGUCCGACAGGCGGAGAGGACGCUAUAUCCGGCGGGCCGAGCAGCAUCAGAAACUCGCCUCGUCGCCGUGUUGUGCAUGCAUGACGAUCUGAACAGAAAGAGCAGGAAAACAAAAGAAAACUAAUAAGCUGUACCAUGGCAAUGGCUGGGUACGUGCUCCGGCGACCGUCUCCUCCUCCGCGCGCCUCCUCGCCGGACGCCGAGGCACUGCGGCCAACGUCACCGACCGCCGAGCGCCCGUGUUCUCGCUGGACGCCGAGAUUCUCCAGCCAAAAUGGUGUGUGUGUCUCUCUCCGUCACUUUCGUAUGCGUGUGUGUUCCUCCGUUUCUGUGUGUUCUCUUCCUCCCCUGUAUAUGUUGGGCUCUACUGACUACUGCCAAGGCUAGACAUGGUGCAGCGCCUGACGGCGGCGGCUGCCGCAGCGUGAACGCGCAGGCUCUCGGCUCCUGCCUCGGUCCUCGACCUCUCUCCGCUGCCUCCGUCGCCCCCGUCUCUCCCUCUGCUCCGUGAAAUGGCUGGUUCUUUUAUAGCGUGAAGGGGAUGCAGUUCUCUGCCCAGUGCAUGCAUGGCUCACAUAUGGAUGGCAAGCCAAUCAGUUGAUUCUACGAUUUUGCAAUUCCUUCCAUAUGUUAUGAUUUCUUCCAAUUAGCCAGGAUCAUACUCAAUAUGAUUCCAUCCAAAUUAUACCGGCGUGAUGCGGAGCAAUUAGUUCCUUGUAUUCGUAUAUGCGUGCACACUGCAUAUGGCAAGGGAUUCUCUAGACAGAGCUACAUUGCCUUUAUAUUUCUUGAGUUUCUAUGCAAGCACGUACAUGGUUUUCCAUGCAAGCAAUCCAAGCAAUCCACUGCCGGCAAAUCACGUGAUUAGCAUCCUCUAAUGACGAUGCUACAGUGGCAUGCUUCCAUUCAGAUUAAUAAAAAGAAAAUUCAUAUUAUCACCUGAAGCAAUACCAUGAGCAUAUACACGUCUGUACUCUGAGCAGAUAUUGGCACGUGUCACAUAACAUUCAUGCAUAUAUGCUCGUGUAUGUCAGAUUGUACCAUUAGUGAUAAUUAAUCACUAAUUUUAUUAUUAUACUGUUAUUCCCGAGAUUAAUGUUUUGACGCACCCUAUUUCUUAUAAAAUAAAAAAAAGGUGUACAAAAUAUCAUCGAACAAAAUGCCCCCUCACCAAGUUAAAUUCGAGCGUGGAGCGGCUCGGAAUUUUCCAUUUCCUGAGGAACAAUAAAUUAAGUAUCACAGCAUUUUUUUUUUAAUUUCAUAACUGCAAGCAGAGUUCAAGCACCGAAUAAACAACCAAGACGAACUUGGUGGUUUUUUCUAUGUUGAAGAAGCGCACGUAGCUGCCGCCAUACUGCUUAAAAUACAUUUAAUCCCUUCUAGCAUAUCUCACGGUAGCUGUAGAUUAUGCCACCAAAUUUUGCAAUAAGGGCUAUGUGAUUUUUUUCACUAUGGUAUAUAGUCCACCAGGAUGUACUGAGGCAAAAUAAAUCCAUGCCAGCGACUCAUGAAUUAACAUACUAUAAGGCGAAAAUCCAUGCCAUUGUCGAAAAAAAAAAUUCUUCAGACCUGUAUAUUGAUGAUAAGGUCUAAAGUAAGUUAGUUAGGCGAACGGCCAUGCCAUUGUUAACAAACAUCCCUCGGACCUGUGUAUUAGUGAUAAGGUCCAAAGUAAAUGGAUUAGGCGAACAACCAUGCCAUUAUUAACAAAAUACUCCUCAGACCUGUAUAUUCUAGAUGGGGUCCAGAGUAAAUACAUGAGGCAAAAAUCCAUGCCAUAAUAUGUCCUGGCCACAGCGGGAAAAAAAAGUGCCGUGUCCUGAGAGAAUUUUAUCAACCCACACGAUCGUCAAAAUUCCACGAUGUCAGCUGAAUGAGUUGAAGGGUUUCACAGAUUCACACUAGCCGUACUGGCGUGUUUCACUGCUCCCAAAAUAUUCAUAGCGGCAUAUCCAUCACUAUUUACCAGAAAUCAAUAGUCAUCUGGGAGACAUAUUGAUACCUUAGUCUAAAGUUCUUUUAAGAACAAGUGAGACUAAAGUUCAUGCCCAAGGAAUAAGAAAUCGAUUUUCAGGCCCGAGACAUAUAUUAAUGCCAGGGGUAUAAGGAAUUAAGAAUAUUUGAGGCUUAAAUUAGUGCCAUCGAUAAAAUAUAAUUUCUAAGACCAGGUACAAAUGGUCUCAAGAAUAUUUAAGGCGGAAAUCCAUGCCAAAAAUUUAUUCUUCAAGGGAUCGAUACCAGCAUGCAGAAUUGCGCGGCAAAAGUGUAUGCCCCAGAAAAAAAAUUAUACUAUUUGUUAAGACAAUGACAGGCGAAGGUCCAUGUCGCAAAUUCAUUCUUCCAACUAGACGGAUGGCACAUGUUAGUCUGAAGAAUUGUGAGGCGAAAACGUGCCUUCGAUAAACAAUUAUAUAUUUCUUAAAACCCUUCGCGAAUGGUUUUAAGAAUAUUUGAGGCGAAAGUCCAUGCCAAAAUGAUGAUUUAUUCUUUAAACCGGCCUGGCUGUAGAUUAAUACCAGUGUAAAGAAUGGUGAGGCAACACUACAUGCCCCCUGUAAACAUAUAUAUAUAUUUCUCAAGACCAAUGAUGAUGAACUGUCUCAAGAAUUUUGUGGCGCAAAUCCAUGCCGAAAAUGGGAUUCAUUCUUCGAACCUGACAUCAGAUUAAUGAUGGUCUAAAGAAUUGUGUGGCGAAAAUUCAUGCCACUACUAAAGAAAACAUGUGUGAGGCGUAAAUCCAUGCCUUUCCCAAUCCAUGGCGAAAGAACAUGCCAUUUCUUGAAGGGUUUUAUCAAUCAAGUCGGGACCAUUUAAACUCCACGGUGCCAACCAACUUGAUCGAAGGGUUUCACCGAUUCACACUAGCCGCGCUGGCGUGCUACACUGCUCUCAUUUAUCGAUAGCAGAAUCACCAUCACUAUAGGUAUAAAUAAAUUACCAUCAUGGAUGAUUUAAAGCGGAAUAGACCAUCACUUAUACAAAAUGAUAGUGUGGCAUAAGGUAGAUGCAUAUAGUACUAUCAGAAUGAACCAUCGCUAGGCAUCAAUUUGAAUUGACCAUGUAGGUAAUAAAAGGAAUAGCUCCACAAAACAGAUGCUAGGUAAUCCAAGUGGAAUAAACCAUCACUGGGAAUCAAGCGGAAUGAAUCAUCGAUGAGAAUCAAGCGGAAUUAAACAUCACUUGGAAUCAAUGGGGAUUUAACAUGGUAUUUAGUUGACUCCAAUAAUGGAACGAUGAAAUUUUGUUUCGAAGUAACAGGGUCAAUCCGGACACCAUAUAAUCAAAGCAGAAUUAACCAUUGCUUCAAUUAAAGGUAAGGGCCAUCAUCAAAGAUAGGUGUCGUAUCACUCCUUAUAUUGUAGAUUGUAGUCGAGAAACAUAUUAGCUUAACAAAACAAAAAAAAAACUUUUACUAGACGAAAUGUUUUUUGAAGCUAGUGUUAGCUUUUCCAUUGGCUGCCAGCUAUAGAGUGACAUCAGAUAGGCUGCCAAAGGACUUAGUCAUUGAAUAUCGUCGAAAAACCAUGAUGAAUAUAGCAACACAAAAUGUUUUGUGAUUGUAUGUGUAGGAAAACAUGUUUUGGCAAGGCUACCAGUUGACAAUAGACCUCCCAAUGCUUGUCUCAUCGAACCUAGAGACUUGGGUGGGCUAAGAUUAGGAAGGGUUUUUUUAGGACAUCGGCUAUGGAAUAAUGCCAUUACUUUUGCUGAAGGGUGUUACAUGGCUACUCUCCUUCUUCGGAUCAAAUGUGUGAUAUGCUUGAUUCGCUACUUUGAUAUUCUGGAGACUUAAACAUCAAGAGCUUCUUAUCUUCUUCUUCCCUCUUUUUUUUUUUGAUAUCCUUGAUACUUCUUGCUUGAAGAUUGAACGAUCCCAUCUAAAAUAUUGUUUGAUGGUCAUAGCUUGAUUGUAAAAUUUCUUUCAAUAAUUGUACUUCUUCAUAUGACAUGUCGGAGAACCAUCCCCUUGGAAAAUCAGAGAGUAGCCAUUCAAUUUUGUGACUAAAGAACCCCUCGCAGGCUUUUUUUUUGGUCCCUUGUUAUCACCUCGCAGGGUUGGCAAGUGGCUGCACACUGCACCACAACUUAUGUUGGGACAGGUAGCCCUUUCAUGCUCUUUAUCUCUAUAGUCUUCCCCUGGGGUUUUGUGUCUCCACCGGUCUGAGACGCAUUGAGAAAACGAGGGACAUGUUAACCUCGCUAAUCGGUAGUUAUCCGAGCAAUUAUUUCCAUUGCCCCUGGUAGCCACUGCUUGACAUGUGUGUUGUGUGAUGAAAGUAGAUUGAUUCUUUUUCUUGAUUAGUUUUGGACAAGUCCUAGGGCAACCAAAUCUUCAGUCGUGAGCAUGGCAUGAUAUAGAGAAAGCCAGUUGCCCCUGUUUCAUAUGGGAACUGAAUGGAAUGUUGUAAAAGAACCUUUUUUAGAAAAUGAAGGCUAUAAUUGCAUAGCGCUUCCGCCAUUGUCUGAGGAGAAUAUAUUGGACAAAAAAAAAUGAGCAUUGGUCUACAAUUCUGCAUUUUCAUGGGGAUUGGGCGAUAUUCUUGAGUAGAUAUGUUCAAUGCCUUGGGUGGUGAAUGAGAGAGAGCUUGGCUUUAGCACAAGCUAGGUACUGAAAAAAACUGUGGCCACCCAGCAGCGAGUAUAUGAUAGCUUGAAUAAUCUUGAAAUGCUUGAGAAUGAGGUUGUUAUGUGUUUCAUUGCCAUUACAUAGUGUCAUGGUCUCCGUGUAUAUGGUUUGAACAGUGGUAUGAACGUAUGGGAAUCAGGCUUCGUUAGAAGAGACACAAAAUCAAUAGAUGUGUCUCAAUGAUGGCACUGCUAGAGUGAUAGUUGCAAGUGUAUACGCAUAGCACGGCAUCAACAGUUUCUCUUAGAUAGUACAACCAAAUGGCAACCUUUCUAGUAUGGAACUAGCUAUUGGGCUGUCGACAGUUUUUUUUGAGGCCCAAAGCAGUCAAAUUUUUGCACCUCACGAUCAAAACCGUUCUAGUAUAUGCUUUCAGCAACUCAUAUGAUGAAUUGAGCAGAAAGCAUGGAAACAAUGACAGAUCAUUUGAUUAAUCAUUUUUUAAAAGAAAAUGUGAGUCAAUCGUCUUGGUUCAGAACCCUGGAUUGUUUGAUGGAGUCCUGCAUUGCUCUUAUAUUUGUACAUAUAUAGAGAAUGGGAUGGAGCCAUUCACAUGUAGCUCAGACAAACUGAGAGUUGUAUGGGAGAAAGCCUUCCUGACAUUGGUGGAGUAUUGAUGUGUCACUUUUAUUAUACCUUUGAUGGAAAAUACACAGGCAUGAGCAUUUAGCUUCCAUAUGACUUUGGUAGCUUGCAUUGGUUGGCAAUACAUAGUUUGCAAACCAUCCAACUCACAUGAACGACGUCAUCUCGGGUUAGAAGAGCAGCAUGACUUUGCUUUGCUGAUGUUUAGCACAAGGAAUUUGACCUCACUGCUACAAAAUAAAUAUACUCUUCUGCCUUAUGGAUUGCCUUUGCCUUGCCAACACAUAGCAAAGUAAAUACGCCUCGUAGAAUAGCGAUAGGAGCCACCGGUGGAAAUCUUGCAGACACCAGCUGCAACACGAGCGCUCUAGUUGAGUUCACGAGCAUGGAAACAUUGCCAGCAGCACAGCGACUGCACCGGCAGCGAUGACAAUCUUGAGGUCGAAAUCGGAGGCAGUCGUGGAGACGCCGGUGAUGGCGUCGGCAGAGUUGGCGACCACGAGGAUAUCAUGGAGGUCAAGGCCGGAUACUAUGACAGGCUUGAACUCUUCAGUUGAGGCGGUCAUGUGAAUACCAGCAAUGGCUCAAGUGUGGUGACGGCGCUGACAGCGGUGAGACGCUUGAGUAUAUCACAGGCAGCAGCCAAGAUGUCGAUGCCUUGGUGCAUAUAUAAAUGAUGCUGGCUGUGAGGACGAUUUUGGUGGUGAUUAAUUUGUGAGCAUCACCAACGGCUUCCGUGAGCUGUUGGCAGCAGCACAUGUGUGGGCAGUGGCAUGCUAAGUGAUCAAAGUGAGGCACUAUCUCGAGUAUGAGGUUGAUGCUAGCAGUAGCUAAUUAAUAAACCUGCAACAACAGGAGUGUGAGGAUUGCACACCGUGGGGGCGAACAUGGAUGUCAGCGGUGGCAUGACCAUUGAGGGUCUCUGUUCAGUGGAGAUGAAAGAAGCAAGUUGGCCUUGACGAUGUAGCAGUGGACUCAGACAUGUCGAGUUGAACACUGCCGAUGCUAUAUAUAUAUGCAUCCUAGAGGCUUGUUGCAAGCGACAUUGUGAUGUCCGUGGGCUAGCCACGGCAAGAAGAUCGAGGUCCGCUUGUUAGCGGCGGACUCGGUGACCACGGUGCUGUGGACAACAUAGCUACGAGGAGGGAGAUGGCUUGGCGACAUCUGCAGCUGCUCCGGUAGGGCGGCGUAACGACAUCCUCCUCCUACGGAUGAUGAUCGGUCGACAGUGCCUCAUCCGCUCGACAAUGGCAAUAAGGUCUCAUGUAUUGUGGAUGCAAGCAGCUCGGUGACGUCCACAUCGGCUCCAACGACCCUCGACGUAGUACAGCAGGGUAGCGACAAUGGAGAGAGCGAGCAUCAUGGACAGAUAGCUUCGCUCUUGACAUGAUGGGGAGAAAAAAAAAACUCCGAUGUGACGAAGGGCAGGUUCCCCUGACGAGCAGCACGACGACAACUCCAACGUGGCAAGUUCGCCUCACCAUAGCGAGGACGUCUGGCCUCUCGAUGACGUCGCCAAGGACUUGAACGGGCGAUGUCGACUCCAAGGACGAGUAGCAUCUCGACGACUCGGAUGGGCGGCAUGACGACAUUCUGUGGCGUGUAGAUGAAUCGUCCACGGCGACUCCUCCGGCAACAACGGUGUGUGUAUAUAGAUCGGCCUAUGCAUGUAUGUGUGCCAUGGAUAAAAGGAGGAGGAAACAAUCUUAAUUAGCUUUACCCUGUGCAGCCAUUGAUCUCACUUUCGUGCUUGCUGAUGGUCAGGGCGCUCAUCCUCCUGCCGGACGCGGUUGCUUCGGCCGAGGUCGCUCUCCAUGGCCGAUGUGCUCCGGCUGUGUACAUGUUGUUGCUCCGCCGUCGGUCGGUGUGUAUUGUUGGUGCGGCUGGAUAGGAAUAGAUGGAUGGAUGUGUUGGUUGUAUAUGAAUGCCAAAGUUGAUGGUCUACUAGCCACCGGCGUGUGCGCGUUCGCCGCAGAUGGCUUUCUCCUCCUUUGGCCUCUACCUCCCUGCAGGGCCGGGCGCCGGUGAUGUGCAAGCGCACCAGCUAUGGAUGAGUAGAUGGAUCAGUUCUCUUGCCACUGUGUUCUACCUCUGCCCUCUCUGUAUAGUGAGAUGGCCUCCCUUUUACAGUGGAGAUGAGAUGGUUCACAGCCAGCUGCAUGCAUGGCUUUAUCGAUAUAUGCAUGGCCAGUUGUCCAACUAAAUACUCCGGUGUUCAUGUCAUGGUAGUAAGUUCAGAGAAUUUUGACAUGCUCCCCGGCACAAAUUUAAGUACGAAUUCGCUUGCCCCGGUUGAGCAUCUUGAAUUCUCGAUUUCUUGAGCACUUCACAACCUAUGAGGCUGCUUUCGAAAUCGCAAGUGCCACCGGGUUGUUAUCAUUAUAGAAGAAAGUAACUCUUAACCAGAGCAUUUCAUCAACCAUCAUGUGUGUUGGAGAAAGAACACCAAGGACAACUCAACGGUCAUUUCUGUGUAUCAAAGAUGGGAGGAGAACCGGUGAAAUGAAACUGUAGCACUAUGGCAGUAUAUUCGCUACUGACAUGAGCCCAAAUUGAUGACUCCAAAUUAACAUCACCAGCAAUCACCAUGACCAGCUUUGCAGCUAGAAAAUGCUAGUGUCCACACCGUGGUUGUUAGCUCCAUUGGGCUAGAAACUCUCACUUCCCAAAAGAAGAAAUAUUUGUAAGAAAUUCCUCGAUUGCCCCCAAUUGAGCUUGUUGAUAACUUGAGCACUUCCAUGAGCUGCAUUCAAAAUCACAAACAAGUGCAACCAGGUUGUCUUCACUGGAUUCCCCUUUCUUGAUGGAAGCAGUUCCAUAAGAAGAAAAACAAAUAGCUCUAACCAAAGGUCUUCAUCAACCAUCAUGUUUGUCGGAGAAGAAAGCGAAGAAGAAUUCGACGACCAUUUGUGCGCAGCAAAGAUGGGAGGAGAACCAUGUCCCACUGGGCGUGCCAUUUUGUUUGGAGAGGAAAAAAAUUUAAUUUUUUUCUCUCCAAACAUGCAGCUAGCCACAGUGGUGACUGUAACUUAGGAUUGGUUUGGUUUAAUUUGUAGCCUAAAUAGACUUUACCAAAUUUUGUCAGCGCCAAAUUUUGGUAAGUUUUGGCAUUGACUAAUUUUGAUAAGGCAAAGUUGUGUUUGGAUUGAAGUCAAAAUAGCCUAAGUUCACUAUUGAAAUGGCCUAUUUUCUUAGGCAUGCCGAAAUUUGGCUUCAAACCAAAUAGACACUAAACACUAUUGAAAUUGCCAAAUAUUGGUAAGACUAAUUUAGGCCUCAAACCAAACCAGCUCUUAAGGACUGCACUCGUUUCAGGCUAUCCAUUUUGAUGGUGAACAUUCAUUUUGAUGAAAAACUGACCAAUGGCCAGUUUGUAGUGUUUGCUCCAAAACCACAAGAUACUACUCACUUUCCUCCAUCUGUGGGAGUAAUUGAUGGUCAACCACUCUUGGAUAGUGACAUUGAUGAUUUGCUUCUCAUGAUGAAAUUGCAGCUCUGUGGCAUAUUCUGUGCAGGUAUAUAUAUGAAAAUUCUAGAGACUUCCCAAUCCUAAGCUAGUAAGUUGCGAAUUGUCUAAGGAAAUAAAGAUGGAUGUACAUGAGGAUGCUCCUAGCGUUGCAUGUUUUGUGUGACAAGAGUGAAGUGCUUAUGUGUAGAAGGCCCUCGAGCUAUUUGUGAAGUUGGCUGUUUGUUUACGUAGUUUAUAUAUGGUCACGUAUCUUAAUUAUUACAUAUAUACCAGUUACUCUCUCCGUUUCACAAUGUAAGUCAUUCUAGCAUUUUCCACAUUUAUAUUGGUGCUAAUGAAUCUAGACAUAUAUAUCUAUCUCAAUUCAUUAGCACCAAUAUAAAUGUGGGAAAUGUUAUACUGACUUAUAUAUUGUUAAACGGAGGAAGUAUAAAUGUAGGCCAUUUUACAUUCGUGUGACAUGAUUACAUAAAAAAAAUAGUGGGUUCAAAAAUUGGAAUGCCAUUCUUUUAUACACAAUUGGUAAAGUUGUACUGAUCAAAUUACCAAACGACAACAUGUGGAACGAUGUGAUAAUGUCUCAAUGGCACAACGUCUUCAGCGAUUGAGCGACUAAAAUAGUAGUAUAUGAAAAUGCAACUAACUCUUCUCAACAUUAAUUAAUCUCUUCACAAAAGUAGCUUGCUUUGCUCUUCAACGCUCUCACCACGGUUUUGUACUCGAUCGUGGAGUAAUCUUAUAUAGUUUGCUCCUUCAAAAUCAUUGUUCUACUGCCAUAUGAAAUUUCAUGGUUUAAAUCCAAUUGAUCAUCUCUUGCAUAGCUGUAUGGUGACCCCACGGUGUAUAAUCGUUUAAUGGUCUGAGCAUGAUCAAUGCUACGAUUCUGGUUGUCACCGCGCCGCGUCUUCCAGAUGAUGAGUGCCGAUCGAUUGAUGUGUUUCGCUAUGGUCAGUCAUCUUCUGUUUCAUCAUCUUCUUCGAACAUCAUUUUCCUACCAUACCAACAUGAUUAGGUGUUCUCAACAUCGUGCCAUUUUUUCCAGCGAUCCCUGUGUGACCGUUCGAGUGGAAUGGAUAUCUGGAGCCACCCCAAUCCUGAUGGGUCCUAAUUCUACACAAGUUUUGGAAAUAUAGGAUUGUGCACAAAGUGUAUGAUAUUUUAAGGAUCGUAGAGAACGGCGCUAGUAGCAAGCAAACUGCUAUAGGCACUUAAGCUUUUGUGUGGUUCCAGCCAUAUUCAUCAGCACUUUCAAAUUGAGUAUAUGUUUCUCUAUGACUCAGCACUAUUUAAAUCCCCAUUUAUGGUUUAGCUCAAUUGCACGUAAGAGCAUGAGGCUUCAUGUCCUACUACAUGAGUCAGGAAAAAAUGGCACAGGUUUUCCUUGCACAUACAUGUAAUUUGUGUUUAUAAAGCUAGUCUCCAAGACAUGUUAACCACGCAGGUCUAACUGCUGUCACUACAGUAUUAUUGUCCAAUACUUUUGUAUCUCGAGAAAGAACAUGAAUAGUACUCCCUCCGUAUUUUAAUAUAUGACGCUGUUGACUUUUCGACCAACGUUUGACCAUUCGUUUUAUUCAAAACUUUUGUGCAAAUAUGAAAAAUAUUUAUGUCAUACUUAAAGAACAUUUGAUGAUGAAUCAAAUCACAAUAAAAUAAAUGAUAAUUAUAUAAAUUUUUUAAAUAAGACGAAUGAUCAAACGUUGGAUAAAAAGUCAACGGUGUCAUAUAUUAAAGGGAAAAUUUGAAUUAGUUACGCAUCAUAUACAUAAUAGAUUGUCGACGAUUUCUACUGCCAAUUAGCAGAAGCAGGGAAGACAUGUGACUAUAGCCGUAGACAUGGCGAGCAGCAGAACGCCCGGAUUCGAGUGGUAGACGACGACGUACAGGGCGAAUUCGAAGGCGGCGGCAACAAGAUGGUCGUGCCAGAGAAGCAGCUGAAUCGCUUCGUUCACUUGGUUGCGAUGACUGAGAGGUUAGGCAACGCCCUUGGGACGCUGGUCUUCACCUGGGCGACCGUCGUCCUUCUCGGCGUUAGAUUAUACAGGUUACAAGUAUCUGAAAUAAAGUGACAGGACAGCGAAGGAGUACGACGAUCAUUGCUCAUAACGCCAUUCCAAUGGUGAGAAUUUUUAGAUGUUUGCAUAAUGACGUGACAUGGCAUAUCAAUAGAUAGCAAUUUGUUGGCAGACUGCCACAACAAUUGUCAAAUCAGUUAAACUGCUUGCGCCGUGGAAUAUGUACUAUUGGGAUACCUGUUAGUACCAUUUUUUCUUGAGUAGCAUCAGUAACAUAUCUACCGUCUUUUGUCUUAUGGCAUUCAUCAAAGAAGGUUUCUCGGUCCACCUCCACCUCAUUAACUUCCUAUAGUUAUAAAUCUCAAACGCAUAAGGAAAUAGAAGAAUGAAUUAACAAAUAAAAGUGCUAAAUGACUUACCAGUUCUUUUCUCUUUCUUGUAAAACUCUUUCUUCCUAAAGUGUGUGGAUGCUUGAGUGCAUUCUCUUGGUUUCUGUCACUGAUUUUCUAACAAUACAACAUAUAUCAUCAUUUAAAUGAGCUGAGAUAAUUCAAAAUAACAGCCACUCACUAAAAAGUCCCAACAUAUAUUUACCUUAGAGUCCUUUGAGUACCAGUAGGAAACUAGUGUAGGCCAUUGAGAUUCAUCAACAGUGUUGGGCACUGUUUGCAAUACUCAUUCCAUAGGUAAGUUAGGCUUGUAAUAUUUUCCUUUCAGUUUUCCCUUGUAUUGCCUCCAUUUACCAUCUAACUGAUGGAGAAGCCAACUCUUAGCUCUCCCAUCAAUUGCAAACUUUCUCUAAUGUAUAAAAAAAAGAGCCAAUGGAAUAAUACUAGGAUCACCAUAACAGUAUGAUUUUAAAAACAUGGUAAACUAAACAUAAAUACCUCAACUUCAGUAAUCAUUUUUUGAUGAUAUAUUCUUUUAAAAAAAUUUUCAUUCCAUUUUAGAAUAUUCAGUGGAGCUAGAUGUGGCUUCUAAUGUUCCUAAAUAGGAUCCAAGAACUGCAGAAGAUUGUCAGCAAGGUGCAUUGAAACGGUCCAGUUUGACAAUAAUCUUAACUCCAGCUGGAAGAUUUUAAACAUUUGCCAAUUUUGUUGGUCCCCGACAUCUUUUAAUACGUCCAUCAGGAUCUACAAAGUUUUAAAAGUUAGUAUAUAAGAAACAAUUUUGCAGAAAAAUAAACAAUAUAUCUUACGAUACUCAUAGCAGUUUGUGCGCCAAUUCUCAUUUGAUAUGUUCUGUUCUUCAACAUACUGAUCAUUCCUUGGUAUAUCUAUUUCUUGAUUUUGCACUCCAUUCUGCAAAAUAUCCAAGCCCUGUAGUGUCUGGGACCUCGCAGCCAUUCACACUAUAUUUAAAAAUGGAUUAGAAUUUUAAAUAUAUAAGUAACAAGAUAACCAUUGCAUACCAGUUAAAAUGACAAAAUGAGACCACACAUAGCUCUAGAUCACACAUCUCCAUAUCUCCAGUUACUAAAUGGAAGUGUCUUAUAGAAAUUACCAAUCAAUUGAACAAACAAAUACAUUAAAAAUAUAUUUGAAUGUAAAUAACUAAAACUCUAAUGCCUUCAGCAAAUAAAUGCAACAAAAUAUAUCAUGUACAACUCAUAUCUCAUCAUCUUCAUCUCCAACCUUUCCCAUGUCAAACAAAUCUUGGACAUAGAAUACUUGUUCAGCUUGUGAAGAGAAAAUAAAUGGAUCGUCCAUCAGCUUAUUUCCAAUGUGUAUACCCCACGAAAAAUUCAAAAGAGUAAAACCAAACUCAUCUUCCCUCGUACCCACGCGAUGGUGCACAUCAUACCAAUCACACUUAAAUAAGAAGACCUUAAAUGCUCCAUUAUAGUUCAGCUCUAUAAUGUCUGUAAUACGGCCAUAAUAGCUGAUGGCAUCACCUUCAGAUAUAUUAACAACACGACUGUUUUAAGUUUGCAGAUUAUUCUCACGAGAAAUAGUAUGGAAUUUAAACCCAUUAAUUAAGAAUCUACCAAAUCUCCUUCCAUAGUUACACGGUUUUUCAGCUAUUUUUAUGAUAUUUUCCGUGAUGCGUGGAUCAGGACCACAAGCAUUAAGCAUAACCAAUAAAAACAUGGGUUUUAAACAUUAGGCAUAUUAAUUUUACAAAACAUAAGUACAUGCAUGAUCUGACUUGUUUUGCCUAACUUAUACUAACCUUGUGGUAUAGCCAAUCAUGGAAUCGCUCAUUAAUCAACUUGUCAGAUUCAAAAGAAGUGAAAACUGACUUCUUUUGUUUUCUCUUCUCCUCCUCUAGAAAUUCUCUACAAAUAGCAUAUUUAUAUUAUUUUAUAAAUUUUAUUUUUUAAAGGUAAUGUUCAGUUAGGUACUAUACCUACGAAAAUCCUCUAUUUCAUCAAGAUGUCGUAAGACAUAACGAUGGGCCUGAGUAAGUGUUUUUGCAUCAAACUUCACAUCUUGAGCAGAGCCUAUUGUUUCCCCAAAGCUAUCAAACAAAUACUUUUUUGUUCAGAAUUUGUGGGCAUGGAAAGACUAGAUUUAUCAACCCCUUUGAGAAAUCUUGCACAGAAUGUUAAACAUUCUUCCGCUCUGCUAUAGACCCUUCGGGAUGUGCACGAUUACGCGCAUAGCUCUUCAACCGAACAAAAUAUCUGAAGUUUGAUAUCAUGAUCAAAUCAAUUACUAUAGAAUAUGUAAAUUUUAAUGGAACAAAUAGAAUGAGCAUAUUUAAUUACCUCUCAAAAGGGUACAUCCAUCUAUAGUUUACAGGACCUCCUAAUUUAGAUUCAUCAACCAGGUGCACAAUUAAAUGAACCAUGAUAGUGAAAAAGGAAGGAAUAAAUAACUUCUCCAUUUUACAGUGUCAUCAGAACUUGUUCUUUAAGGCUGGCAAGUUCAGAUAUGUCUAGCACCUUAGAGCACAAUGAUUUGAAGAAAUUGGAUAGCUCCUCAACAAUUGACAUGAUAUCUUUGUUAGGAUAGCAAUUUCACAGUGCAAUCGGUAGAAGGUGCUCUAUUAAAAUAUGGCAAUCAUGACUUUUCAGACCAAUGAAUUUGCAGCUUUUCAUAUCAACAGACCUUGCUAUGUUUGAUGCAUAGCCAUAAGGCAACUUGAUGCUCUGAAUAACUGAACAUAAAGUUUCCUUAUUCUCUCUAGACAUUGUGAAGCAAGCCAGUGGUACUAUAUAACGACUAUCUUCUUCCAGUUUUGGAUGAAGUUCUUGAUGUAUGCCUAGGUCUACCAAGUCAAGACGUGCUUCGAGAUUAUCCUUUAACUUGGCAUCAUUUAACAGAGUACAAACAAGGUUAUCACACACAUUUUUUUCUAUAUGCAUUACAUCAAGAUUAUGGCGCAAAGACAAGUGCUCCCAAUAUUGCAAUUUGAAGAAAAUGCUUUUCUUCUUCCACCAGUCCAUAGGAUCCUUGGGACUAUUUCCUCCAGAACUACUUGUUUGUGAACUCUCACCAUCAUUUCCCCUCUUUCUUUUAGUUUUCUUCUUUUUGUCAGUACCUUUGCUUGGCUGAUCAUUUGAUUUUUCUCAUUGUGAAAUUUCUGCCUUCCAACUUAGCAAGGUUUGAACUACUGCUGGGCGCUUGAGGGGCGGUCCUAUGUUCCACUUUACCAUCAAAUGGUUGCGUUUGAUUACGGAACUCAUACUUACCUAGUAGUCUCCGAUCAGGUUCCCAUUUUUCUGAUUUUUUGAAUUUUUUUCUAUUCACUCCGUUGCUUGCCGCGUGUUAUCUGGAUUUUCUUUCUAAUUUCCUUCUUGUUGGGUAACCGGUUGGAUAUUUAUUCAGGUGACGUAUCCGGUGUCUGCGCGAUGGUCGAUGCUCCCCGCGUAUACGUCUAACAGGCCAGGUUGUACUUGUGCACCUGAGGCGCUCGGCAUGCGUGCGAAGGUUGAUAGUCAAUCGAGGUGCCUCUGCUUGUGUGAGCGAAACAUGCUCAUGGUGGACUCCUGGUUGGAGAUCUUCAGCCAGACAUGUCGAUCGUCACUGUCCGCCGAAGCGUUGGCCUCCAUGAUGACAGACCGGCUAUGGCUGGUGGGUCCUGUUGUGGGUGAAACUGUGGCCCUAGCGCAUCGGCGUAGAACCCGAGCUUAAUAUGUGGUGGCGCGAGCGCGAAUGAAACUUUCUAUCUUUCUAUCUUUGUAGAGAUAACAACCAUAUUGGUUUAGCAUGCUAUGCAUUCUUGCUUUUAGGUGGUAAAAUCUUGGAUAACAUUUUUAAAGUAUCUUUGCCAAAUGCGGUUAUAUUGGUUUGAUUCGCUUUGAUUAAAUUUGAAAACACACCAGUUUCCCCAAAAGCUCAUCAUAGUUUAUUUUCUUUUUCUCUUUUUGCAUUCUUUUCACCGUGAUUUUCCCAAAAUUUACAACAGUACAGACAAGGUAGAAUAUUAUUUGUGCUUUCCUGUUCUAUCCCUUUAUGCCAAAAAGUCAAUUAUUUGUUAGCACAUUGUUGCUUACACAAAAUCUUUUUUUAUCUCUUGAACAGCAUGCAAAAGCUGCAACUUGGUAGGAGUAGCUAGAGAAUAUAAUGUCACCUAUUUAAUCGUAGAAGACUACAAUAAAAGUAGAUUAGCGCUCCAAAACGACUUUACAGAAUAGCUUUUCGUUUGGAAGAUGUAACUUUUCAUCCUGUAACCGUCUCUUGUAGUGAAACCCUGUAAACCAUUAUUAAAAAACAUGUACUCACUCCUGUUCAAAAGUUUUGACUUUUGAAUGAGGUUAAAUUUUUAUAAUUUUAACUAUCAAUAACCUAAAAAUAUUUAAUUUAAAUACACUAGCUAUUUAUCUUAUAAAGUACUACUCCAGAAUAUAAGUAUUUUUAGAGGUGGACACGGUUAUUAAGAAAGUAGGUAGAAGUGAAUGGUUGAGGGUUGUGAUUGGUUAAGGACUAAUGGUGGUAGGUGGGAAAAUUGAAUGAUGAAGAGUUCUGAUUGGUUGGGAAGAGAAUGUUGGUGGAGAAGUGGUUAUAUUUUGGAUAAAUCUUGAGGCUAAAAGUUGUUAUAUUUUAGGACUGAGGGAGUAUAAUAAAAGAAUAUAUAUAUAUAUAUAUAUAUAUAUAUAUAUAUAUAUAUAUAUAUAUAUAUUCUUGCAUAUAUUAUAGUAGAAAAAUAAUAUAGUCAAAAAGAUAUAUUUUAAAAUCGUGUCGUAACCGGAGGAGUAAACUUUUCUCCCAUCAUAAAAUAAGACGGCUCAACUAUAGAAAAAGGUAGUGGUGGCAGCAGAGAUGACUAGUUAUGAGUGUCUCAGUUAUUGGAAUGUUAAUUCUGAAAUCUGAAUCCUAUGGUUAACCCCUUGCCAUCGUACUGUUGUAUAUAUAGUUUCAAUAUACCAGGUAUUAUAUAAGUUAAAUCAUUUCCUUAGGAUUCCUAAGAGAAUCGGUACGUACGCAUGCAUAUUUGUUCUGUUUUCCUUUUCCAGUUUUUCUGUUCACUGCUGGAGAAAUGGUUUUUAACCCCGGUUCACGGCCUGUAGUGUCUCGGUUAUAUAACCAGGACUACGAAUCCGAAACUAUUUAUAGCUAUCUUUAGUCCCGGGUGAAAUAACCGGGGUGUAACUUUCACCAAUUUGUUUUCUUUUUUUUUCAUUUGUUUUUUGUUUGCAUAUUAAUUUCGCGUCAAAAUCACAAAUCAAAUAAACAUUCACAUUCACAGAUCAACGCUAAAUUCACAAAUCAAAUAAACAUUCACAAUCUUUGAUAUCACAAAUUCACAUACUCAACAAUAAAAUUAAUCAUCCACAAAUUCACAAAAAAUAAUCAUAAACAACACCACGCAUUUACACAACAAAAAAUUAACACAACACAGAUCCGCCGCCGACCCCUCCGGGCCAUCGUCGCCCACCCCUCCGCCCGCCCGCCCACCCGCCGCCUGCCGCUAUCCUCCCCUCCGCCUGCCGCCACCCUCCACAGCCUUCAUGGCGUUCUGCCAUGCACCACCGCCCGCCACCACCUGCCACCAAGAGAGAAGGCCGUGAAGAGGAGAAGAAAUCGAGAGGAGAGGGGAGAUGAGUCUGGAGGGGAGGGAGAGCAUGUGAAGGGAUAAGAAGAGGCGAAGGGAUAAGACAUGCGCGGUGGACGAGAAGAUAGUGUCUCGAGAGUGAAGGUGUGCGGCUGUAUUUUUUUUCAAUUGUGGUCCCAGUUGGUAUAAACAACCGGGACUAAAUAUAUAUCUUUAAACCGGACUAAAGAUAGUGGGGACGGAUGACUUUUUAAACUGGAACUAAAAAUGAUCUUUAGUUCCGGUUAUAAAGAUCAAAAAGUUCCCUUGGGUUUUUUAACCGGGACUAAAAAUAAUCUUUAAUCCCGGUUCCUAUUUGAACCGGGGCUAUUGUUCCACUAGUGAUUACGUGUCUAUAAAAUGCAUGCUAUAGCGGUAUAGCCCAAGUCUCAGAGCUAUGUAUUCUUACACGCGUACAACCUCAUGUUGAAAUGGUGGUUGAAUUACCGACUAAUUUCUUCCUGUAUAUGUUGAUAGUUGCGUCGAUUAGUUUUAAAUUACGACUGAAAAUUUAAAGAGAUACACAUCCAUAAUUGAAGAAUUGAAGAUAAAAAUUACGGUACGGUCACACGUCUCAGUCUAUAAAGUAACAUGUAUUACAUAUGCGAUAAAUCAAUAUGAUAAAAAAAUAAAAUAGUAUAAUCACCAAUUCAUAUUUCUAACCGUGCAGCGUUACGCUGCACGAACCCGUCUAGUGAUUAUUUGGUAACCAUCGGCGAUGGCCCAUAAAACAAUAUUUGCACCCCUUUUUUAUCCCUCUCGACCCAAUCCAUAUACACUAUCACCUCCUCUUCCCCUCUUCCACUCUCUCUUCUCUAGCCGUCGGGUACGUCGAGUGGCGGCGGGCGGUCGGCGCGCCCGGCAGCACACUGGGGCGGGUGGUGGGCGGCGGCGGCGGGUCGACGAGCGUGUGGCGCGACAUGGCAAUGUCUCUCCUCAUCCUCGGCUUCUCCCUCUGCGUGUCGUCGCCUGGCUUCAAGUGGCGGGCAGUGGCGGCGUUCAUGGGGACGUUCUCGCUGGGGUUCAGGCCAGGAGGGUUGCGCUAGGUCUCACCAUCAACGCGUCAAGGGGGCAGAUGCUUGUUGUGGCCGCCCACAACUCCGGCUUCGUCAUGGGCAGCACUUAGCUGGCUCCGGUGGCAGCGGCGGCGGUGGCAAGAGCGAUGGGAUGUGGAGCGUGGCGGCUGCGGUGGCGCGGAGCUCCGACACGCUGGCGUUGCUGCAACCGCCCUCUUCCCCUUCCCUGUGCGGAGCCCACUGACUGGAUCCCACUCAUUGUCUCGCACCCCCACCCACCGCCCGACCCCGCACGCCACCGUCUGCCGCCCGAACGAGCCACGCCUCCCCCAUCGGCCGCUCGAGCUACCUCCUCCUCUGUCGGCCACCUGUGGGACCUCCGCCUCCGCUGCCAUAGCCAGCGCCACCAGUGCCCGAGCAAGCUCUGCUUGCCCCCACCCUCGCCUGCCCGCAGCCAUUCUCGAUGCUGCCGUGCUGGUGAGCUGGUGAGGGGAGGGAGAAGGUUGAGAAGGAGAGAUUGGGGAUAGAGUAUAGAGAUAGAGAGGAGUGGGGAACUGAUAUGUAGGGCCCAUAGAUUUUUUUAUUAAAAGAAUUGUUGAAUGGACUGCCAUGGAGGACCAAAACCGCCGCGGAUUGAGCUAGGGGGGUUAUUUGUCCGGUUUGCAUAGUUGGGGGUGAAGGAUAUCCAGUUUUAUGGUUUAGGGGGGUAAUUCGUACUUUUCCCCUCUCGAAAAUACAUUCGUAGGUGCCUAAACUUUUCAUAGGUGUCAUAUAAAUCCAAAUGGGCUCCAACCCGCUCCGUAAUCUGACAUGGCAUGCCACAAUGACACCUACAUGUCAGUCGCAUACAAAAUAUAAAAUUUAGAAAGAGAGGAGAGAGAUGAGACAAGGAAGUUUUUAAUUUUAAAUAAAUAAUUUAAAAAAGAGAAGUAAAAAAAUUGUUCUUAAUUUAUGUAGGCAUUGGUGUCACCAUGGCAUGCCACGGCAGCACGCAAAGCAGGUUGGAGCCUGUUUGGAACUAUAUGACACACAAUGCAAAUAGUUUAUUAUGCAUUGAUAAAAAAUAGAGAAGUCAGUCCAGAUGACUAAGAUUUUGACGAUAGCCUCGUGUUUCAAUCUAGCAGUACGCGCAAGCAGAAAACUGCUGCCAUGAAGCCAUCCCAUGGAGGCUAUCUGUUACUGCAUGCUGCCGCAUUGACGUUUUGAGUUUGCAACAUAAUAUAGUUUGCGUUAUACUGGUGAUUUGUCAACUCAAUACCAUGAGCAUAUUGCACACAUGUACAUUGUGAAUGGCCCUCGAACUUUUGAACUCUUUGUUUGCACUACAUAUGCUCCAACGUACAUAACAAUGAAAAUUAUUCAUGUUCCCCUACAAAGGUUGUUACUUGCCUAAAAUUAAUUGCACAUUUCAAAAAGAACUAGCACUACAACAAACAUGGCUUGUAGAGACAUUUUUCUAAUAUUGCAGAGGCAUUUUUAAAAUGCCUUUAUAAUAUUAUAGAGGCAUUUUAAAGAAUGUCUUAUAAGUGUCUUUUGGUGAAUUGUCUCUAUAAACUAAAAGGCAUUUUAUAAAAUGUCUCUAUACAAAAUAGAGGCACUUUGUAGAGACACACUAAAUUAUGCGGUAACUUUAGCAAAUCAAUGUGAAAAAAAGAGAAAAAAUAAUCCCUUAUCAAUCCUUGAACACAUAACCUCUUGAGUUGACUAUUUUUAUCUUCAAUUCACAAACCAUCUCAACCUCAUAUAAUUACUUAUAAAUAUGUGCUUCGUGUUACUUAUAUCUAGUUACUUAGUAUGUAAUAAUAUUCGGAAAAGUGCCUCUACAGAGGUUUAAAUGCCUUAAGAAAAUGCCUUUACAUAUGAGACAUAUUUUAAAGUGCCGAAAAGAUGUCUCUACAAGAUAAAUUUAACAAAAUAUGCUAAAACUGUCUCUAAAAUGUCUCUAGAGUAAAAAUAUUUUAGGCGAUUUUAAAAGUGCCUCUAAAAAGUAUCUCUAGACUAUAGAGCUCCAGAUUUUAGAGGCAAUUUAAAAAUCGCCUCUACAAAAGUGACUCUACAUAAGAUUUUUUGUUGUAGUGUAGAUACAAGAAGUUGCAUGCAUUACAUGACAAAUUUCAUAGCAAGAAUAGAGUGGGAAAUUGUGUGGUUUCCUAGCGCUGGUACAAGACGUGUAACGACGAACGAAAUGUUUAACCAUUUGCGGAAAGCUUGUAGAAAUUUCAUCAAAUGAAUGUAAAUUUCCGGAUGCGAUGUUUAACAUAAAUUUAAUAUAUUUGUAAGCCUCAAGCCCCCUACCCUGUUGGAUCCUCAUGCAAAGAAGAAAAAGAAGAAAAAGAUGCCCUCCACCAUUUCUGGAUUUGCUUCACAUGAUAUUUUUUUAUACGUCGUACUAAUUUAUACUAUUCUUAAAAAUAAUGUUUAAAUUAUACCAAUAUAUUAUAAAUUAAACGACAACUUAAUUACAAAAAGUAUUAUCAAGCAUACAUACUGUAUCUCUGUGCCUCUGCAAUCUCGCAAAGACGUGGUAUGGAACUAGAAGGAAACUGCAACAUCGCAUGGUUUGAAAUGGUUCUUCACCUUUGGCCUUUUUCUUAAACCAGCCAGCUCGCCAGUUAUUUCCAAGCCUGUGGACAGUUCGUCGCCAACGACCAACUUGCAGAAAAUACUCGAGUAACAAUUAAACAAUUAGAAUGUUUCAAAGAGGCUAGAUUACUCCCGAUGCCUCCUAAUUCUAUGCAAGUUGUCCAGAAAAGAUGUACAUUAAAACCUACAAGUUGCAUGAUAUUUUCCAGGUCGAGAAUUAGCUAGUUUGUGCGUAGCGACAUGCACUUGAUCAUUCGAAUUGCUGGUCUUUUGUGUAUAUAUGUAUGUGUCUCUCUGUGUGUGAGAGAGACUGAGCAUCUAUAAAUCUACCAAUUAGCAAACAUAUUUUUCACAUUUUGGGAGGGAGAAAGUCGAAAGCAACGAACAGAUAGCCAAACUCACCAUGCAGCAAGCAGCAAUGCCUGAUUUUUUUUAUCAAGGUUAUUUUUUGUUAGAAAUGCCAUAUAUGACUUUGCUGGUCGUAUAUACACAAAUAAUUCAUUGCAUGCCGUUCAGAUAGCCUAGCAGUUUUGCUGUAGACCAAAAGAUGGAAUAAGCUGUAUAAAACCACUUUUGUACUUAGUACGUAUAUCAAGCAAGGUGAGCAAAAUAAUGAAUUGAAAGACAUCUUGUACGGGUAAAAAUCAGGAGAGAACUCACUAACUAGGGCAAGUUGUCAAUAGAUUCAAGAGUCUCUAUAACACUGGGUGAUCUUGUUCGAUUGAGCACUCUUAACAGCAAAGUUGGGUAACUAUCCCUCCCGGUUAAGGCUGCGAGACCUCUUUAUUUCUUGAUUGCCUGCAGCCUGCGUGCUGUCUGGAUGUGGUACGUAGAGCCACUAUUUGGCGUAGACGGUCAUAAUCAUGUAUGUACUCAUGUACAUAUCAUGAAACAAAUGUGUAGGACAAUUCCUGAUGCCGCCUAAUCAUAUUAGAGUAAUGUAACUUUAACUUUUUAAUUUAGGGCUGGGAUUAAUAUCGCAAGAACAUUAUAUUCUAUCUCCAUAGGUUUUAGUAGUACGAGUCUCUCUAGACCUUUUUUUUGUUUUUUUUUGUUUUUGUCAAUGAAAGUGUUCCCUGAAUUUUGGUGCAGGUGUUCAUCGGCUCCAUAUAUAUAAAAUGUUUGCUGGCUAAGGAAGAUAGAAGUUUCAUUAAGUCUAUUUAUGUAUUGCAGCACCAGGUAGAUGGAGAAAGUUUAAAUAAGGUAGUAUUUCCAGAUAGGUCCGUAUCAUAAAAUAAGUUGUGUGAGAGGACCAUAAAAAGACCAUUUUCAUGACUAGAACUAUGGUCUACAAAUGAUAGCUAGCCUUAUUAAUUAUGUCUUGGCAUUUGUCCCAUGUGUAGUCUCGAAUAGCAAGAACUAAACCAACAAGAGGGGUGAAUGGUUGAAGUACCCAAAAACUAAAACUUUUACCGGAAUUAAAAAUUACCCUUAAAUCUGAUGUAGAUAGGUCUGAUCGGAGUUGACCCGCUGGUCUGAUCGACACACUUUGAUUUUUACACCAUGUAGUGUGAUGAGCGUUCCCAAUAGCAUCUGUGACUGGCCAUUUUUGACGUUUUCUGUGAUGAUCAGCGCUCCUAGAAAAUCAAAGUGGCUAUCCAUACUAUGUUUCCUUAGAAAAUGAAUCUUGUUGCAGAGGCUUAAAAAGUUCAUAAAAAACUACAUCCAUGGACAAGAUGAGAUAGCUAGCUGUCACGGUUUUAAGUGUGUAGGAUAUAUGUUACUUCCUCCAUGUUUGACAUUUACAACAUGAUACAUUUUGCAUUUCACCGGUGAUGCGUGUCCAAAUAAAUAGGACAAUGCAUUAUGAUUUAGUUCGUAAGACUCUAAGUAUCUAACCAACAAUGUUUGUAAAAUUUCUGUAUAAUGUUUACAACAAUAGCAAGAUGCAUAAAAUCACCGAGGGGCACCUAUGUGUCACCUUUGUCCAUGGCAGUGUUUUCUAGAUCCAUAUGUUAUGCUCGGCCAUUUUUCCAGUUUAUAGAGUAUGAUUUUAGUCAUCCAGAGAAUUAUGCCAGAAUUCCAUAUUACUUCCAAUCCUAUACUAGCUAGUUAUGUCCAAACAAAUAAAGAUGGAUACAUCAGAGGAUGCCAGUGUAUUGGUUUAUUAGAAAAUUAUAGAGGAAUGUGUACAUUGCAAAAGGCCCUCCAACUUGUUAAGAAGCUAGCCAUUUGUUUAUAUUCACUCUUUAUAUAUUUAUAUAUAUACUGCAUGGUAUUUAUUCUCCAAUAUAUUAUAGAGAAGAUCUUUAUAUGAACUACGAAGGCUGCAGCUUCCCGUAAAUUUUAAAAAAAAGUUUCAUAAAGAUGGAUAUACAAAGAAGGUGCAUGUGUAUUGCAUGACAUGAGCAUUUCAUUGCAAGAACAGAGUAUUUCAGAUUACACAAUUCAUUCUUCAGAUAGACCAGCCAUAUUAAUCGUCUUUUCUACUUUCAGUAUUCACAUCUUAAUCUUUUUUUGUUUCUCAUUUUGUAUAUUGUAGUUGAAUAUAAUUUUUGGUGCAGUGGUGUCUGGUACAUGUUACUAUACUCUAGAUUGUCAAGUUGUUUAGAAUUUUGUCACAACCAUUUAGAUUAAAUUUAAGAGUCAGGAUUAGAACACUCUCACAAAGAACCCAUGAAAAGGCUAUCGCUGUCUGACAUUGCUUCGUGUUAUAAUCCAGCCCUAUGUUUUGAGUUUGCAGCAAAAUAUAAUUUGCAUUCUACUGGAUAUUUAUCAACUCAAUGCCACUAGUAGGUGCCCUUAGUUAGAGCAUAGCACAUGUACAUUGUAAAAGGCCCUUGAACUUUUGAAGUGUUUCUUUACACUGCUUGCUGUUUAUAUAACAGUACAACAUAGAAAAUUAUUCAUAUGCCCUGGAAAGGUUGCCACCUGCCUCAAAUUAAUGACACAUUCAAUAAAGCUGUACACAAAAAAAUUACAGGACACAUUUCGCGAGAAAAGAGUGGUUAAAAGGUGUGGUUUCGUAGAAACCACGCCUUUUAACCAAUGAUAUCUGGAAUAACAAAUGAACUGCUUAACCUUUCUUGGAAAGCAGAAUUUCAUCAAUUGAAUCUAAAUAUCGAGACAUUAUGUGCAGCAUAAAAUUUAAUAAAUGUGUAUUACUCGAAGUGUAUUAUCGUCAAUCCAAAAGGAACUCACUCUCCUUUCCUAAACUUAUGAUCUUUGUCAUGCCAGUUUUCUUAUACUGUGUCCCCUCAUUACCCCUUUGUCUCUCCCUUGCUGCUAAAAAUAAUGAAGUCUUGAAGAUAUAUGAAUUUUGGGGAAAUAAUGGCUGUUGAGAUCAAAUUAGCUUUGGUAGUAACUAUGAUCUCUUUCUGUAAAGAACAAGGUAGGUGCUAAGUCAUCAGGACUAAAAAUGUUCAGCCAAUGAUCAGUCCAGGGGCAUUGCUAUCGCUCCUCUAUUAUUACCUGCAGAGACUAACACGGCCAAACCUGACACAUUUCUCUGUAUUGUUAUCCCUUCCUUGCAGUUAGACUGCGAGGUGGCUGCGUAUCUUGAUCGCCUGAUGUGAGCCUGCUGCCUGGAUGUAAUACGUAGAGCCACUGUUUGGCAAUGGGUCAAUUUCUUGUAUAUAUAUGUAGCUACAUCCAACCUUCCUCAAUGGAGGCUCAUCAGGACAGUAGCAAUGCGUCCUAGUAAAUUGCUAUGCCAUAGCUGCCAUGUAGGCUUGGCAACUCUAAAAGACACUAUACCCACAGUGUAAGUGUGGCAAGUGUGGUUUAAAAAAUUUAUAACGGGACCUACAGAUAAUAUAAAAAAUCUCACCCCUCCCCCACACCCCCACCCCCACCUAAUCCUCUCACGUCCCCAUCUCCAGGGCGGCCAUGGCGGCAUGCUCCGGCCGGCGCGGCGGAGCUCGGUGGCACCGGCGGAUGGGUGGAGGGACCCACGCGGCGAUGAGCAACAGAUCCGGCAGCAUCCAGCGGUGCGGCCGAAGAUGCCGGCGGUGCCAAGCGGCGUGGCGGAAGACGGCUGCGUCAACGACACCGUCGUCGACGGUGGAGGCACAGCACCGGAGCUGCGCGGCCGCGGACGCUGCCAACGCCAUUGGCGCGAGAGGUAGGGGGCGAGCUUCUGGAGCUCUGCCCAGAAGACGGCGGCAGCACUGAGCGGCGGAUCUCGGGAGGCUUCCCGAGCCCCACGCAGCGACGGCGAGCUCCGCCCAGAAGACGGCGGCGGCGCCGAGCGGCGGAUCUCGGGUGGCUUCCCCGAGCCCAAGGCAGCGACGGUGAGCUCCCCGAGCGCCUCUACUCCGGCGAGCAUCCAACGAGCACCACGCAGCGGCGGCCCCUACUUUGGUGAGCCCCACACCCCGAGUGCCCCUACUCCAGCGUGCCUCCUUUCUUUUGCUUUCUCGUUUCUCGUGGAGGUGCCCCUUUUUUUGGGACAAAAGUUGUUGAGGUUCGUGUGGCCAAACUUGAUCACGCGAAGCUGGGUUGGGAACGGUCCCCACUCCCCUCUCUACUCCACGCAAGCGAUUUGCCUACGUGGCUCUACAUUGUCACACGCCACGUCUUUGCAUUGUAAAUGGCCUUAGCUUGACCCUUGCUGAGGAAGGAUGAUGAGAGAAACGUGUAGGACAUUAUUUCCUGAUGCCUCCUAAUCAUUAUUAAAUUAUGUUCUAAUCUAAACUUUCUCAGAGCUGAGAUUGAUAUGUCAAGCAGAUUCUACGACAAAGGAUUUCAGUACGUAGGUACUGGUCUCUAAACUUUUGUUGUCUUUUUGUCAGCAAGGUGUUGGCUGAAUUUUGGUGCAGGCAUGCAUAUGUAUAUAUACAGUCUCUCUAUGCAUAUAUAGGGAACAACGGAUGUUAAUUUAAUGCUAUGACAGAGUUCCCUUCAAACUUUCAAAAAUUUCAUAACAUCAAAUAUUUGAAUAUAUAUAUAGAGCGUAAUAUGGAUGAAAAAAAAAACCAACUGCAUAGUUUACAUGUAAAUUACGAGACGAAUCUUUUGAGCCUAAUUGCGUCAUGAUUUGAUAAUGUAGUGCUACAUUAAAUAUUUGCUAAUGAUGGAUUAAUUAGGCUUAAUAUAUUCACCUCGCAGUUUACGGGUAGAGUCUAUAAUUUGUUUUAUUAUUAGUCUAUAUUUAAUACUUCAAAUAUGUAUCCAUAUACGUCAAACAAAUUUUGCCAAAGAACAAAACACGGCCUAUCUAUAUUUUGCAGCAUGAGGUAUAUGGGGAAAUUUUAAACAAGGUAGAAUUUCAGACAACUCCGCAUCCUAAGAUGAGUUGUGUGAGAGAAUAAUAGAAAUGCCAUUUUCAUAACUACAACUAUAGUGUACACUGUACAUAUAGUAGACAAAUUAAUUUGGGACAAUUUCGUUGUUGCCCCCUACUUUGAUGAUGUCCAAUAUUGAUUUUCGUUCUUACCCCUACUUUUUUUUAAAUAAAUCAACCGUUUUCCUCUGUUCUGUUAAUUCUUGCUAAUGGUGUUAAAUGCGGGGUGUAAAAAGACAAGUAUACCCUUCGAUACUUUCCCGUACUUUUGACAUAAUCAGAUCUAUUGAUGCCAUAGCAAUAAUUUAGUUUGUCAAAAUUUUGUAAAAGUUAGCUAAAAUUUGGGUUAAAUUUGAAAGUGGUGUACAAAAGUACCGGAAAAUAUCUAAGGGUAUACUUGUCCUUUUCACCUCACAUUUAACACCGUUAGCAAGAAUUAAUGAAAUAGGGGCAAAUGGCUUAUUCGUUUUAAAAAAAUAGCUAUUUGGUCGUGCGUUGCACGACUUUAGAAGCCUUUAUAAAAAGCCCAACAUAUAUACACACUAUAAGUAUGAUAAUUACUGUGUCUACUUUAAAUUUGAACUUUUUUGUAAAAUCAUAGGAUCGACAUGAUAAAAAAAUAGUUAAAUCUAGAUGAACAUAUAUUUUGAACGAAAAGUUCAGACGUUAUAUUCAAGAUCAGGCCUCUUUGUUUUGGUUCCUCAACAAUGCUCAUUCUAAAAUUAAAAUAUAAUUUCACAAUGACUUAAACAUAUAUCUAUACUGGAAACAGACAUAUAAAGCAAGGCCUUGCGAAUUAUCAAAAAUAAUUCAUGCAAGAUAAAAUCUUGGAAAAAUUCAUGAAAGUACUAAUCAAUAUAAUCAAAUCACUGUAAUUUUUACCUAAUUUUAUAUGUACAUUUGUUACAUCAAAUAAAUCGGUCAAAGUAGUCAAACAGUGGAUUAGUUAUAAACCUUAAUCAGCUAAAACCUACCAUCACCAAAAUGUGGAUUACACUGCAUACAAGUGUAUAAUGGAACUAAUUUAUUCGAAUACCAGGUUAAUUAUAAUGAAUAAAUAUAAUUUUUGUAGAAUUUAUUUCCUCAGUUUAAACCAACUAAAGAUUCAUCUGCCUCCAUCCACCCUAUUUUAGCAUGCCCACAAAUUAAACUACAGAUUAACAAAGAGAGAGAGAAAUAAUCCUGUAAUAUUCUAGAAACUGAUCUUCACUCAAUCUCUACCCAUACUGCUCACCCUAACCUUGAUUCCAUCGGUCUCCCUACCAUUGAUUCCAUCGGUCUAGGCCCACUAGAAAGCCCCUCUGUCUCGCUCCACCCUUGUCCACUUUUCAUUUCCCCCCUCCUCAGCCCAGAACACCGAGAGAGUGAGAGAGAGAGAGAGGGAAGAAGGGACACCGCAGAGCCACAGAGCGCCGACGACGCGUGGGCAUGAGGUGUCUUCGACCGAGCGCUUCACCUUGCCCUCUACCACCUCCAGCUUGGUCGCCUCACCUCAUUCAUCGCCUCGGCAUCCUCUUCAAAAUGCCCCAAUAAGCGCCAAGGUCGGUGGAGCAAGCUAGGAGAUCAAUUCCAUUUUCCCCAACUCUAGCCGCCGAGCACCACCGCCAAAUCCUCCUUCUCCGGUGAGUCACCAUUUGAUUCCGUGCAGGUGUCAUCCCUAGGACCUCAGUAGCUUCACGUGCCCAUCCUUUUCACAGUUGGGAAGCCGGAUGAAGACAUUAUCAUCGUCUGGCCGAUUCGGCAGCCGCCGGGCCAUUACACACAUUGUCACCACCAUCAGAGCCCCGCCAGACCUCGUGCACCUAAACCGAGCCCUAGCACUGGGGAAGUGGUUUCGCGGCGGCGAUGGAAGCGAGAAGGUCGGCAGGCGGCGCUGGAUGCGUUCUGGUUUCUGGGAUGUGGUGGAUGUAUUUUUUUUCUCUUUUUUUUAUUCACGUGCUCACUGAUUCUUGUACUCCCUCCGUAUCACAAUUAGAAGAUGUUUUGCGUGGCCGUCGUACUUUCACGUUUAGAUGAUGUUCUUGGCCGCACGUACAAAAGCCGACGAAAUUGCCCCUGCCUCCUCGAUCUCAACCCCACGCCGGCGCUGUAUUAACUUCGCACUCCUCGGUUCCACCACGCGCUUUUCCCUCGCUCAUCCUUCUUAUUCACCACAAACGCCACCGCCCAGAAACACCGCUGCCCCAGAAACACCAUCGCAGAGGAGGAGCUCGCGCCGGACUCCAUGGACGCGCCAGAGUCGGAGCUCGUGCCAGACUCCUUCACACUGGAGUUGCAGGAGCUCGCGCCGGACUCCAUGGACACGCCGGAGUUGGAGCUCGUGCUGGACUCCUUCACGCCAGAUUUGCAGGAGCUCGCGCCGGAUUCCGUGGAAGCGCCGGAGUCAGAGCUCGUGCCGGACUCCUUUGCACCAGAGUUGGAGGAGCUCGCGCCGGAAUCGGAGAUGGUGCCGGAUUCCUUGCCGCCGGGCGCUUUUGUAUGCGGUCGCUGUCAUCUCGUCCAUGAGGACCGCCAAGCAUGGGACCGUGCUGACUCGCGGUUCUGGCCGUGCUCUCGCUGCGGUCUCGUCCACAUGGAAUACAUGCUCGGUGCCAAGCUUUACGGCCUCGACGAGUUCGACUGCAAGGUUUUCAUUCCUGAUCUGAACAAUGUCGUGAUGCAUGGCAACAGUAUCGAGUUACCUGCACACGUGCUCAAGAUGCUCGACGAGAAGCGCAAAUGUGAACUCACUGCCGAGAAGGAUGACGCGUAAGGAACCGUAAGAUAACAUGCUUUAGUUCUAAUUAAUUGUUACAAGGAUGUCUCUACUAAUUAAGAUAAAACAACGGUAAGAUAACAAGCUAACUAGCAUCAUUCUAAUUGUUUCAUGCAGCAAGAGUAGCCUUGGCUUCAUCUAGCAAAGAUGGUUCGCAAGGGAGAGAAGUUGGCAGCCGAUCUUCUCUUUCUAAUGUUUCUUUUUGCAUGUGUGGAAUCUAAAAAUUGUUGCUUCAUAGCUUCCAUCAAAACACUUUGUAGUGUUACAAACAUUCGGUUUGCUUUGUGUGCCGAAUACUCCAUGAAUGCCUACAAAAAAAGUGUGCAAGAAAUGAGUCAAUGAGCAAAUUUGUUGUUGAAGAAUCAAUGUAACAUGUGUGAACAAUUUGAUCAAAUUACCUCUUCCACUGUUGGAACUAGAGCUUCUAUUGUUUUUGCAUUCUUCUUGUAUUGAAUUGCUUGAAUAGCUCGAAAAAAAUCCAAGUCAAGAAUAUUGAAAUCCGGAGAAUUUGGUGGUUGGCAAAUUAGGCGAAUAUCAAAUCCUUCUUGCUUAGCAUGCUCACAGAAAUCCGGAUCAUCCAAUUUUAGAUGGGAAGGUGCAUUAUCCUGUUGAAUGAAGAUUGGUUUGCCCACAUCUUCUUUUGGCCAUUUGGCUCGAAUAGCGGGCAAGACUUUGUUGAUCAUGAAAUCUCUAAUCACUUCUCUUGUGAUCGAAGUUAUGGGCUUCAUAACCAAGUCUCCAUGGACACGGCCGGUUCUCACAUUGCCUCUCAUAGCCGGUUGAUAAGUAACAAGUGGAAAACAACCAAUCCUACCAUCAAAAAUGCAAUUCCCAUCCCUAAACCUUGGCUGAGCACAAACACACAAGAACAUGAGCCUAGGGAUGUAAUUCUUGUUCUUACAAGUCCGAUGGGGAUAAUCUUGUUCAGGUAGCAAAUAAUAUUUUUCAGAUUUUUGAGAGAGGUAGAACCAUUUUUCAUCAAUGAACACAAGGUCAAAAAAAUCCUUAAACCUUGGACCACCAUGCAAAUCCCUCUUAAUCAUGUCAACACACCACUUCAACCUAGACUUUUUAUUAGUUUCAGUGAGAUAUGGUUUGAUGCUACUAGAGUGGCACCUAAGGAAACCUUUUCUCAAAUACCUUUGAAUCUUUGAUUUGCUCAUGUUAAGUUUGGCAGACACAUCCUCUAUGGUCGUUCUCUCUUUUAGAGGAAUGCUGCGCAAUGCUUCUAAAUCAACAGGGAUUUUCUUUCGACCAACUCUACCCUUCUUUAGACUAGAAACCACAACAGGAAUAGAGUUUGCAAGUUGUAUUUUACCUCGCUUCCAUAAACGUUGAACUGACUGAAUUCCUAAACCAAAUUGAGCAGCAACAAUGCUCGUAUCUUUUUUGCCUAGUUUCCCAUUCUUGCUUCUUACCAACAAAGUUUGGAAAACUAGUUUUCUGAGUUCAUCUGACAUCUCUUUCCUUCGGUGGUUCACUUGAACCAGAGGCUCAACAGCAUGUUCUAAAUGGAAAAAAAAAACACUACCGUGCAUGUGUGUUCGGAUGUGGACUUCUCCUUUUCUCAAUCUUUCGUCUGCUGCGUCAACUGUGGACCGUUGCAACGCGAAAACUCUGGUGGAUUCUACCAUUGACAAGGACUUCACAUAUGGUUACUUCAUAUCCAAUGGCACCAGUUUUAUUCCUUCUCUAUCCAACGGUCCCAAAUUUCCUGGUGACGUGGCACAAUGUGGUAGUGAAAAACUUUACUUUUUUCACUACUUUAGAUAAGGGCAAAAACAAAAACCCUAAAAAACAUGGCAAAAUCAAUAUUAAACAUCGAUGUAGGGGUAAGAACGAAAUUGCCCCCAAUUAAUUUUGGCUUGGUAUUUCUCCCGUAUAGUGUUGAGCGCUCCCAAUAGCAAAUACAUGCGUGACAAUUUUUACAAUAUAUGCAGUACAAACUCAACUUGGGUGGAACUUCUCUAACCGCUUCUGUACCGCCGGUCUGACCGGUGUCCGGUCUGACCUGAGUUUGACUGCUUCUGUACCGCCGGUCUGACCGGUGUCUGGUCUGACCGGAGUCUUACCGCUUAUGUACCGCUGGUCUGACCGGUGUCCGGUCUGACCGCCAAUCAGUAGCGGUCGGACCGGCAGUACCUUGGCGGUCGGACCGGCAGUACCUCGGUGGUCAGACCGGCUUCAGACAUAUUUUUUUACUAAAAAUUCUCAAAUUAUUUUUGCACUUGGAUAUAUGCCUAUUCGAUCUACUUGUCGUGUCUUAGUACUGGAUUCCUAAAUUUUUAUUAUCUAACCCCAGUAUUGAGGCUUCGACUUCUGCUUGUGUGUAGGCUUUGGUGGCAAGAAAGGGGAACGUGUGUAUCGUGGAUUCCGGUUGUUCACAGCGCAUGCCCGGUGAUAAAAAUUGGUUCUCCUCGCUCGAACAGGCAUCCAAGACUAGUGCCGUUUUUGCUACAGGUUUGGUCAAGGUAAAUGACAAGUUUGAAUUGAAAAACGUAGCUUUGGUUGAGGACUUAAAUUAUAAUUUGCUUUCAGUUUCACAAAUUGUUGAUGAAAAUUUUGAGGUUCACUUUAAGAAAACUAGAAGUAAAGUAUUUGAUUCUUGUGGUGAUUCUGUGCUAAAUAUUUCUCGCUAUGGAAGAGUGUUUAAAGCUGAUUUUAAAAAUCCUGUUUCACCUAUGAUAACAUGUUUGGUUGCUAAGUUUGAUAAGGAUGUCAUGUUUUGGCAUCGUAGACCUGGACAUGUUGGUUUUGAUCAUCUCAUGAGGUUAAGUGGUUUGCAUCUUAUUCGUGGUUUGCCUAAACUUAAGAAAGAUCUUGAUUUGGUUUGUACAUCGUGUCAUCAUGCUAAGAUGGUUGCUUCUUCACAUGCUCCUAUUGUUUCUGUGAUGACGGAUGCACCGGGACAGCUAUUACACAUGGACACUGUAGGUCCAGCUAGAGUGCAAACUGUUGGAGGAAAGUGGUAUGUGUUGGUUAUUGUUGAUGAUUUUUCUCGAUAUUCUUGGGUUUUUGUGGUUUGUUUCUUCGAUUGGAUGUUGAAUUUCCUGGUUCUUUGAAAAAAAUUCGAAGUGAUAAUGGUGGUGAAUUUGAAAAUGCUUCAUUUGAACAAUUUUGCAAUGAAAGAGGUCUUGAACAUGAAUUUUCUUAUCCUCGUGUUCCACAGCAAAAUGGUGUUAUUGAAAGAAAGAAUCGUGUUUUGGUUGAGAUGGCUAGAACGAUGUUGGAUGAGUAUCACACUCCUAGAAAAUUUUGAGCUGAAGCGGUUAACACUGCAUGCUAUAUUUCAAAACUUGGAAAAACUUCUUAUGAGCUUCGAUUUGGACGUCAACCCAAUGUUUCACAUUUGCGUGUUUUUGGUUGCAAAUGCUUUGUCUUGAAACCUGGAAAUUUGGAUAAGUUUGAGGCACGCUCCACCGAUGGAAUGUUUCUUAGUUACCCCGCACACCCUCGUGGCUAUCGUGUACUUAUUUUGGAAACUAACAAAAUUGUUGAGACUUCCGAAGUUUCUUUUGAUGAGACUAGUCCUGGUACUAGACCAGAAAUUGCAAGUACAUUGUCACAGGUGCAGGAGGAGGAUGGUCAUAUAUUUGAAGACGAGAGUGACGACGACGACGAGGUCGACUCGGCCGGUUAGACCGGGCGCUAGGCCGAUCAGACCGCCGGCACACCUCCGGUCAGACAGCCUCAGGAUGAGCGGUCAGACUGGCCAGGUCGUUGGCUUCCGGUUCUGUUCAUGCUGAUCGUGAUGGUCCUCCAGAGGCUACAACUUCGACCAAUACUGGUACAGAACGUGAAACAACUUCAGAAGUCGCUGCUCCUUUGCAUAUUCAACGACGACAUCCGCCGGAACAAAUCACUGGUAAUCUAGGUGAGCAGACUAUAAGGUCUAAGGUAACGACUCAUGAUGUUUGUGCAAAUUCUGCAUUUGUUGCUUCUUUUGAACCCAGAGAUGUUACUCAUGCAUUAACUGAUGAAUCGUGGAUUAACGCCAUGCAUGAAGAACUUAAAAAUUUUGAGAGAAACAAAGUUUGGACUUUAGUUGAACCACCUUCUGGACAUAAUAUUAUUGGAACCAAGUGGGUUUUCAAAAAUAAAAAAAUGAGGAUGGUUUGAUUGUGACAAAUAAAGCUAGACUUGUUGCUCAAGGUUUUACCCAAGUGGAGGGUUUGGAUUUUGGUGAAACUUUUGCUCCUGUUGCUAGAAUUGAGGCAAUUAGACUUUUGUUAGCUUUUGCUGCUUCAAAAGGUUUUAAAUUGUAUCAAAUGGAUGUGAAAAAUGCUUUUCUAAAUGGUUUUAUAUAGGAGGAAGUUUAUGUCAAACAACCACCAGGUUUUGAAAAUCCUGAUUUUCCCAACCAUGUUUUUAAAUUGUCUAAAGCUUUGUAUGGCUUGAAACAAGCAACUAGAGCAUGGUAUGAUAGGCUUAAGAAUUUUUUGCUUGCGAAAUGUUUUACAAUUGGAAAGGUUGACAAAACACUUUUAGUUCUUAAGCAUGGUGAUAAUCAACUGUUCGUUCAGAUUUAUGUGGAUGAUAUCAUCUUUGGUUGUUCAACUCACGCUUUGGUUGUGGAGUUUGCUGAGACUAUGCGCAGGGAGUUUAAGAUAAGCAUGAUGGGUGAGUUAUCGUACUUUUUGGGAUUGCAAAUUAAGCAAACACCUCAAGGUACAUUUGUGCAUGAAACGAAGUACAAUGUUAACACCAAUUGGUUCUACAGCUGUGUUGGAUCCUGAUGAAGAUGGUGAAGCUGUAACUAACAACAUGAUUGAAUCUUUAUCAUAUCUGAUUGCUUCUAGGCCAGACAUACAAUUUGCUGUGUGUUUGUGUGCACGCUUUCAAGCUUCUCCUCAUGCUUCACAUCGUCAAGCGGUUAAGCGAACACUUAAGUUUGGAAUUUAGUAUUCUACUUCAUCUUCUAUAUGCUUCAGUGGAUAUUCCGAUGCUGAUUUUACUAGUUGUAGAAUUGAUAGGAAAAGUACUAGUGGAUCGGAACAUGUCAUUUUCUUGGUACUGUAGGAUCGUAAAGGGCCUUUACAACCCCAAAAGCUAGCCAUUGAGGUGAGGGGCUCCCCCACUUAUAUCUUAGGUCAUUUGCCCUUCCACAUUCAAUGUGGGACUAUUCAACAAUCUCGCCCUUCACACAUUGGUGCCCCUUAGCCCUUCACCACCCCUUCACUGUAUACAGGCCCCACAGGGCCACAAUCCAUCAGGUAUACGGGCCCCGCAGGCACCAACAGUCCAUCGGGCCUUCACACACUGUGUCCAUUGGGCCAGAGAUGUUAAACUAGCCAGGCUCUGAUACCAAUUAUAGGAUCGUAAAGGGUCUUUCCCACCCCAAAAGCUAACCAUUAAGAUGAGGGGCUCCCCCACUUAUAUCUUAGGUCCUUUUCCCUUCUACAACUAAUGUGGACUAUUCAACAGAACUCGUGUAAACCACAACCAAGAUCUUAACUACUUAAAAAAUUAAUAACUUUCCAUUUGUCACUUAAUUUUUCGUCCAUAUACAUGCUAAUUUUUCGUCCAUAUACUCAAUUUUUUUUGUCCUCCGUGCCUUUGUGUCCGCCUUGCUCACGAUCCCCUUCAUCCCCUACGCAACCUUCGUCCGUCUCUUUGUGAGAAACGGAUCGAAUAGAAUACAAGUAUGGACACAUGAACAAAUCAACCCAACUUCCCCAUCCAAAACCCAAUCAUAUGAACAAAUCGGAUAAAAAACAUCUUGAAAAAAUCAAGAAGAAAAUAAAGAGAAAUCGAGUCGGAGAAGAGAUAAAAUCAAGUGCACACUGAUCCUGAAGAAGGGGAAAUCACACUAUCGUCUGGGUUGGAGGCUAACUGGGAGUGGCCUCGCUCAAUCCGCGUCACCAGCACCCAAUCUGGGAUUGAUCCGUGUCACCCCUGUCCGAUCCGAUCCUCUCCAAUGUCCACAGUUUCGCCUGUUCUUCAGAACUCCAACCAAAACCAACGAGCUCCAAGCCACCAGAUCUGGCCACAAGAUAUCGAGGUCAGCUAAAUCUGGAAGGUAUGAAAAUUAAGGAGGCGGGAGAGAGGAGAGCUCGAGGAAAUUACUGAAUCCGAAAGCUAAAGGCGUUGCCGCCGCAAUAAUCUUCCUCCUCUUCUCCUGAUCAUUACCGGCAUCUUCUUCCUCACAGGCUGCACCACCGCCUCCCUGCACAAGCUCCGAGAAUCCCAUGCACCUUCGGCAUUUUCUCCUCCCUCCAGCUGCCAUAUCGGCUGGCCACGAGUCCAAAGUCACAAGGCAACGACGAGCAGAUGGAUACAUUAGGGGUGGCGGGCUGAGCGGAAUAUCGGCGGCGAUGAGGGCGAGGAAAGACCGAAAGAGGACGAGGGAGAAAGAACUGCUCACGUGGAUAAAUUAUUGGGGGUGCGAUUAUGUUUCUUUUUUCAUUUUUUCUAUUUUCUAACCACUCACGCGGAUCACGAUCGGAUGGGGGCAGCGAGCUGAGGGGAAUGAGAGCAGCGAGGAAACAACACUUAUUGUUUUCUUUUCUCUAACUGCUUACACAGAUAAUUAUGACAUAUAACAAUUUCAUUCGGUUGAUAUCUGUGUAGAACAUUAGCUUGAUUCAUCGACUUGUACUUUUCAGAAAUAUCUUUUUUUUUUCAUGAUUGCAUGUAUAAGAGUACAUCUAACUGAUUGAUUCAAAUGUUGAUAUAAUAUUUUAUAUGGUAUUGUAGAGAUAACCUCACCUAACUAAAUAAAGAGGAGAGAUCAUACACAAAUCCGCAAAACCAACCAAACAAAAUAUCUUCUGAACCGUCUCUCUUAUGGAAGCAACCAAACAAAAUAUUACAUUAGCCAGACAAAAUAAAUUCAAGCAACAAAACAGAGGAGGAAUGUUUAUCCUCUUAGCCAUGUCAAACUCAGGCUGUAUGAGGGAGAUAAGCUAGACUAAGGAGAUGCGAGCAACCAAACACAUGGGGAGGAUAGGGUAGCUUUUGUUGAUGCAUGCCUAUGGUUCUUCAUUUAAGGAUGUUCUGGCCGAGUAUUGUUACACGAACUUAUAUCCUACCCUACUUUAAACAUAUGGAUUUUUUCAAUCGUCACGCUUUAUUUUGUUCGUCGCCUACAUGAACCCCACUGAAUCGCCCGAUUGAGUCAAUCAUUUCGUUUUUUUUCCAUACGUGUUUAAAUUCAUGCAUUGUGUGAUAUAAAAUGAAAAAUUAAAAAAAUAAAAAAAGGUAAAGGGAGAUGAGUUUUGUAUUUGCCUUUAGUAUAUUCUUGUGCAUGGUAGCAAUACUUGUUAGAUAAUAUGGAACUAGACUUUGUAUGCAUUUUAGUCUUUAUAUCAACUUUUGAUAUUGUUUUUGAUAGUGUAACGUUUCAUAUAGAUAGAGUAGAAAAUUACAAGUCUAUAUUCCUGGAGGGCUAUAGCCCAAAGGGAAAUAAAAACAACCAUGCCACACAUCUACAACCAAAUCCUGCAUGCUUCGUAUAUUCUCGAAAAUACUUUAUGCUUGAGCAAUAUUAUUAAGAAUGGACAAGUUGUACCGAUCAAAUUAUCACCAAUUAUAUAAGAACAUCCAUUUGGAAUGGCCUGCUGACUGAGUCAGCCUGAUUCUGGCCGCAUGGCCACAUUCUCCACUUCCAUCACAUGAUUUAUCUUUGGAGAACUUUUGCCAAGUUUGUAUUAAAAAAGAGUAAAAAUCCGAUGCUCCACGAUAAAAGAUACUCUCCGUCCCAUAAAAAAUCAACUUAGUACUGGAUGUGACACAUCCUAAUACUACGAAUCUGCAUAUAUCUCUGUCCAAAUUCGUUGUACUAGAUUAUGUCAUAUCUAGCCCUAGAUUUGUUUUUUUUUUAUAGAGGGAGUACCACUUAAAAGGUAGGUACUUAGCUAGUAAUUAAGGGUAAAGAGAUAAUUUUCCUAGGAGAUAGAGAAGGGUAAAAUUAUCUUCAGUUCUAGGUACGUAGGUACCACAUCGGUACCAUAUCUCAGUACAUUAUUUACGUGUUCUUUUUUAAGAUUUACAUUUUCUUCUUAAGAACGUAUUUGCUUUGUAAGCCUCCAUGACGUGAUUUACAUGCUUUGUAGAAUUCAUUCACUAACAACAAAUUAUAUGUUUUAGGAAUUAAAUAACUAAUUCUAUAAUACCAUACACCUAGAUUUCAAUAUUGACCCGAAAUCAACCAUCUUCCAAAUUUACCUCACGUUUGGCUGAUGUGCUUCGCCUUGCCAUUGUCGAGUUGAUCUCAUCUCCUAUUCAAUUCUCAACUAUACCAACACUUCUCCCAUUUUUUUCCCUGGUGAACCAAUGCAAACACUAGAACAAGAACGAAGUGAUGUGUAAAGAAGAUUCAACCUGAUUUUUUGUCAUGUGUAGAUCUAAUCGAUGCCUAAAUCAAUGCCUCGGAAUAUUUACAUUUUAAGUAUUCGAUUCAACGUAAUGCCAAUAUUUCACUAGUUAAUUACUCUACUGCCAUUGGUUACAAUAAUUUUUCUUACAUACCUUUCUCCUCUCUUGAUCAAUGGCCCACAUUACCCCACCUCUCGAUAACUCUAAAUAGCUCGUAAACACUGUAAAACCUCUCAUAUCUUACGUACAAAAUGAUCCGUAACUGUUUGAUGAUCAGCAAUGGCACACAAAGAUACACGAGGCAAGAAUAAAGAAGGAAUAUAAUCAAAGAGGUAAAUUUUGAUACCCGGGCUCCUAACAUUUUCGCUAAAUGGUGCAUUCUUAUUUACAAAUUUUCAGCGCUGUCACACAGUCACACACUAACACGCAGGACCUUGCAGUAGACUGCAAUCUGCCAGCUAAGACGACGUUGGUCAAACAUCCAAGACAAAUCAGUCUUCUACAUGGUACAUGGAUAGCAAGGCCAGCAAAAGAACAAAACACAAAUCGUAAGGUAAAAACAUGGUGGAAUUCCGGACACCUCCCACUCUUAGAGCAGGUUGUCAGAUUCUCAGAGAUUGCAGGUAAGAUCAGUAUCAUAUCAUUCCCAGGCUACAACCCUACAACUGUGAAUGGCCUUGCUCAAGAUUACCAUUUGGCAGCUGCUGCUAUGUACUCAGCGAUCCCAGCAGCAAAUAUGACCGACUAUUUAUGCAUCCUUUAAUUCCUUUUCAAGUACUUCUCGCAUUGUCUUUGCGGCAAUUUUCAGGUAGCAAUAUGGACACGCAGAUACUGUCCUCGGUUUUGCACAGGAUAUCAGUUAUUAUUAUUUCUCAUUGUAGAAACAUCUUGUAACCAUUGUGUGAAUUGUCGGUACACACACCAGUCCAAUAGCUAAGAAGAUGCCAAAGAGCCAAGUAACAUCUCAACAAAAGUGUCAUGGUCUCAUGGAUCACAGUAAAAGAAUGUAAAUUGUCAUAGAAAGUAAAACCACCUUGUCCUACUGAGUCCAACUGAGAGAUCAUUGCUCAAGCAUUAUAGCUCCACAUGGCCGUUUUUUAGCUAGAAAACGAGUUCUGGGGCCACCAUUUUCUAUUGCCAUUACUUUUAAAUUAUUUACCUGUAAAAACUUUUAGCGAUUAACAUUGCCAUUAUUUUCAAUUUCCACAACUCUCCGUUUCGAAUGAUAAUAUACGGCACUCGAAGGAGAAAUAUAGCUGUAAUUGAAUGGUGACAAAUGUCUAUGUUUGGCAGCUAGUUAGAACCGCCAAGAAUAUAUUUAAAUUUAGCGGCUGUUUUUUGACCGCCAAAGAAAUCAUUUGGCCUCUAAGAAAAUUUACGGAUUCUUCAUUCUUAUAGUGAACUGGUACUCACAACAACCUUAAUCUAUCCACAGUUGUACGAAAAUAACUUGCUUGACAGAUGGCACAAUGCGCGAACAAGAAUUAAACAACAAUAACUAUGCGAUGGCUUAAAGCAACUGUAAUAGAGGUGGCCAGUAUACUUCUACUUUAUCCGUAUCAUCAUACUUUAUUUUAUUGGUUUACUCACAAUUUAUCUUACCUUUUUCUCUGUACUUUUAUUAGAAAUUACAGAGAGCCUACUGCACGAGGGAAAGUUCAUCCAGUUAUUACAUCUCCUCCAACUUUUCACCUCUAUCUCAAUGGCGUUCCAAGCUGCCACCCCAAGUUUUACUGCAUAUGUUCAUUGCGGGCUAUUGACAUCUUGCAUGGAGCUAUGCUAGGAUUCUAGAUUCCAUGAAUGGAUAUACUACUAUGUAAGAAUAUGUGUAUGAAAUUUAUUAGCGAGGAGCAGAGUUUCGAACUCAGAUCAGGUGCAACUAGCUUUUCUAAUAAUGGAAUAGAAUAUCCUGGCAUUUGCUCAACAAAUUACAACCAAUUAUUACAACGUAACACUCAAAAACGAGUAUAGUUCACAUAAAUAAAAGAAGACACCAACAGGUAGCUUGGUCAAUAGUACAACUAACUAACGGCAUAGAAAUGACCACGUCGGAUUAUUGCAGCUAAUACAAAGUUAGUAGGGUAUACAAUAUAUAGCCAACAACACUUUAUACCUGCAACAGUGUUUACUUACAGCUUUUUCCUUUUUUUAAUUAGUUCAAUUUGUUGUAUUAGAGGAAAUGGAGUUGAUGCGGGUCCACAAAAUGCCAGCUUUUUGGCUUGUGCGGGCUGCUCCUGAGUUGCAGUGCAUGGUGGAUUGUGCUAUCGCCUGGUGAUUAAUUUGACGUUCACGUCCUUCUCUCUCCUUGGUUCUCUCUCCUUCAUAUUAGAAUAUAAUGAUAUAAAAUGUUUUAGAGGAAUGAGCCUAUUGUAACUGCCCUAAGGACUGCACUCGUUUCUGGCUAUCCAUUUUGAUGAUGAACGUUCAGAUUUGUUUCUACAGUAAUAACAUGGACAGAAAAACUGACCAACGGCCAGUCUGUGUUGUUUGCUCCAAAACCACAAGGUACUAUACGUACUGUGGCAAUACAUUAUGAUUUACUCGGUAACAACUAAGUAUCUAAUCACAAUGUGCGUGUAAAAUUUCUCAGUACUGUUUCCAAUCAUAGCUUGCAUAGGCUGUGCGUCUUGGUGACAAAUAUGUGCAACCGUUGUAAAUAGCAGUGUUAAUUUCUAGAUCACUAACAUUGUUUGGCCAUUUUAUAAGUUUCAUUGGUUUAGCUGCAUUUCUAGUGCCCCAAAUAGACCACAGAACAGCAAUAAAAUUCUUCAUAUCAUUAAUUCCUAUGGUUACACGAAACCCCUCGCGAGUGAUGAGGAAUACUCCACCCAUAUUGAAAGUACUAUCAACUACAUUCCAAACAAUCAAGCAAAUGGGCAUUUGAGAAACAAGGAUUGAUGUACAAGAAGAUGAAUACGUAUUGCAUGACACGAAUAUUUUCUAGGAAGUAUAGGGCAUUUGUAGCAGAGCCUUGAGAUGUUUGACAACAUUCAAUCUGCCUAUAUUGCGUCUUUCGUAAAGUUGCAUAUGCCCGUACUGCUUGACUCGUUUGAUUGAAAGAACAGAGUAUUGCUUGCUGCUCCUCUGGAUCCGCCGGUGUCGAGAGAGAGAGAGAGAGAGGAGGAGGAAAUUAAAGCCCCGACCCUAGUCAUCUACUCGGUGAUGCCGCGGGGUGGGGUGGGGGAGGGGGGGUUGGAGUCGCCAGUAUCUUGGAGAGCGGAAGAAAGCCCCAGCUAGCCUCGUUAGGCUAAGAGGAUGAACUAGACGGCUAGGAAAGAACGUGUCCUCCCGUUUCUAGAGGACGAAGUUGACCAAGAAGGAAGAAGCAGGUUAACGGAAAUCUUGACCGCGAUGACAUGGUUUUAAUUUGGCAGAAAUAUUUUAACAAUUAUAUGUACCCAAUUAGUGCCUCACAAUAUGAUCAUGGUAAGGAGGGGGAUGCAGCGAGAAACGAAACAGCAAGGAUGCAUGGUUUGGAAUGAUUCUCGGCCUUCUGCCUUUUUCAUAGACCAACCAGCUGUUGGCAAGCUAGUUCCAAGCUCGCGAAUAGUUGGCCAUCAACGACAAACUUCCCAGUCAUUUCUCGAGUUUCAACUGAACAGUCCAAGUGACUCAGAGUCUUGUGUAUCAAUUGAACAACCGGAGUGACUCAAAGAGGCUAGAUCACUCCUGAUGCCUCCUAAUUCUACGCAUAAAAUAUUGUAUAGCAGAGCCUAUAAGUUGCAUGAUACAUUUCCAAGGUUGAGGAUAAUUAGCUAGCCCGUACCCAGUGACAGGCACAUUAGGAUUGCUGUCCUUUUGUCUAUAUAUCUACCAAUAGCACAUAGCACUAUAUAUUGUCCCACAUAUGCAUGUAUUGCCAUGGACCACAUAGUAUUUAGAAAUAUUUACCCUAAAGUAAUAUUAAGAAUAUUUUCAAUAAUCUAGUAUUUAUGAUACUUUAUAUAGUACUUUCCACUAUUCUUUUGACACAUUGUUAAAUUAAACCAGUACAACACUUUUUUAGCAAGCACAUGUAACUUAUCAGUCCCAGUCCCACUAAUGUAGUAUGAAUUCAUUUACAACUUUCAUUGCAUCACACCAAUUUGCUAGUAAAUUUGUUCCCAAUGAUUACUCCAUCAAGUACAACCAAAUAUGCAUGUUCGAGCUAGAAGGCUCUUAAUUUAGCACUAACCUUUGUUUGAUCUCCAUAUAUAAUUUGAUAUUUUACACAACGCGUUUAAUAACCCUCUCAAAAUUAACCUAGACGCGGCCUCAGUGAUUAGUGAUGUGUGAUGGCUCCUGGACCUACAAAUCCACAAUGAGGAGGAUGGCUCUUGUUAGCUUGGACUUACGUCCCUCCAGUGCAGAAACAAGCAGGAAAUGCGACAUGGUGCGUGUUAUCUUUGUGCCGGCAAGGUUUAAAUUUGCCCCCUACUGGUUUGGAACGGUUCAUCCACUCUGCGCAUUUUUCAUGACCCCCAAGCUUGGUAUUUUAGGUUCCGUCGAGAUGAGGGAGCUUGCUUAAUUUCAUGCGCAUCUUCAGGAUUUAAUUUUAACAGGCGUUUCAAGAGAGUCUUGCAGAUGUCAAUUGGAUGGAUGUGGCUAUGCUAUUCCCGAUGCCACCUAAUUCGACACAAGUUGUCCAAACAUGGAUGUAGAGAAACUAUAUAUACUCCCUCCAUCUAAUUUCGGUAGUCAUAUUUUAUCUUGGCACAAUGACCAAGGAUAAGUAAUUGUAUUUUAUCAUCCAUUUUAACAUGCUACUAGUUAUUUCUCGUAAACAAGCGAUUCAUUAAUAGUAAAGUUCUCGAUGCCCAUACAGCCAAUCUUGUGUGGAAAAGUAGAGAAUCACGCAUUCAAUCUGAUAAAGUCAUUAAGAGGAUAGGUGGUUGGAUUGAAAUAUGCCUAUCAAAAAAUAAAUCUUUAAGAUUUGGAAAUAUUCCUAUCAAAAUAGAUAGAGUAUUUCAAUGUUAAUUAGAGAAAGAGUAAAAUACAGUAGCGGCCCUUAAACUUGCGGGCGGAUGUCAUCCAGGUCCACUAACUUGCAAAUCGUGUAAUUAGGCCACUAAACUUUCUAAAUGUACCAUCGCCGGUCCAAAAUGCCGUUUGACCGCGGUCGCGUCGACGUGGCAUGCCACGUGCAUAGCUGAUCUUGCCCGCACCGUGCGUGACACACCGCCCACGCCUUGUCAUUUUUCAUCCAGGUCCCUCUCUUUUUCUCAUUUGAUUUCCACCACUGCUUCUUCUUCCCCGGAGCGCCCAAAAUCUGAGCGGCGACUAGGGAUGCGAUUGAGGGCAAGGUUUGGCGGCGGAGCAGGUCGCGGCAGGUUCGGCGGCGGAGCAGGUCUCGGCAGGGUUCGGCGAUGGAGUAUGUCGUGGCAGGGUUCUUCGGCGGAGUAGGUCUUGGCGGGCUUCGGCGGCGGAGGCGAUGGCAGGCUCGAGCUCCAGUAGGAGCACAACACGGGCGGCGACGGAAAUAUCCAGGCAAGGUAAAACCUUUCCAUCUCCCAUUCGGUACCUGGAGAGUAGUUUGUUGAAGUCAGUUGGUUUAUUCAUUUUGAAUGUGCAGAAUGGUGGAUGCAAAUUAUGGCAGUGGUAUGAACCAGGGACAACGCCGUAUUUGAAGCAGGUUUUGAAUGAUUUAGUCAGCACUGUUCGUGAAGUGAAGACAGAGAACUCUGAAAUUAGAGCAUCCCUUGCCAACUCAAGAGCUGUGAUUGAUGGACUUGUGGCUCAUUUGCUGAAAUGGCCUGUAGAAUCAAGAUGUUAGAAGAGAGUAGACGAUUUAUGUUGUCAGUAAUUGUUGGUUUUGUAGUAGUCAUAUUUGCACUAUUGCUUCUUAGGUAGAUACCAAAGUUUGAUGGAUAUGGAUGUAUUGGUGCUGGUGUGUUUUGUGUCAGCUAAUAAGGCACUUGAGUGACCUUUUGUGUAUGCUGAAUCUGAACCAUGUAUGAAAAAUGUAUGCUAAAUGCUAUUAUGUGAAGCUGAAAUAUGAGAUUUUGUUCUGAAAAUCGACAUCUCUAAUUUUUUUUCAGCAGACAACUGUUAUUUUGCUCUAGCUUAUGAAAUGUCCUGUAAAACAUCAUCUGGAAAUAGCAAACAUGCAUCAUGCAUUACAGGCAGUAAUUUCCCAUAUUCAUCACAAUACCAAAUUUCUGGCAUUUAGUAGUAUUUCUAGUACUACAUUCAGUGAACACAUGCCUGGCAUCACAAAAUUCCCAUGUUCUAUCACAUAAUAGCCGCAAGUUUGGCAGCACAAAAUCAAGCAAGCAUGCCCAUGAAAUCCAUACAGGGUUCAAAUUUUGGCAUAACAAAUUACUACUAGCACUAAAGGACCAUCAAACAUAUGGUCUAACACAUAUCACUUGUUUGUAGCAGUAGCUUUCUUCCUGGGAGCUCUGUUCUUUGAAGUAGUAGCAGCAACUCCUGAAACUCCUUCAGUUGUACACUUCCUUUUGUUGGCCCUAGAUUUUCCCUCUUUUGUUGCUGUGGUCAUAGGGGUAGAUACUACAGCUGGCUGGUUUGAAAGGAUGUACUGGUUAUCUGGGAGAGGACCAUGUGUAGUUUCCAUUUGACUCACUUGUGAUGAUUCCUCAAACAUCUGUGCAACCAUAGGAUUAGGAACUUGUGAUAGUAAUUGGUCAUAUGCAGACUGAGAUUGGGUCAGCACCUACAAGUUUACAAAGGUAAUUAAGAUAGAGUUAUAAUAGGGUAGUGAUAAUAGAGUGAUAAGAUAGAGUAUUGUUUCAUUACCUCUGCUGGUUCUUGCUCAGAUUCAUGCCACUCUUCUGUAGAACUUGCAGCUGCGAUCCUACUUGUCUUCAGUUUGGGUCUGAGUCCAGCCUUUCUCAGUGGGCACCCUUUCUUGUUAUGUCCAGGCUCUUUGCAGUAAGAACAGUGCAUCUCCACACCAUGCUUGGACAUUUUAGGCCCAUUUUUUCCCUGUACCUCAUGUGGUGCUUUCCUCCUAGACUUAGGUGGUCUGCCAACCUUUUUCUCAUAUAUUGGAGGCUUCACUUCUGGCCCAUUCACCUGAGCCCACUUAGUCAUAUCAUUGCAGGGCCAAAUGUUAAAUGCAUAUGCAGGGUGGAAGAACUGACUCAGCACUAAUUCUCUCACUCCUUAAGCAUGAGAUAGCAUGGUUACAAGGGAUGCCUGUCAGAUCCUAUCUCCUGCAGUCACAAUGUUUAGCACUAAGGUCAACAAUGUACUAGAAAUUCCUAUCUUCCACCUGAAAAAUCCCUUUCCCGGCUAGCAAAACAUAACAUGUGUUUGCCAUAUCUGCAUUUUUCAGUACUUUCUUCCUGAUCUUGGGGCAUAUAGGCCCAUGCCAUUGCUCUGCCACUUCUUUCUGCUUACUGUAAUGCCUACACAUUAGUUGGCUUUUGAUCUUUUCAAACAUACUCAGGAUUGGCAAUUCCCUAGCUUCUAAGAUGUACUUGUUGAAUACUUCACAAUUAUUGUUCAAUAAGAUAUCACACUUAGGGAAUUCACUGAAAUAAGCUCUGACCCAAGUUUUAGGAGGCAUCUUUUGAAGCCACUCAUAUGCAUCCUGAUUAAGAGAUUUCAUUUCUUCCAUGUUGGCAUUCCACUCAACCUCUUAACUUGAUCUAGCACAUGCCCGUAACUGGUUUUUCAGAUUCUCACCUUUGAAAUGUACCUGAAAAUUGGAGUACAGAUGUCUAACACAGAAUCUGUGUUCUGAAUUAGGGAAAAUCUGUUGGACAGCUGGUAUAAGACCCUGUGUCAUGUAAAAACAAACAUAAGAACAAUUUGAAAUAUGUCAGAUUAUAAGAACAAAACUGUUAUGUAACCUAUAAGACAAAAAUAAAGAACAGGUAUACCUUUUGCUUAUCAGUCAUUAUUGUCCAUGGGUAGGUAUUGUCAAUGCCCAGGUCUUCCUUUAGGGUUUGUAGAAACCAUCUCCAAGACCUCAAUGACUCUGUCUCAACCACAGCUAUUGCAAUUGGAUAUAUGCAAUCAUUAGGGUCAAUACCUACUGCUGUUAGGAUCUGUCCACCAAAUUUAGUCUUGAUGUGGCAACCAUCCAAACAUAUCAAAGGCCUACAUCCACUCAAAAACCCUCUCUUACAUGCAUCAAAGGACAUGUAACAUGUGCUGAAACAACUAUCAACCAAGUUCAAAAAGAAGCAACUGCCUGGAUUAGACCUUCUUAGCUCAGCCCCAUAGUUCCACAACUGAUCUCAUCACCAUAUAUGUCCUUGAAGGCCAAUCUCCUUGCCCUGGCUAGCUUGCUUCUAGAUGGAGUCAGAUUCCAUUCUAAUUGGACUAACUUUGCAAACCCUCCAAGUGUCAUCUUAUCAUUUGCUCUAAAAGUUUCAAUGUACUUCUCAGAUAGCCAUUUAGCAGUACACCUUUUUAGCACCCAUUACUUCUUACAUUUAUGCUCCCUAAGAUAUGUCUUCACCAUCAUUGACUUGGACCUGCUAUCAAAUGAUGCAUAUAAGUUCCAUGGGCAACCCUCAACACAGUGGGCCCUAAGUCUUUUUUGCUCAUUCCUAGGCAUCUUGAUGUCCACUCUAGCCUUCAAACUGUACUCUGUUAUGGCCUUUUUAAGUACUUCUACUGAAGGAAACACCAUGCCAACCUUAAAAACUGGGUUCUUAACAUCCUCUGCCAUGAAAGCCUUAAACUUUAAUCUCACUUCACCAUCAUCAUCUGAAUCUGGGAGCUGCAAAUCUUCAUCAUCAGUGGAAACUUCCUCCCCAUCAGAAUUUCUAAUUAUUAUUUCUUUCCCCUUCAACUGACUGCCCUUAGCUUUCUUCCAAAACUUUGCCUUGCAGUCAGAUAAGUCUUCAACACCCACAUCAACAUUGUCAACAUACAAGUCAUCAUCUGCAUCUGAUAUAUCAUAGUCACUAUCCAUAAAAUCUGGGUCAUCUUCUAAGCUACCAUCACUGUCACUGUCAUCUUGUUUGUUUGGCACCUUCCAAUCAGCAGUUGACAUCUUCCUAGGACUAAGUGUCACGCCCGGAAUUUCUAUCCAAAAUUCCAAACGCUUACAUGUGUGUGAACCCUCGUCCAGGAAUUAGCCGAGGCACACAAUAACAAAUUGAUAAUAGAGUACAAUUAUUACUCUAAUUAAUAAGCGAAUAAAAUGUCAUUACAGAGGUAGAUAGUUCCUCUCAAUCAAUAAAGAUCUAAGCAGCGGAAAAAAAAAAGAUAAACGGCGCAGACGACUCCACUCCACAGGCAGCUUGACCAGGGCUAUACCUAAUCCUCCACACCAUCAGCAUCACUGUAGAACUCUUCCUCUGAUGAAUGAUUGCAAGGUGAGUAUAUGACAUACUCAGCAAGCCACGCAACAAAUAUGCAAGUGCACAGGAUAACAAAGGAUGGCAUAGUAGGGUUUCAUUUGCAUAAACAACAUUUAAUAAACAUUUCAGAAUUUAAUAAAACAGUUAAGUAAUAAUUAAACAAUAUUAAUCCAACACUAUACAACAUACCCUGUUGCAUAGGCCCAACCAUUCUGAACAACCAUCCCGGCUGCACAGUUCUAUCUCCAAACCAGGAAUAUACCAUUCCAAACCAGGAGCUAAUCAAAUUAUUACCAGUUAUAGCAUCUUUUAUUAUGAUGAGAAGUGUGAGACUAAUCACGAAAGACAUUGUUAGACCCGCCCAUAACCGCGGGCACGGCUAUUCGAAUAGUUUUACUCUGGCCAGAGGUGUACCACUGUACCCACAAGACACAGCCCCACAACAUGUCACCAUGUGCCUUAAUACCACCACGGUACCUCGGAAAGGAGCUGUGACAGUACCCCUUGCACAACACAAUCCACCACAGCGCACCUUUCCUGGAUCAUAAUCACCCACUUAUAAACAAGGCAUGGACUCCCCAGCGACCCCCGUGGGCUUAUCUCUGCCACUUCUCAGUCUGGUGCUCCGCAAUGAACCAUGCUAUACAAAAGGUAAAGUCGUUGCCCAUGCUGGCUUAUGGUUGGCACGGUUAAUGUUUCACAACCGAAACUCGUAAACCGGUCCUUAAUUGUCAUGAGCACGACUCUCAAAACCAUGUGCUCACAACCCACCAUUAUCAAGUUUUAGUUGGCAAGUAAUUAAUUAACCAAUCACGAUUGACCAUCGUGAACUAUCAUUAAGCCAUCAUUAAGUAAUAAGUUAUCCCAAUAGUGUGCUAAUGUUUCUAAGCAUGGCUAAGCAAUCAUAUCUAAUAUCUAGCUGAACCAAUAUAUAAAGCCCAACUAGUCAAGUUAUAAUAACCCAAGGUAUCAAGGAAUAAAGUAAUCAAGAACAAAAGGGCUAUAACAAACAAUAGGUUAAUUCCACCCAAUGACAUUCGAAAAUAAAUGCAAUUGUUGAAUAGAAACAAUAACUUUAAACGGGAUCAACAUGCUCAAAGGGUUGUUUGGGAUCUGUGUGACUUGCCUUGCUGGCCUUGGAACUCUUCAAAAUCUUCUCCUGCAAAAACAGACUCUCCGGAAACGUCGGAAUCUAAACAGAAAGGAGCAAAAUCACCAAAACAGCACAUAAGCAAGCAUGAACAGUACAUGUGGAUAUUUUUAACAUGUAGAUCUCAAUUUUAGAAAAAUUUAGAGACUUGAACCAACUAAAUCCGAGCUAAGAUGAAUUAGUUAUGAAUUUUUAAAGAUUAAAUCGGAUUAAAUCACUUAUAUGGAUUUUAAUUGAAUUAUGACGCAAUAAUGAAUUAUUUUUGAAAAGGAAAAGGGAAUUAUUGCGUCAGCGGCUAGGGUUCGCGGUGAACCGGGUGCACGGCGGCGGCUCACGAAAACGAACGGCCGAGAUCUUUCCAUCCAAAACGAACGGCCGAGAUCGACCGGUCCACAGCCGGACCACCGAAGACGACGACGAUGACGUCAGCGGUGACGUCACCACCGGCGGCGGCUCGGGCGCGCAAACUCGCCAGCGAACGACGACGCGACGACGCGAACGGAGGACACCAACACGUAGAGGGCGACGCAGCAAACUCACCGGUGACCAAAACAACGGUGGAAGAUCAACGGACAGCGACGGCGUCGAGGAAGAAGCGGCAGCAACCUUCGGCUUGACGACGACGGCGGUGCUCCGGCGACCUACGGCGACGGCGGAGGGGUGGACGAGAUCGGCGACGGCUUGGUGACCAUGACGGCGACCUCCCCGAGCAGCAACGACGACCGGAGCGACGGCGGCGCACGGCUGGAGCUGCGGCGGCGACGGCGGCGCUAGGCUACACGAUGCUAGGGCUCUACCGGCGACGAGAGGCGAAGGCGAGGGUGGCGGCGGGUAGCGGCGGGCUUGGGGGUCCUUUUAUAGGAGCAAGGAGGCGGCGGCGAAGGCCCACGGAGAUCGGCGACACGAAGGAAAGUCUAGGGUUCGGAGGAGAGAGAUCGAUCCGAAUCGAACUCGAAUCCACGGAUUUCCAAACGAUUUUAGCCGACGAUUCCAAAAGAGAAAAGGUAGAGGAGAUCCCGAAGAUUAUUUCCCCUCUAUUGAUUUCACCGGAGAAGGAAAGGCGCGAGCAAAUUUGGAAGGAGACGGCGGCGCGGCUCGGCUAGGGUUCCGGCCGGGCGACGACGCGAGGAGGACGACGAGUCCGACAGGUGGGACCCACCUGUCAGCGGCUGAGCGCGCACGCGGGCGGCUGCGGGCGGACUGGGCCGGCUUGGGCCGGGGAGAGGGAGAGAGAAGGUUUUGGGCCGACUUUCGGCCCAAAGCCAAAAGAGGAUUUUUAAAACCUUUUCCAAUUUAAAUUAUUCAUUAAAUGUAAUUCCAUUUAUUAAAAAUACUUCCUUAGCUCAAAUAAAUCCCAGAAAAAUCUAGGAAUUAUAGAGUUAAGCAAAGUAUUUAAUAAAAUUUUAUCUGGCCCCAUUUUAUAUUGGAAUUUAUUAAUUAAAAUUAGAUCUUCUCUUCUAGGCUUUUUAAAAUAAAUUCUAAUAAUUCCAAUUAAACAACAAUUUAUAUAUUUAGGAUUUUUAGGGUGUGACACUAAGCACCUUAGGCAAUUCACUAAUAGGAUUAGCUACUACAUCAUCCCAAUCUACACCUGCAAUUGUGUCACCCUGAUCAAAGUAGAUAAUAAAAUUCUUAACCUUGUGCACAACUGAUUUCAUCACUUCAAAGUCAGCCCUAGUAGAUAUAACCCUAAGGCCAUCUUCAAGAGUCUUUCCAGGGAGCAACCAAUAAGCCUUAAAAUCUGGAGUCAUAUCAUACCCAAGCAUAGCUAAAAAUUCAUCCAAACAAACAAUAUCCCAUGUUCUUGCUUCACAGUGGUCAAUCCAAUUUAUCGUUUGAUCUACAUAUGCCCUGUUGCUACCCUGACCAACAAAAAAACCACCAUGGUGUACCUCAGCGGUGAAUUUACCAUCAUCAGGACCUGCAUUGCAAUCCUAAUUAGAGGUAUUACUCUCAUGUUCUAGCCUACUCGAGAACAAUGUCAGGAUAAUCAUCCUACAGGAAAAAAUAACAUCUUUUUGCAUAAUCAGACGCCAUAUUCCUUUGUAUCUAUCUACCAACAUCAAUCAGUGCAUGCUAACCUUGCAGAUUAAUGGAUGAAAUUUUGAAGUUACACUCACUGUACAACGGAGGCCCUUCCCCUUCCAGGCGGAAAAUCAUGCCGCCUCCCCGCGAUUAUGCCGGCGGGAGGCCGCAACAGCCAAUCUCGCCUCUUUGCGCUUUCGCUGGAACCCUAUUUCUCCGGCGAUCACUCCCCUCACGAUCUCUGCUGCACUCUACGCUAGGGCACUCCGGGGAAGACGAAGCAGCAGUGGAUGUCGAAAGAAAAUGAGAAAAACAGAGGAGCCUCGAUGAAAAAAACAAGUAUGGCCAGUGUCACACACGGUGCGCGUGAGAAAAGGCAUGGUGCGGGCUAGCUCAGCUGUGCACGUGGCAUGCCACGUCGGAGCGACCGCGGUCAAACGGCAUUUUGGACCGGCGAUGGUACAUUUAGCAACUUUAGUGGCCUAAUUACACGAUUUGCAAGUUAAUGGACCUGGAUGACAUCCACCCGCAAGUUUAAGGGCCGCUACUGUAUUUUACUCUUAGAGAAACUAUCUAGGAGUGACAAAAGCAUCAGCUUCCGAAUUUAAUUCUGCCCUUUAAUGUUAGAUGUUUUUUUUAACUAAGCUUCUGUCUAUUAUAUCAAUUCCCUAUGUACAUGGAUUGACAACAGCGACAUGGUAUGGUUGAUUUUUUACAGUGAGACUUACUCCGGUCUAUCAAAAAGUACCUCAAGAUACUGAUAUCUCAUGCACUAGUGGAAAAAUACUUUUUACUCCCGGUUUAGAACCCUUUGUAGUCCCGGUUUUCCAACCGGGACUACGAAUCCGGGACUAAAGAUCGCUAUCUUUAGUCCCGGUUGUAAAAGGGAGAAUCUUUAGUUCCGGUUGGUGUUACCAACCGGAACUAAAGAGGGGAAGCGACAGUUCCUCGAGAUCUUUUUUUUUAUUUUAUUGUUGAUUUGCUAAUGGCUAGUGUUAAUCCCUGUAUUUUCUCCCGAAUCAAAUGGGAUGCACAUCCCCAAAUCAACAUCCCAAAUAUUAAGUUACUUAUACACACAGAUCAAAUACAUCACAAAUCCUACACACAGAUCAAAUACAUCACAAAUCCUACACACAGAUCAAAUACAUCACAAAUCCUAAAAAACUACACACAAAUUAAAUACAUCACAGAUUAUACAAAUUAUACAUCAUAUCUCAUAUCCAUGCGAUGCAAUGAAUCACAAAAUCUAAAAAAUUAUACAUCCAGUGAAACACAAAUUACAAAAAAAAAAGAAAAGCAAACGAGCCGGCGCCCGGCCGCCGCCGGCCGCAUGCCCGCCGCCGCCGGCCGCCGCCCGCCGCCACGCGCGCGGCCGCGCCGCCACCACCCGCCGCCGCCGGCCUCAUGCCCGCCGCCUCCUCCCCCCGCGAGGCCGGGCCACCGCCGCUCGCCGCCGGUCGGCUGAUGGAAGAGGGAGUAGAGGGGAGGAGGAAGGGCCGGCUAAUGGGAGGGAGGAGAGGGGAGGAGGAGAAGAGGAAGGGGAGGAGGGGAGGAAGAGAGGGGAGGGGAGGAGGAAGAGGAUUGGAUCUGAGAAGAGGAAGAGAGGGGAUGUUUCAAUCUUAUCUAAAUAUCUGUCUGGGACUUAACCGAUCAGAUGUGGGAGAGAAAUAUUUACUUCCGGUUGAUAACUCCAACCGGGACUAAAGAUCGAUCUUUACUCCCGGUUGGUACCGGUUGGUAUCACCAACCGGGACUAAAGUGGUAAUCUU
rnacentral:lncRNA from 1 species